UCUCAGGAAAGCCAGUACUUUUGAGAGAUCAUCUAAUCCGUUUUACACUCUCCGCUGCAUGCCAAAUGGUUUUGAGUAACAAGUACUUUGCCCAAUCUGAAGGGGAUGGAUCUGUAGUUACCUUUGAAGAACUCCAAGAGAUGAUAGAUACCUGGUUUUCGCUGGGUGGUGUGUUCAAUAUUGGGGAUUGGAUUCCGUGGCUCGACAGAUUUGACCUUCAAGGUUGCGUAAAGCAAAUGAAAGAACUUUACAAGAAAUUUGAUAGAUUCCAUAACCAUGUGCUUGAUGAUCAUCGGGCCAAGAGGAAAACGGAGAAAGAUUUUAUCCCUAAGGACAUGGUGGACAUUCUAUUGCAAUAUGCUGAAGAUCCUGAUCUCCAGGUUAAACUCACAGGAGAUCAGAUGAAAGGGCUAAUUCUGGUGCUAUUUCUUCUCACUGUUUAAUCAAAUUUCCAGAUCUCUAUACCUCUUUAACUUACUGAAACUUAAAGCUAGCACUUUAGUUUAGCUUACUAUAAUGUGCCGUUAAAUAUAACUGUCUUUUUUCUUCUGAUUAAGAGGUUUUCUGCUUUCAAUGUGUUGUCAAGCAUGAUACUUCAUCAGCAUUUGAUCAUGGCAGGACUAAUUUUACCAAUAUUUGAUCAUGUCCAGGACUUACUGGCUGGUGGUACCGAUACCUCGGCGUCCACAGUAGAAUGGGCAAUGAAUGAACUUCUCAAACAUCCACUUCUCAUUGAAAAGGCAACCGAAGAGCUUGAUAGAGUGAUCGGGAGAGAUAAGUGGGUGGAAGAGGCUGAUUUCUCAAAGCUACCUUUUCUAGAGGCGAUCAUAAAGGAAACCUUUAGGUUACAUCCAAUAGCAACGCUGCUUCCACCCCACCGUGCCAUUGAGGAUGGCACUGUAGCUGGUUAUCACAUUCCUAAAGGAACAGUGGUGUUUAUAAACACACGGAGUAUAGGGAGGAACUCAAAGUAUUGGGAUUCUCCUGAAGAGUUCAUGCCAGAAAGGUAUUUGGAGAAGGAUAUUGACAUGAAGGGACAAAACUUUGCGUUAUUGCCAUUUGGCUCAGGUCGGAGGAUGUGCCCAGGCUAUGUCCUUGCACUCAAACUUGUUGGAACAAUGUUGGCCAACUUGCUGCAUGGAUUCAACUGGAAAUUGCCUCAUGGCAUGAAACCAGAAGAAAUUUGCAUGGAAGAACUCUACGGAUUCAUAACUCAUCCAAGGACUCCAGUUGCUAUGAUCCCAGAACCACGUUUGCCGGUCAAUCUCUACUAGAGAUCGUAUGAUUUAAGGGAAAAUUGAAAUGUGUUCCUUGUUGGCAAAAUAAACCAAACCUAAAAAUUGUUAGUGUCAGAUUUUUAGUGGUUGUGUGAUUUAGAAAUUAAUAUUUUAUUUGGUAAUUUCUUAUACAAGUGGUUUCUUUCUCAAUAAGUUUGCUAGGUUAUAAAUAAGACAUUAUUUAGUAUAUUUUUUUAAGAGAGUCCAGAAAGAGUCUGUAAGGUUUUAUUAUGGUAUGAGUUUCUUCCACUAAUUUGAAAUAUCAAUAAUAGUGUGAAUUAUUUAUUUCUUUUGUCUCUCAUAAAUAUGUUAGUAAUUAUUUCAUCCUUUAAUCUAUAACCCUACGCGCAUUAGUUAUUAUUAGAACUUUAAAAUUUGGAAUCUACAAUUGCUAUCACAAGCCCAACACGAGGUUAGUUUUGGAUGUUUCCAUUGUCAGAGAAUUAAGGCAUUUCUGUUGUAAGAGAAUUCAGGAACAAAUUUAUUGAAAAGUAUUUGGUUGAUUAAGUUAGACCACAAGGUUGGUCAUGAAGUGUAUAGUUGGUGAGAAAUUCAAUCAUAAGAUUGGCUCGAAAAUUAUUAGAUUGUUACAGGUGCUAUGACAGAGAUUAGAGAAGAAUCUUAUCAGAGUUGUUGAUUGCUGUGGAUUAUUAGAUUGAAGAAUUUAUUUAGUUAAUCAACCAAUGAGGCCAAGAAACUUGAAAAAAGAGGAAAGAAUUCGUUGAUAUACGUGAGUUAUUAAUGAUGGAUGUGUUUUGAGAUCUAUGUAAUAAUGAAAGGUAUAGCAUACUAACUCCUAAAUAUAAAAGCCAAGAAUCAUAUUAUUGUUGAUUUUUAAGAGUAAAAAAAUAUCUUGAACAUUGCAAUUUAGAUAAUUUUCUUGAUGGAUUGUUACAAAUGAAUUACCAAAACAUGUUGUCAAGAGGAAUGCUAGAUCAUUUUUUCAAGUUAUGUGAAAAACAAUGUUUGACUAUAUUCAAAAUAUUUGUUCAUCGUACUAAAAUACUUUGUAUAUUUUGGAAGAAUAUUUAUUACGUUUUGAAAACUGUUGAAUUGAAUGAUGCUUUUAAAUCAAAAUUUGGUUAUUGGACAUGGUUAGUUGAUUUUGAGAGUGAUAGAUUUGUAGAUGACAUGGGUGAUUUAGAAGAUUUUGAAUGGGUUGAUAGUUUAGAUUUGCAUACCAUAUUUGGAGAAAUUGGGAGUGAUGAUUUUGUUGAAAAAAAUGUGUUAAUUUGACAAAGAAAGAAGAAAAUUUUGAUUUGAUAAGACAAGAAGAAGAUGAAAUUGCUAUUGAAAAUUUUGUUGGUUUGGACUUUCUUCAAGAUGAUGGUAAGAUGUUUGAUUUGAUAGAUAUGGAUUUAUUGGAGUUGAAAAAUAUUUUACUUCUAAAGAAUUGAUUGACAUUGUGAACUUGUUUUGGUAAUUGUGGUAGUGGAAUUCUUGAAUUGUUUGGUGAUGAUCAUUUUGAUAAAAAUGCAAACUAUGAUUUUGUAUUCUUAGGCACUUACGUUGGUAGUAAAUAUGGUGACUAGUGAUGAAUGGCUUUGUAUGAAUAAGUACUUUGAUCCAAAGGAAAUUAUUUGCAAAAUACAAAGUGCAUUCACUGUCACGAGUAAAGAUGAAAUAAAAGUCGGCAACAAGAUAGAGUUGCAUAUCAAUUAUACUAUGACAUAUAUUUGCAUGGAGACUAUUGCUCUAGAUAGAGUUGAACCUAUCUCAAUGAAGAGUUUGAUUUAAGAGAGGCAAUGUUGACAAAAGAAGUCAAGCCUAAACUUUUCUACUUAUUUAUUUACUAAUUUUAUUGGUAUCAGAUUUUCAGUAGUUGUAUGAUUUAAAAAUUUGUGUUUUAUUUGGUAAUUUCUUAUGGUAGUGAUUUCUUAAUUAACAAGUUUCCUAUAUAUAUAUAAAAAGGAGUUGUUGUGUGGCUGUUGGAUAAUUUUCAUCUAACCAUUUUGAGGGGUACAUUAGGCAUUUCAGUACCAGUGUACAAGUCAUUAAUGUUAGGGUACUUGCAUUCUAGGUGUAUUGGUAUGUACAUUACCCAGCCUAUCCUUAGUGGCUUGAUGCUUCCACUCUGCCGAUGCUUAGUUAUAAAUAGGACAUUAUUUAGAGUGUUUUCUCCAGAAAGUCCGGAACCAGUCUGUGAAGUUUUGUUAUGGUGUGAUUUUCUUACAUUGUUUUGAGAUAUCAAUAAUAGUGUGAAUUAUUUAUUUCUCUCCUCUCCUAUAAAUAUUUGAGUGAUUGUUUCAUCUUUCAAUCUAUAACUUUAUAUGCAUUAAUUAUUCUUAGAAUUCUAACAUUUGGGUUCUACAUUCCUACCCUGUAUCACUCAAUGGUUGAACUCAUUCUCUGCUCUCCAAUUGUAUCAUGCCCUUUUAAUCGCUUAGCCCAUUGAAAGUGAUAGUGAUAGACAAAUUCCUGCAAGUACAUAGGGGUCAAUCAGAGUAAUAAUUCACCUAAAAUAUUUUAGGGGUUGAAUCCAUAUAGAUGAGUCAAUUUUCUACUUUAAUUAUCGUAACAAAAUAAUGAAACUUAAAUUCAAAGGAUUUUUAAUUACUAAUUAAGAAAUUGAAUAAAUAAUCAAAUCAAAUAAGAUAUAGGUAAGAAAAUAAUUGGCAAAAGACUAGGGUUCAGGUUUUAAUCCAUAUUUUGAAUUAUUUAUCUCGUUAAUUUCUUAACAUGCCAAGAAUAUAUCAUGCAAAAGUUUUAUAGAUUACCUUUUGAUACAGCCAAAUUGCAUCCAAUUAAAUUUCAUGUCUCUCUCAAAAUUAUAAAUAUUUAAUUAAAAGAGGUUUCUGACAAUUUCACUUGCAUCCCUUAGAUUUGAAUAAUUACACUAACCUCUCUUCAUAUAGCUAAAUGACUACAAUAUUCUUCACUUAUAAAUAAUUCAUACAAACAAAAAAAAAAUACCCUAGAACUACAACUAGUUUUUCAUUCUAAAGUAACAAUUGCCACAUAAAACAACUUUUAUUCUCUCUCUCCAACCCUUUCUCCUACUUUCUUUCUCCUGUAUCUCAUAAUUCACCAUUUUUUCGCAACUGCCAUCUACACAACCAUUUAAUACAUCUCGAAUCCUUAUUAUUAUGGAAAUAGAUCCUCUUUUUUUUUGUAUGUAUUAUUGAAUUAAAAUUGCCAAAUGACAGUUAUCGGAUUUGAUUUGUUGUUAAACUAAAUGAAGAUGAAAAGGAUGAUGGUGAUACAGAAUACAGACAAGAAAAUAAAACUAAUGGCUAAAAAGGAAACUUGAAUUGAGGAAGAUUGUGUUAUUAUGUCAAUUGUGUAAAAAAGAAUUUUGGGAUAAAAAUUGCAAUCGAAUUUGCCUAGAGACAUGGGAUAUUGUUUCUAGUGUUGCUUUUGGUUGCUCCGUGUUGGUUUUCUUAGUGGGUCUGAUUAUUUUAGCAUCAACGAAGUUGCAACAUUUUGGAUUGAGUUUGGAUAGUGACAUUGGUCAAUUCAAGCACUGAAUUUAGAUCCCAAAAAAUGAGGUUAAAGAUUAGGUUGAAUGCAAACUUUUAUUGUCAUAACUGAUUUGUAUGGGAAGUUUUGGAACAGCAAUGGUAGGCUGUCAAAAUUGUGAGAAUAUGGGGAUUAAACUGAAGUGGUUUAUUGAAGUUGUUAUGGUGGUGGUUAUGUUGUUAGCAAUAGUUGUAACGUGGAAGAAAUUUAUUAGUGUGUUUUUCUCCUUCUAAGUAAUAAAGGGGUAUUUUAGGAUUUUUAAGAACAAAUUUAGUAUAUUGAGUCUAUAUUGUUACUGAAAUGCUAAUCGUAGGGGAGGUAGGUAUAAUUUUUUAAACUAGAGGGGAGCUUCCUGCAAUAAUAAAAAAUCUCAAGGGAGGCUUCUGAAAUUAUCCCUUAAUUAAAUCCUUUAAGAUCGUAGAUGAUUUAAUUACGUCAUACAAAUUCUAACCUGCUCUCAUGAUUAGGUUAAGCAUAUUUAUCUAUCUAAUGCAUGAUUAUAUAUCUCUUCUCAGUUCACUACAAAUGCUAAAGCAUGUCUAUGGUGGCUAAUCACAAAUAUGUAAUUAAGAGAAGAUAAAUAAAUCAAGAUAAAAGUCAAGAAUUUAACUAGAAUAAAUAAUCAAUUCUCUUCAAAAAAUCCUAACCCUAGAAGUAAAUUAGUUCAUCAUAAUUGUAAGAAUAAACAAGAGUUCAAUAUUGAAAAUACAAGACGUGGAAUAAAGCGUAAGAAAAGUUUCUUACCGACUCCAAAUCCCGUGUCUUGAUUGUCAGUCUCGAUUCUUCAAUUCCUAAAGAAAGCCAUAGAACUAAUGUUUUGACAAGUGUUUUAUCUCCUAAAAAUGUUCUAAGUACUCCCAUUUAUAGUUUUCUAUAAUCUCUGUUGAAUCUCGAAAGGAAUAGGCUUCCCGCAUAGUUUUUUAUGACAUCCGGUGACAAGUCAAUUUCAAGAUCAAAUUUCCACGCGUUUGGAAUACAUUUCCUCCUCGAUCUCACUUUUUUGCAAGUUAGGAUCCAAUUAAAGCACAAAAAGGCAUAAUCAACCAAUAAUUUACAUGUGUAACAUUGCUAAAAUCCACACCCUACUUCCUAGUACUUUCCAAUUUAUUGGUUAAUGGAAUAAGAACUUUCUCAAUAUAGUUCAUUCUCUAUUUAUCCAUAAUUUUAACAGAUUCUUCUCAUGGCAUGAAACUUAUCCAAUAAUAAAUUCAAAAUAGUCAUAAUUGAUAUUUCAGGAUAGCCGCAAAAGCAAUUGGUAAAUGGAAACGUUUGAUGAAGAAAGUAAAUUCACAAAUCAGGAUGGCAACAGAGACACUUGCAAGCUUUGCAGUGAAUCAAGUUUAGAGAAUGAGAAUGUGAUUUCACUGGUUAACCCACUGAAGGAUAGGUUCAAGCCAAUUUUUCUUAUACCAUAUUCCGACCUAAUGCUGAUCAUGGUUGACAAGAUAAUUGAUAAACAAUUUGUAAUCUCUAACAAGGCCUUGACUAGCACUCUUACGAAGAAAUUUGCCAAAUUAGGUGAUAUAAAUUACCAAAUUUGCCAAAAGUGGAAUGUGAAAUUCGUCCAAAAUUCAUGGAAGGAAAAGAAAUAAUCAAGACUUCAAUAAUGGAAACGGAAGCAAGAAUAACGCUAGGCAAGACGGCAUGGACUUCAAUUGUCAAUUCCUUUGGAGUUUCAAUAUUUGGAUUGUAGUUUUUUAAGAAAAAAAUUUUACAUUUUUAAUGAACAUAUUUUUUAAUAUCUUAUUAUUUUAUAUAUAUUAAAUUAUUACAAAAAUUUUAAAAAAAUAACAAUCUAAACGCAGCUGCAGCGCUAGUGCUUGGCAAGCUUGAAACAACCCUCUCGAAUUAAGGUGUGAUAAUUUUGACCCAAAAAAAAUGAAGGUGUGAUAAUGCUGCACGUCAUCUACGAUUUUUCAGAUUCCUACUUCUAUACUUUGACAAAAGACAUGUCUAUGUCUGGCAGGAAGUGUGACAAUGCUGUACGGCAUCAACAAAUUUUCAGACUCCUACAACUUCAAUACUUUGACGGGAUAAUUUUGAAAACCUCCCUUGGGAUUUUGAUAAUUUUACUCUGCUUUCCUCAAGUUUAAAUAAUUAGGCUUACCUCCCUUGACAUAAUAAAGGACCUAUAAUGACCUUCACUUAAUAGACAAUUCACAGUGUAAUGCAAUAUAUUUGAAAAACCCCAAAAAAAAAUCAUUUUUUUCUAUGUCUUGCCUAGCUCCACUCUUCUCUUUUCUAGUUAUUAUAUUGUUGUGCCCUUUUUUUUUCAGUUUUAUAGAUAUUACCAAAUUGAAAUUGUAAAAUUAAUAGUUCAAUUGAGGGAGUGAAUUAUGUAUCAAAUUAGAAGAAAAUGAAGAGAUUUGGAGUGAUAGAGAAAAAAAAUAACGAAAUUAAUUAAUGAUUGAAACAGGUUGGAGGAUCAAAGAUGGAAAAUUUACCAUAUAUAUUUUUUUCUGUGGCAAGCAUUGAUGAUCCUUUGGAUAGUUGCUUUGAUUUGGAACUAGAGUUUUUACUUAUGUGGUUAUUAUGAAUUGGGAUGGUCAAUUUGUGAAAAGUGUGAAAGAAAAGAAUUGAAUAUAUUGUAUUUUUCCUUUUUACUUUUGUAAUAAAGGGUAAUUUAAGGUUUUUGAGAAAAAAUCUAGUUUGUUGGACCUAUUUUAUUAUAUAAACAAUAAAAGUAAGGAUUUAGAUGUAAUUUUUAAAACUUCAAAAGAACUCUUUGCAAUUAUGAAAUACCUUAAGGGAGGUUCAUGAAAUUAUCCCAUACUUUGACAAAAGACAUGUCAAUGUCAGCAAGACGUGUGAUUAUGCUGCACGCAUCAAUGAUUUUUCACGUCCCUACAACUUCAAUACUUUGACAAAAGACAUAUCUAUGUGUGGCAAGAAGUGACAUAAUAUAACAAAGAGCAAAUUUUCUAAAUAGUCCUUCAACUUUUUAACUAAUUCAUGUUUGAUCCUUCAUCUUAAAAAUGAGAUAGAAUGAUCCUUCAAUAAAAUUUUUUAGACCAAAUUGGUUCUUAGUGGUGAUGAGAUUUGAAUUUUCUUGCCUGUUCCGUCACAUAGGGACCAAUUCGGCCUAAAAAAUUUCAUUGGAGGGCCAUUAUGUCCCAUUCUUAAGAUGAAGGAUCAAAUAUGAAUUAGUAAAAAUGUCCUAUUGAACUUGAAGACGACACGGCUGCUGUGGAAAUUAAGUUCAAAGACAAUUCGUGGUUUCUGACGUACAGCAAUGAGCGACCCAUUUUUAGGAACCUCUCUUAAACUUCUAAAACUAUCACUUACCUCCCUUAUCAUUCAAACUCAACGUCACAAGUCACCAAUUGAUAUUUUUACCCUCAAUACUAUAGGUUUAUUCUGGAAAAAUACUUUCCACCCAAAAGAAUUGGCAUGAUUUUCUUCUUUUGCUUUUUUUUUUCUUUUGAAUUUUGCCCUGUUUUAAUAAAAAUGUCGCAUAUAUUAGUCCCAAUUCAGGAGCUUAUAUUUUUUAGCGUAAUUCUUUUAUGCCAGUUUACCUACCACAUUCCCCGCAUUAAUUUCAUUGCCUUCAUAUUAUUGGAAGAGUUUGUAUUUUCACUAGCGAAGUAGAGCUUGUUUUAGGGAUUUUUUUCCUCCGCUCUCAAAUUUUUUUUCUUAGUUUUGGCUCUCAAAAAUUUCUGGUUGUGGCCUUGCAAUUAGAACCACUUUUUUUUUUUUUUACUAAUAUUGAAAGAUUUGGUGAAUCGGGUGACUUCCCACUUGAAUUUCAAGAGACCAAUCUUGUUCUCUCUAUUUCUUUACUUUAUAUUUUAGAAUCUGUUCAUCAAUGUUUCAAUUCUUUUCACCUCAACUCUCUCCAUAUGCAUUUCCAGCAAGGUGUGUUUGGAUUGCUUGUUUCCGUCGGAAAAUAUUGUCGUUUUCCGUGAUCACAUUUCCCUAUCACCUUUUUCCCUCACAUAUAUCAAAUCGCUACAGUAAUUUUUCCAUGAAAAAUGACGGAAAAUGCAAUCCAAACAUGUGCUUAAUAGUUGUUAUCUAUUGUUAUAUUGAGUUGCAUUACAAUAACAAACACUACACAAAAUUUUCUUGGAUUUUAAAUCUUUUAUUAAUACUAAUAAGGAUUUUGGAUAAUGAAGGAACAAGACAACUGAAAGGGCAAUUUUGAAAUAAAAAUAUGCUCAUUUUACUUAAAUGAAUCAUUUAAUCUUACUUUGCUCCUAGUUAGGGGUGGUAGAUGAAUUGAGUUACUCGCAAGGAAUUUAGUCAAAUCUUUAUUCGAACUCGAGUUUGACUGAUACUCAAGUCAAUUAUUGAAUCGAAUUCAAGCAUCUAGGUAAUUGUUAAAUUACCUAAAAACCUAUAUUUUUAGAAAUAAUUGUCUUACCACUUGAGCUCGAAUUUGAUCUUAAUUUGCUUCUUGAGCACCUUUAUCUUUCACAUGAGCCGAACUUGAGUUUCAAAGUUGAUGAGCUCAAACCUGAGUUUGAGCUCAAGUAAUGUCUUCAAGCUCAUCGAGCUCGAGAUUGAAUACAUUAUAUAUUUGAGUUUGACUCCAUUCAUUGCCAUUCCUAUCCUAGUCAUUGAGCAUGUUACAAAAGAAUUUAUUUAGGGGAGGUUAAUGAGAUUUUCAAAAGUUUAGAAGUUCCAAGUGAUAUUCGCAAAAACCUUAGGGAAGGUUUUCGAAAUUAUCCGAAGAAUCAAUUCAAAGCCAGCUGAUGCAUGUGGCACAGAUUAACCUUAUCAAACAUGACCAUGUGCAUAAAGCCCCCACUGGAGUUCGGCAUUCAAAUCCCCACCGGAGUUCAUUGCCAUACUAACUUAUUUCAGCCCUGAUGGAGACUUGGCUACUCUUAGCCUUGGCAUGGGUUGUCGCAUUGGCUUUUCUCUCAAAAGUAUCCACUCACAAACGCCUGAAGCAAAAUCAUCCACCAGGACCAAAACCAUGGCCUAUUAUUGGCAACUUGAAACUCCUAGGUUCAAUCCCACAUCAAUCCUUACACUUGCUGUCCCAGAAAUAUGGAGAAAUCAUGCAACUAAAAUUUGGUUCCAGCCCUGUUGUAGUAGCUUCAUCCCCUGAAAUGGCAAAAGAAUUCUUGCAAACACAUGACAACAUCUUCGCCUCUCGGCCUACAACUGCUGCUGGCAUAUACACUAGCUAUAACUGCUCCGACUUGACAUGGGCACCUUAUGGUCCAUUCUGGCGACAAGCUCGUAAACUUUAUCUAACCCAAAUAUUUAAUCCAAAGCGACUUGACUCCUUCGAGAGCAUACGCAUUGAAGAAAGGCGUGCUUUCAUUUCUCGCUUGUAUGCCCUCUCAGGAAAGCCAGUAGUUAUGAGAGAUCAUCUAACACGUCUUACCCUCUCCACUGCAAGCCAGAUGGUUUUGACUAACAAGUACUUUGCCCAAUUCGAAGGGGAGGGAUCUCUACCUACCUUUGAAGAAUUCCAAGAGAUGAUAGAUACUUGGUAUUUGCUGAGUGGUGUGUUCAAUAUUGGGGAUUGGAUACCAUGGCUCGACAGAUUUGACCUCCAAGGUUAUGUAAAGCAAAUGAAAGAACUUCACAAGAAAUUUGAUAGAUUCCAUAACCAUGUGCUUGAUGAUCACCAGGCCAGGAGGAAAACAGAGAGAGAUUUUAUCCCUAAGGACAUGGUUGACAUUCUAUUGCAAUACGCUGAAGAUCCAGAUCUCCAGGUUAAACUCACCAGAGAUCAGAUAAAAGGGCUAAUUCAGGUGCUAUUUCUUCUCAUUGUUUAAUCAAAUUCCUAGGUCUCUGACUCAGUACCUCUUUAAGUUACUCAUUACGCAUUUUCUUACGAAAGUAAGAAUUCGGCAAAUAAACCUAAAGCCCCAUGAAAUCUUUCAAAAGCCGGCAACUUUUGAAGGCUCCCAGGAGACUUAUCUACUCAAAUCCCAACCCUCCAAGACCGAUGUGGGACAAUGAAACCCCAACAAGGGCCAAGCCUCUUGGGCUUUUGCCUCCAAGGGCUGCUGCUGCUAAGAAGUACCUCUUUAAGUUACUGAAUCUGAAAGCCAGCGGUCUUGCUUAGUAUAAUGUGCCAUUAAAGAUAACUGUCUCCUUUCUUCUAGUUAAGAGUUUUUUAUUUCCUUUCUAGAUUAAUAGUAUUACAAUUUGUAGUAAAGUAUCAACAAUAUUUGAUCAUAGAGGCACUAAGUUUACCAAUAUGUCAUGUUCGGGACUAACUUUACCGAUGUGUUGCUGACAUAACGUGCUAUUAAAGAUAACUGUCUUCACCCUCCAAAAAAAAAAAAAAGAUAAUUGUCUUCUUUCAUCCUUCUGAUUAAGAGGGCUUUGUUGCAUUUUCCAAGAUUCCAAUAGGAGAUUUUUUAAUACAACUAUGAUAUAAAUGCGUACCAUUUAUAAAACUAAUCUCUGAAAAAAAAAAACUAUCAACUAGAUUCAUAUUGAUUCAUUGCUAUUUGAAUCCUUUAAAUCUUAGGCUGGCCUUUCAAAUCAACAUUUAUCUUCAAUUUCUCUCUGGUAUCUAGGAUAUAAGAACUAUUUUGCAAUACCAAAGUAUACAACAUAAAAAUGCAUGUGAUCCGGGGAUUAUAACUAUAAUAUAAAUAACUUUUCUAUUAUCUUUUGAUGUUUCUAUUUUAAUCUAUCAUAAAAAUAGAAAUUAUCCAUAAGUCUCUAUGCAUUAAAAGCCAAUAAUGUAUAAAAGCCAAUAUCUUAUGAAAUACAUUAAAAUUCAAAUUAUAAUUGAUUACUUAAUUGGAUUCAAUCUAAUUUCACAGUUUGCAAUACAUAAUUAUUCAUAUAUAAGCCUAGCAUUGGAUCUAGGAUCCAACAGUUUUUUUCCUUCCAAUCUGUUGUAAAGCAUGAUACUUCACCAAUAUUUAAUCAUGGCAUGACUAACUUCUAACUUUACCAUUAUUUGAUCAUGGCCAGGACUUGCUGGUUGGUGGUACCGAUACCUCAGCCCUUACAGUAGAAUGGGCAUUGAAUGAACUUCUCAAACAUCCACGUCUCAUUCGAAAGGCAACCGAAGAGCUUGAUAGAGUGAUAGGAAGAGAUAAGUGGGUGGAAGAGGCAGAUUUCUCAAAACUUCCUCUUUUAGAGGCGAUCAUAAAGGAAACUCUCAGGUUACAUCCACUGGCAACGCUACUUUCGCCCCGUUAUGCCCUCGAGGAUUGCACUGUAGCUGGUUAUAACAUUGCUAAAGGAACAACGGUGUUUAUAAACACAUGGAGUAUAGGGAGGAACUCAAAGUAUUGGGAUUCUCCUGAAGAAUUCAUUCCAGAGAGGUUUUUGGAGAAGGAUAUUGACAUGAAGGGACAAAACUUUGUGCUACUGCCCUUUGGCUCAGGUCGGAGGAUGUGCCCAGGCUAUAACCUUGGAAUCAAACUUAUUCGAUCAAUGUUGGCCAACUUGUUGCAUGGAUUCAACUGGAAAUUGCCUCGUGGCAUGAAACCAGAGGAAAUUUGCAUGGAAGAACACUACGGACUCACAACCCAUCCAAGGAUUCCACUUGCUAUGAUCCCAGAACCACGUUUGCCGGUCAAUCUCUAUCAGCAAGUAUUGAUUUAAGGCAAAAUUGAAAUAUAUUCCUACUCUGUAUCAAUCAAAGGUUAAACUUAAUCUCCCCUCUCCAAUUGUAUCAUGCUUUUUUGAUCACUUGGCUCAAUUUAGGUGAGAGCUUGGGAGUUGGGACAGAGUAUAUUUGACCUAAGGAAACUUUGAAGGGACGAUACUCCUUUUGGUGAUUUCUAUUGUGAAAUAAUACAAAAGUCACAAUCAUACUGGUUUUCUUUUCUUUCUUGAAAUUGCUUUUGGUGAUUUCUAUAUUGUGAAAUAAAAGAAAAGUCACAAUAUAUUUUUUGGCUAAAUAACAAAAGUCAAAAUAUCGCAAUUAUGACGUGUGGAAGAAUUGACAUGGAAAUAUUGAAGACUGCACAGAGGGGGGAAAAACUGGCUCUCUUGUUAGCAAAGAAAAUAGGUACGCAACGGCAUUAAAUAUAACAUCUCAAAAAUUUGAUGAACAAACAAGGAGGCCCUCAAUUAGAGCCACAAGUCUUUUCAAGUUCUUGAGAACAAAAGAUAACAUUCACGAAAGCAGAGUUGGCACAACUUACUGGAACAGAGAAGGAGCAAAACUAAACCUUGUGCAAUGACCAACUUUAUGAUUGGUUCGCACAAGGCCUGUAAAAAAGACAAAACAAAUCUGACUUCUUGACUUCAUACUACUAACACAUGUUUCAAUAUGGCAAUGCUAACUAUGAACCCAAUUCCUAUGCAACUUCAAGAAUCUAACCAAACAGAUUGAACCGAGACACCCAAUUUAAGUAAAACUACGGGUGUCGAGGUUAAUUAAGUAGCUCAUGAGUUUGGUCUGUCAAAGUUCUCAAACUUUUCAUUGGUCAAGUUUAAGCUCGAGUUCGAGCAACUCGAGCUACUUGACGAGUCGAGUUCGAUUUUAACAUAUGAAACUCGAAAACUCAUUAAGGUUAAUUGAAUUCAAAUGAGCUUUACGCACACAUAUAUUAAUUUUUUUUAUAUAUAUUCUAAAAAUGUACGGAGCUGGCAUUGGUUUUGUGCUAAAUAUAAUCAAGUGAAUAUGAAUACAUCUCAAAUUAAAUUCAAUUAGAAAAUGAGUUAAAUUAUCUUACCUCAAUAUUGCAUGAAAAAAUAAAAAUUGUACCAUAAAAGUUUUACUGCAUGGAUUGAAGCACAAAUUAGAUUGCUCUCUUUAAGAUAAUUUGCACGUAUGAAGUAUUAUCCAAUGUACUAGGUUUUAGCAUGUUGCUUCUAACCUAUUUUUUACUGCAAUUUAUCCUAAUAUACCAAUAGGUUAGACAAAAACUUAACACAAUACUGUUUUUACUUCAAAUGAAAUUUAUACUAUAUAUAAAGGGAGAGUAGUGAUAGUUGGUAUAAAGAUUUUCUGCCAUUUUUAUGAACUUUCAAUUUUACCCCUUAGAAAAACUAAUUUUUUGUCCUAAUUACUUGAUCACAUUUGCCAACAUAUCACUGCUCAUAACUACACCAAAUAUUCCAGCUACCAAAUUAUCUAUUUUUUAAUUGAAGGAAAAUUACUUAUAAAUUGAUGUUUGUUAAUGAAAAAUUCUUUUAAAAUUUAUUUGUGCAAAAAUAAAAUUUGUGAAUUUAUAAAAAUAAUAAUUAUCUCUAAAUUGCACACAUACUCGGUGUGCCUUUAACACUAGUACAUAUAACAUAUCUAAAACUAGUUUAGUAUUAGUAGAAUAUAGUAGAAGAAUCUCCUUAUCAAGAGUAAGAAAUAUAGGUGUUACAAUAAUGUAAGAUAUCUGUUGUUUGAACAUUUAUUUAUAGGUAGAAUAUUAUAUGAGUGCAACCUUGACAAUUCACAUUAAAUCUAAUGACAAUACAAAAUUUUAGUUUCAAAAUACUAUUGCUUGUAAUGCCAUGUAUAACGGUCAAAUUAUUAUGAAAAUAACAUUAGAAAAGUUUCUCAUUUUUGUUAUCAAAUUUGUAAUUGAAAAUCAUUGAAUAAUAAUUGUAAUUUUUUUUUGUUAAAUUACUCCAACAAUACCCCCUCUUAUUUUAAUAACAAAUAAGUGGGGGACGUGAAACCAUUUGAUUUUACAUAACAUUGUCUUAGAGUUCUAUUAGAAGUGGCAAAAUGGAUAUAUGGUUGAUAAAUGGUUUUAGUUAAAUGGAUAGUGGAUCAAAUUGAUCCAAUCCAAUUAAAACCAUUUAAUAAAUGGAUCUAAAUGGAUGCCAUUUCAAUGGAUACUGUAAACCAUGAUCCAUCCAUUUAUCCAUUUACUCUCCCAAAUCCUAAAUUUAAGAUCCAAAUGUUUUUUUUCCAAAAAAUACAGAUCCCCAAAGUUCUAUCCCUAAAUCACCUAAAACCUUUUGGUAAUAACAAAUGCUUGUACUACUACUCUAUUUCAGUUCUUCAUAAAAUUAGUUUAGUUCCAAGAAAAUUUAACUGCUGUGGUCAAUUUAACCUUUCGUCAUUACUUUAAGUAUCAUUUUGUAAAGUAAUGAACAAUUAAGAACUUGGCUACAUUUUUAUAACUUUUGAAUGAAUUGAAUACGGCUUUAUAGUGAAAAAAAAGUUUACGUUUCCAAUUUUUGCACUCCUGUUCAAGAGUGAUGUCUUGAAUAAAAGUGGAGUUCAAAUAAGAAAUCUUAUGUUAUUUGAUAAGUAAAAUAUUUUCAUCACUUAUGCACGUAGUACCUAAAAAUGUAUGAAACUUCUUAUUAUACCAUUGAUAUACAAGCUACCUUAUAUUACUUAGUAAAUUAGGUGUCUUUUUUUUUGGAUAGUUGGGUUGGGUGAUAAGGGGAGAGAGAUUGCAAGUAUGAGGAUUUGGAAAAAAAAAAAAAAGGUGACAUUUACAUAUCUUAACCAAUGUUGCGGGGACACUCGUUAGAAAAAUUCUUUUUAUAAAUAAAAGAAUUAAAAAAAUAAAAAUUAUUUUGACACUGCAUGAUGCAUUCUUGCUUUUUCUUUACUUAAGAAUAUAAAUGUUUGCAAUCAUUACUGCAUGAGAGUUUAAUUAAAAAAAAAAAGAGUAGAGACUAAAAUAUAAUUUUGAAAAGGAUGGAAGAAAUCUAGGAACUAGAAGCAAAUAAAAUGCAAUUAAUGUUAUUGGCAACUUGGCAUGUGAGGAAGUUACGAAAGAAAGAAUAGGUGGUCCCACAAAAUUAAUCUAACAUAUGAGAAAGUUAUGAAGAAAAGAAUAGAUGGUCCCACAAAAUUUUAUCUCGCAUUUUUAUAAAUGUGUUUCCUAUUUUUUAAGUUAAAUGGAUGUAUAUGGAUAAGAUGGAUAAUCCAUUUAAAUCCACCAAUAUAAUUGGAUUUAAAUGGUUAUCCAUUUAAAACCAUUGAAUUUAUAUGGAUCAUCCAAAUCCAUUUAAGGUUGGUUUAUAUGGAUGGAUUGGUGGAUAUGAAUCCAUUUUGCCACUUCUAAGUUCUAUAUAGUCCCUUCCUCAACUUUCAUUUAAUUUUUUCCAAUUGCGCCUAAAUCAAAUUCUUACCUUUUAGAUAUACGUACUACUGUCCUAACACAAUACUAAUCAAUUCAAUACCCUACUAUUGGAAUACUAAAACAACUCAAUGAUGUCCUAACACAUCGUUCUUGGGCUGAUCCUGUGAGAUUUUAGUGUGAUUUCUGUGGUUCGGCGUUAUAAUCACUGAUGGCCGACUUUUCUGUUCAUUCUUCGACAGUAAAGUGUUGGGCAGUGACUGACCAACAAAUGCUUUGAUGAAGAAGAGUUUGUAGCAUUAAAAAAUUGAGAACGGAUAAAUUGUACUUGUUUGGCCCGAUGGAUACGAAAUCUUGUGGCACGUCUAUUCUUCACUAAAAUUAUUGGAAUUUGGUCACAGAUUUACAUGAAUCUUCCUCCAUCUUCUAUGUUAAUUACGGCUUUUUCAAAUUGAGGUUGUAAUUUUCAAGUUGAGCUUUUAUCUUCUUCAGCAAAUAGCAUCCAAUUUAAGGUACUUAAGUUUUGGCCUUUACUCAUUUGAUUUUAUGUUAUGACCUUCCAUCUGAUACGUCGUUGGGGAAACGGGGCCUCACAAGUUCCAUUUCAUACAAGUUGGUGUAAAUUAAUAAUUUACUUUCAACUUACAUCAAAUUAUCUUUAAUUUACACUAAAUAAUAAUAAUUAACUUAUACCAAACGGUACUUAAUUUACACCAAAUAAUAACAAAUCAACAUACAUUGAAUUGUAACCUAUUUACGUUAAACUUGACUUGAUUUAUACGAAAAUCAUAUUAAUUUAUACCAGAGGUCAAUUUGUGUGAAAUUGUACGAAACAUAAAUUGCGAUGAUUGCCUCUAGUUUUUUCUAGUUAAUUUUUAGUGUUUAUUAAUAGUUGUUUUUAAAAUGUACAUGAUGUGUUUUUAAGGUGUAUUUUGCAUAGAUCAUCCCCUCGUAUCCAUUUUCGCAAGUAUACGAGUCGAAAGCGAAUAUAGGAUAUUAAGGGUCGAACCUACAGGGAAGAUUUUCAAUUAUCGAUAUUUUUUUAAUACCUUUAUUAUUUAGACUAUCACAAGUACAAAGAAAUUAAAUCUGCACUACAAAAAUACAAUAGAAAGAUUCUAGAGGUAUGGAAUUCCUUACUACUCUUGCAAAUGAAGUUACCAGUUAAGUGAAUGCUAUUAUCUUAGUUAGGUAUAGCAUAAUUUCCUAAUGUAUGUGAAACCUACUCUCGUAGUGAAUCAACUAUACUUGUAACUAAAUUAUACCUACUCUCGUGGUUAUGAAAUCAACUACACGUUCAUUUCUUCUAUGAAAUUACAUUAAACAAAUCACUAAAACCACAUAAGUGCACCUCUACUGUCGUAAAUGUACUUCCUAGGUUUAUCACUUCCUUGAACUAGUGUUAAAUUUCAAUUUUCAUUACAAACUUAACACCUUAACAUUAUCACAAUUAAUGGCCGGUUAAUCAUGAUUAGAAAAGCAAAAGUGAUAAAUAACUUACUCAAAAUAAUAUCAUCAAAUAAACAUCACUAACAAGAUAUAGAAAGUUCAUCCAUAACUCUAGGCAUAAACUUUAACUAAUCAUGAAAAUAAGAUCCAAACUUGUCUUAUAGUUAAACAUGAAAUCAAAAACAAGAGAGAAAGUGAUAGGAGAGAAGUCACCCUUGUCACGCGAGUUUCAAACUCUCUAUUUUGCUCUUCAAAUCUUCACCUAAAUCUAACUACAAAUACAAGAAGGAAAAGCUACACUAACUAUACUAUACUACUCUAACUAAUGAACUAAGGAAAUUCUAAUAAAGACUAUAUUUUUGGUUAGUUUUUCUAGCCUUCCAAAGUUUUGAAAAUGGUCUCUAAAGGCUGCUAUUUACAGAGAAUUAAAACUCAAGGUAAGUUGUUUCUUGGUUGGCAAAGUUGGUCUUUUAAUUCAUCAAGAGUUGUUGUCCAAGUUUCCACACUCUUCUUGGUCAGAUAUAGCUAAAAUUUUAAGUUGUAGAUGAGCUCGAAAGGUUGUAUGAACGAAGAACAAGUUGUAGUAGAAAAUGAAGAAUACACGACUUGAAAACACGACCUUAGAUCACGUAUUGCUUACCCACGUAUUGCUUCUGCAGGUUUGUACUUUCUAGGCAGAAUUCAUCCUUACUCCAUUUUUUGUCCAAUUUCAACUGACAUUUUAUUGAUAAUGGAGGCUGAACUAGCUAUUGCACAAAACAUAAACAUUGUAGCCCUUUGAGUUAGCUUUCCAAGGCAUUAAGAAUCAUCCAAUUUGGAGCUCUGUGGACCAAGAUAUGAUUAGAUUAAUCAUGACUGGUCAAUUCCCUGUUUCAACUUUCGACCAUGAAAUUGCACUUCUGUAUUUUGACUUUUUGUCUAGGAAAACAACUGAAUUGGAUUUCGAUGUUUUCAUGCCAAAUGUAGAUCUAUCUCUUAGUUUCAAAAUAGUUCAAAAGUCACCUCAAUCCGAUGCUUUUAGCUCAAUCCAAUGCUCUUAGCCAUGAACUUCACAAGUUCAAUAGGUAACCAUUAGUGAUAUAAAUCUAAAAAAGGAAAAUGUGAAACAAAGGUGAUAACAAAGGCAUUUAUAAACAUAAACCGGCGAUCCGUAACUUUAUGCCUUUGUGGUGGUGAUGUACCUAUAGAUAAUACGCAACAAACUACUCAAGGCACAAGGAAAUACAUGAGGAAAAGAAAAAAAAAAGAAAAUGAACAAUGGAACCUAUAUUUGUCUUUAAAAAGAAACCCUAAAAACAUGAUUGCAGAAAACGAGAGCUUGAAGUCGCGUUUUAGUAACUCGCGUUUUUAGUUUAAAAGUUGUGGGACCAAAUACGUGACUCUUGAAAAAACAAUUUAAAGUCGCGUUUUGAAACUCUCGUUUUCUUCUUUGUUGUUGCAGAAUGGAAUACGUGGCUCAUGAAUGCGCGACUUGAAGUCGCCUAUUUCUGAGCACGCAUUUUCAAUUUCUGUAGUUUUCUGCAGAAAUUUUGCAACUUUUCAAAAAUUUGACUUUUACCCAAAUUAUUCAAAAUGCAUCUUAGAUCAUUCUUUUGCCAAAAUAAUCAAUACGCGCACAUGUAAAAUGAUCAAAACAUGCAUUUUAAUCCCUUCUAACAAGUCAAAAAUAAUAAUUACACAAAUUGAGGGGUUGAGUUCCUUGAUCGAAUUUCAUCCUUUUCACCUCAUUUGGUUACUUUUGCUUCUAUUUCCAAUACCUACAGAUGAAAAAUAACAAAAUAACUUAAACAUAAAAUCACAUAAAAUAAUAUGAAUAACAAAAAUAUUGGGUUGCCUCCCAACAAGCGCUUUUGUUUAUAGUCAUUUGCUCGACUAUUGAACCUCAUUUUUCAAGAAGCUAAAUAAUCCAUCAAUUUUGGUCGUGGUGGAUCAUUAAAAAGUGACUUUAUAGCAACAGUCACAGAAUCAAAUGAUAUGAGAGAUGGAAGUGGCUUACCUAUCUCAAGUGAUUCAUAGAUAUUAUCUUGAAUGUGUAGCACUUGAGAACUUACCAAAGGAAUGUCUGUAUGGCUUUUUUGGCGAAUAAUACAUUUAAAACCUAUAUUCUCAAUACAUUUCUCAAGAGGGGUGAAAAAUGAGUCGUUAAGACUCACCUCUUGAGGUUCAAGGUUAGCUUUAAAGGUAUUAUCAUGUGAAAUGGACAUUUUCUCAUUGAAAUACAAUUGAGAUUCAUCAUUUUCAUCAAAAUGCAAUCCAAUUUCACUUGCAACAUGCUCACCAUUCAUGCUAGGGUCAUAGUGCAUAUCAUUAGAAUAAAUAAUUUCAUACAACUCAUGCAAUUGGUCUUGUAUUUUGCCAAAAUGAUAAGCUAAUUUAUCUAAUCUUUUAUUAACCCUAUCAAAACAGUCGGAAGUUGCAUUUGUUAGCUUUUCUAUGACUAAUUCCUAAGAUAGCUUAGAAUUAUUAGCUAAUAGUUUCUAAUUGUCAAGAUGAAGGUGCAUUAACUAACUUUUCUAUUGUCCAUUUUCAAGAUGAUUUUGAUUCAUAUUGGACACAUUCGGGUAGAUAAUCAUAAAAAUAUGGAGAAUCACUAUAAUUACAUUAAUUAUCCAAACCAUAAGCAUAAGAAUUACCCCAAUUAGCGUUGUACUAAUCAAAACAAGGAUUGUAAUACCCAAAUUUAGCAUAAUAAUUCAUGUUUUGUGCUUGUCUAUAUGUAUGAGUAGCAUGAUAACCUCCGCACAAGUCAUAAAUCACAUGAUAAGAAUUAAAAGCAUUAACAUUCCUCUUUUGCUCAAUUUCAUGCAUAAAAGUGUCCAUUUGAAUUUGUAACGUUAUAACGUCAACUUUAGUCUUUAAGCACCUCAAACCAUCUUCAGACGACAUACUUUCUAUAAUUUCUUAGUUACCUCUAUUCAAAGAGUUUUGCAUGUAGUAAUCAUCCAUUGCCGAUCUUCCUUCUAUCAUACAUUGUCUCCUCAUAUUUUCUAUUCUCCUUAAAUUUUAAACAUGCUUUUAAAGUAAUUUAAAAACAAGUUUAGUCAAGAAGAAUAGAUGACUCGACACACAAACGAAAACAUGCAAAUAAAGACUCAACAAGACACUAAAUACAACAAACUAGACACAAGACACAACAAAGACAACAAAAAACAAGUAAAAUUGUCUAAAUUAAUAAAGUAAUUCUUAUCACCGAUAUUAACAAAUCUUCCUCGACAACGGUGUCAAAUACUUGACGUGCGCGGGGUAUACAUAUACAAUUAGUUCAUCCACAAUAAAGUUUUACAUUUAUAAAUCCUAAAUAGCCAUACGCGAUUUAUCACAAGUAUACGAAUCGUGAACGAAUAUAGGGUAUUAAAGGUCGAUUCUACAUGGAAGAUUUCAAUUAGCUAUGUUUUUUGAACUCCUUUAUUAUCUAGACUACCAUAAAAAUAAAAUUAAUGAAAAUAACACUAGAAUGAAGUUACCGGUUGAGGGAAUACUAUUAUCUUGACUAGUUAUGGCGUAAUUUUCUAAUGUACGUGAAACCUACUCUCGUUGUGAAUCAACUAUACUUGUAACUAAGCCAUACCUACUCUCGUGGUUAUGAAAUUAACUACAAGUUCAUUCCUUCUAUGAAAUCAUAUGAAACAAGUCACUUAAGCUACAUAGGUGUACCUCCACUCUCGUGAGUGUACUCGCUAGGAUUAUCACUUCCUUGAACUAGUGUUAAAUUCCAAUUCUCAUUGCAAAUUAAACACUUUUAAAUAAUCACAACCAAUGGCCGGUUAAUCAUGAUUAGAAAAGCAAAAGUGAUAAAUAACUUGUUCAAAAUAAUAUCAUCAAAUAACCAAGUAAACUUCACUAACAAGAUAUAGAAAGUUCAUCUAUAACUUUAGGCAUAAACUUUAACUAAAUAUGAAAAACAUUAAAGAAACGAUCAUACUUGUAUUAUAACUAAACAUAAGAUUCAAAUACAAGAGUUAAAGAGUUGAAUAGAUGGAACCCCUUAUCACAUGUGAGCAACAUCUUUUCCAUCUUCAAACCUCAAUCAUCAUCCUUGUUUAGUAUGAUACAAGAUAGGAUAAAACUAUACUAACUUACCUAAACUAAUGAAUUAAAAAAAACUAGUGAAGACUACAUUUUUGGUAAGUUUCUCUAAAGUUAUGAAAAUGUCCUCCAAAAGCUUCUAUACACAGAGGAAAUUUUGCAAGAGACAAUGUUAAAUCAUGUCUUGAGCCCAUAAACAAGGUAGAAAUAAGUUGUAAAGCUUCUUUUAUAGCUGUCUUGGGCUGUUUCCAUUGAUAUUCUUGCAGAAAAAUGGGUUAAAAAGCUUGUAUGAACAAAACACAAAUUGUUGAACAAGUUGCAGCCAAAAUUGAGGAAUACGCGACUUGAGAUUUCGCAAUUUCAAGCCACGUAUUCAGGUAGUCGCGUUUUCACUUCUGCUCACUUAGUACCACUUCAACUACUAUUUUCUCAUUGAUGGAGACCGAACUAGCACUUGUGCAAAACUUAAACAUUGUAGCUCUUUGAGUUAGUUUUCCAAUACCUCAAGAAUCAUCCUAGUUAGAGCUUUGUGAUCCCAAAUAUGACCAAAAUACCAACGACUGAUCAGAGCUCUAUUUCAGCUUUCGAUAACAGAGUUUCAGUUUUGUAUUUUGACAUUUUGACUAUGAAAACGACUGAACUGGAUUUUGAUGUCUCAUACCAAAUGUAGAUCUAUCUUUUGGAUUCAAAAUAGUUCAAGAAUCACCUCAAUCCAAUGCUUGUAGCUCAAGAUAUAGCCAAAAUACUACCAGGUGUCAAAACUGUCUUCAUUUGCAUUUCUUUAUUUGAAUGUUUUGCAUUUCACGUCUUCUUUUAACAACUUCAAACCAUCAAUUAUCAUCCAAUUAUAUUCUCAAUUCAUACCCUUUGAUGAUUGAAUCAUUAAACUUAUAAAAAUAUGAAAUUUUCACCAUCAAAAUCCAUAGAAAUAUAAUUGUCAUAUGUUAAACCAUAAAAUGCAUAUUUUCACUAGAAUCCUACUUAAUUAGUUAUAAAAGUAGUUAAAACACAUCAAAACUAACUAAUAAAACACACUAAAAGUACGUAAAAUAUAUACUUGUCACUUAUAUGGACACUUUUUAAAUCCCUCCUUAGAAAAUGAGCAUCUAUACAACAAUACCAAGCACGUGCGGUUUGUUUCAACCUAUAUAAUGUCUUUUUGAGUUUGUAUACCUUAUGUUCACUUCUAAGCUUCCCAUAACUAGGAGGUUGAUCAAUAAAAAUAUGUUCCUGUAGAUUACCAUGUAAAAAUGCUAAUUUCAUGUCCAAUUGGAAGAUAGAUCAUGAAUGUUGUGCUGCCAAUGUAAUCGCUAUCCUGAUCGUGUCUUGCCUUGCGACUGGAGCAAAGAUUUCUUCAUAAUCCAUCUCAAACUCUUGCUUAUAGCCUUUAACUACUAAGCGUGCCUUGUACUUAUCAACUUUUUUAUUCUCCUUUAAUUUCGUCUUAUACACCCAUUUGACACCAAUUGACUUUUGUCCUUCUGAAAGAUCGGUUAAUACCCAUGUGUUGUUUUGUUCAAUAAUUGCAAUUUCUUCAUCCAUUGCCUUCUAUCACUUUAAAUCUUUGAUAGCCUCUUCAAAAACUAUAGGAUCACAAUCGAAAAAUAGAGCAAAAUAUAUAAGUGCAUCUUCAGAUUGGUCAAUUCUAGUUACCUCAUAAUCAAUCAUCCAUGCAGGUCUUUUUCUAAUACAUUGAUACUGUUCUUCAUCUUUUGCUAUUGUUUGGGAACUUGGAAUAUCAUUUGAACCAUCUGGUGGAAUUUGUUCUAUCGACUGUUGCCUAUUCUCUUCAUCAACUCUAUUAAAAUCAGUAGGUAUUUAUUAUUUAAUAACAUUAUUGCUCCAUAGUAAAAAAUUUUCCUCAUCAAAAAUUAUAUCCCGACUAAUGGCAAUUUUCUUAGUGAUAGGAUUAUAAAAUUUAUAGACCUUUGACUGAUCACUAACACUAAGAAAAAUACAUUUCUCUCCCUUAUUAUCUAGUUUUGUCCUCUUUUGCUUUACAAUAUGAGUAUAGGCAAUGCAUCCAAAAUUCUGAAGCGAUCCACUAUUGGUUUUCGUCCAUUCCAUACUUCCUCAGGAGUCAUAUUUUUAAUGGCAAGUGUAGGAUUUCUUUUCAAUAUAUGAAUGCUUCAGUCGACAGCUUCAAACCAAAAACUUUUUGAAACACCACUUGUUGUCAAAAUGGUCGUUACCAUAUUCAAGAUUAUACGAUUCUUCCUCUCUGAAAUACCAUUCUGCUGUGGUAUAUAAACUGCUGUAAGUUGCUUCUGAAUUCCAUAUUCCUUACAAAACUUACAAAUUUUUGUGAGUUAUAUUCUCCAUUACGAUCACUGCAAAAAAUCUUUAUGGACUUGCCUGUUUCCUUAUGAUACUUCAAUUUUUUUUUUUGUAAAAAAUAAACCCAAGUUUUUUGACUAUAAUGAUUAAUAAACGUCAUAAAGUAACGUUUUCCACCAUUAGAUGGCUGAUUUAUGGGUCCACAUAAAUCAGAGUGAACUAGCUCCAUACAUUCUUUGCUAUCCACGAUUUUUCUUUUGAAAAAUUAUCCCAAUGUUAUUGGCCUACGACGCACUCUUCACAAACUUCUGAAGGAAUUGUAAUCAGAGGUACACCAGUCACCAUAUUUUUCUGCUGCAAAGUCUUUAAUCCAUUAAAAUUUAGAUGUCCAUAACUAAAAUAUCAUAACCAUAAAACAUCUUUUGAUUUGCUGAGAAACAAGAAUGAGUCGAGUUCUGCAAAUAGAGUGAAAACAUACGAUUUGCUAUCAUAUUAAUUUGAGCAAUUAGGCCUAACUUUGUAUCUCAAACCCGACAUACUCCAUCUUUUAUAGAAAUCUCGUACCCCUUUUCUAACAACUAACCCAUACUAUGCAAAUUUAUCUUUAAAUUUAGAAUAAAAAGGAUAUUAGUGAUAGUAUGAGUAGAAUUUUUUUUAGUUUAGAUAGUUAUCUUUCCUUUUCCCAUAAUGAAAAUUGUAAAGUUAUCACCAAACUUGACAGUAUUAUGGAAUGACUAGUCCAACUCAAAGAAUGCCUUCUUAUCUCCACACAUGUGAUUGUUGCAACCGGUGUCUAAAUACCACAUGUCUUAUUGAGUUUCUUUACUCAUGUGACACACCAUUAAAAGAAACACUUUUUUUUUUGCAAAAUUAGUUCUUUCUCCAAUUUGUCUAUUCAAAUUAGUUUGACAUUUUGACUGAUAAUGGCCAUACCUAUGACAUUUGUAACAUUCAACAUUAGACUUGUCUACUGACUUUGGCCUUUGAGUUGUUGAUGGAUGGCCUCCCCGUCCCCUUUUUCUUCCUUGAAAUUGAUUUUCUUCAUAAUGGUAUUGUUGUUAUUAGUUGCCACAAUUAUUGCUUCCUCUACCUCUGCCUCUGCCUUUGCCUCCUCUCCAUGUUGAGUGAUUUUUUGUUGAAACCUUCAAUACUUGCUCCUCUUUCUCUUGCGGGUUAAUUUUUUGCUCAUGAAUCAACAAAAAGCUCUACAACUCAUUAAUUAAAAGUGCAUCAAUAUCUUUUGAUUCCACUACAAAGUAUGCAAAAAAAUUAAAUGUUGUUGUCAUCGAUCAAAGGAUCUUCUCGCAAUUGGUGACGUCCUCCAAAUUCACUCCAUGGAUCCUCAUUUUGUUAGCGAUUGCCAUCAAACUUUUGAAAUAAUCUGUGACCGACUCACUUGAUUUCAUGAGUAAAGUCUCAAAUUCGGUUCGAAGAGUUUGAAGUUGCACCCACUUUGCCUUCGCAUUUCCUUGAUACUUCUUCCUCAAAGAGUCCCAAAUCUGUUUGGAGGUAUCUUUGCUAAGAAUUGUCUCCAAGAUGACUCGAUCAAUAGUCUAAAAAAGGUAAUUCUUGGCUUUAAGAUCCUUUAGGUUCAAUGCUUCAAACUCUGUUUUCUGCACCUCUAACAAUACUAGUUCGGCUUUUGGCUUUACUACUCCAGAUUCGACAACCUAUUAAUACUCCUUAGAUUCAAGAAGUUCUCCAUCAGCAUGUUCUAAUGAUCAUAGUGAUCAUCAAAGCGAGAAAUUGCUGGCUGCACAAAGUUGUUGGUAGCCAUCGUGACUUACCAACACAAUUUUCACAACUCACUUUUGUUUUCACUUAAAAACCUAGCACUGAUGCCACUGUUAAAAUGACUAAGAAAAAUAAUAAGAGAAUCAAAGAAUUAGAUUUUAUUUCUUAGUAAAGCUAAUGCUUAACUCAUAACAUAGAAAUUGCUCUAUUUAUAGAGUUCAAAACAACUUCGCUAACUAUCCCACUAACUCCAGUAGCUACUCCACUAAUUUCACUAGCUACUCCACUAAUUCCACUAAUUAGGUAGAACAAAAUAAACAAACAUAGUCAAACUAACCACAGUAAAUAUCUCUAACACUCUUGCCUCUAUUCCACAGCUUUAAAGAAAUAAGUAUGAAAAAAAUAAUUUCCUAAUCAAUUCACUGGAUUCUAUUAGAGGUGGCAAUCAGGUCGGGGUUCGCGUUGGCGGAUCGGGUUGAUGCCCAAGUAUAACAGAAAACCCACUGACCCGAACUUGACCCGCCAACUCGAAACGGGUUAGGAUAUCUGACACGAACCCGAAAAUUUUGGAUUCGCAGGUCGACCCGAAAAUUAAUUUUAAUUUAUUAAUUUAUCACUAUAAUUUCUAAUAAAAUCAAUUUCUGACAAAAUUAAUUACAUUAUCAAGUAAUAAAAAUUUAAAUAAAUAAUUUCAAACCAAAUAUAAAAUAAAUUAAACGCUGUAAAAGUGUUUUAUCCCAAACCAAAUAUAAAAUAAAUUAAAAUAACAUAAAAGUAAAAAAUAAUAUAAUAUAUUAUUUGUCUAAAUAUAAUAAUUUCAACUUCACACAAGUUAAAUAAAUUCAUUUAGGAUUAAGUAAUUAAUGAUUUAAUGCCUUUGAAAAAAAAAGAAUGAUUUAGUUUAGUUAGAUAAAAUAAUUUUUAUGUGUAUUAAAUUAUUUUUAAUUCGUAAACGGGUCAUAUCGGGUCAUAUCAGGUCACCACGGGUUGACCCGAAAUCGACCUGUUUUUUUUUUUCGAGUUCAUCGGGUUCAAUCCGAUUCUGACCCGAACCCCCGAAACCUCAAAUUGACAGGGCGUCAACCUGUGCAAUAAUACUAAUAAUAAUAACCUAAAUACCACUAAAAAGCUGUCAAUAAUUAAUCCUAGGUACUGGAGCAGGGACUCUAGGUGUGCAAUGGGUUACUUGAUUCACCCUGUUCCCGAAGAGUUUGCUAAAUCCGAUAUAUCAGAAUUAAUUAGUUAGCAAAAAUCACUGAAUAGUAGACAGUGGCAAGUAGAGUCGUCUCCUCAGGGACUGGGGAUAUUUGUCUCUCUUAAAUUCCAAUUGGUAAGGGGGGAUUUCACCGGAAAGAAACUAAAAUCAAUUAAACAAUUCAACUAAAAAUAAAUAAUUAACUAGCACGAAUAUAGCAGGAAUUAAAUCAAGAAUAAAUAAAUUCUAGCCAGGGAUGCAACUACUCAGGCACAGUCCAUUUAUCUGAUCAUUGAUGCGAGUGAGGUUCACUUAAUUUAUUAAUAGGCUAGUUAUAGUCUGACGACCAAUUUUUCCUUAAAUUAUUGAUAACCAAGGUACGACCAUUGAUCACCCCUAACCAGAAAAUACUCCUAGGUACGACCGUAGGAAUUAAUUUCCCAAUUGCAUUAAUAUUAGAAAAACCUAGCCCUAACCAAUAACACGCUACGAGGGUUAUUUAAAUUAGAUUGCACGUUCCCCUAAUGUGUAAACACACCAGUUGCCACUAACAUUAAUCAAUCAAACAAUUACGGAUUUAAUUGACUAAAUUGGCACGAGGUUAAUAAAUCACAUCGAACAUCGGGCCCUUGACAUCCAAUUAAUAAAAUAAUCCCAUGAAAAUACAAGCAGGCAACGUGCAAAUAUUAAUAAAUUAAGGGACGCGUGAAAACUAAUUAGAUCUCACAGGUUUUCGGGACUGCGCCGUCGAGUUGACCCUUGACUAGAUGGAAGAUUUAGCCACGCCGCAUAGUUAAUUCACCACACGAAUUAAUAAAUUGCGAAGGCAUUGUUUUUGACUAAAAAGUAAGGAAUAAAGGAUGUUUUUCCCGUUGGGGAAUAUUGUCGAACACCUGGCGUGUGUCAGAGGCCAGUCAGGAGGAAAAAAGAACUAAAACUAAAACUAAAAGACUAAAACUAGAGAUGUUCUGCUACUCUACGUUAUCCCUAUUUAAGCAACAAAAGAAAGAUGACUAAAAUCUAUCUAGGUGGUCCCCACACAUGUGGACAAAGCCUUCAAAGUACUUCUUGCCCCAAGUCUCUUUCCGUAGCUUUCUUUUAAGAGUCCACAAUGACAUAUAGCUUGUGGUCCCCUACCAAUUCAAGGGCCCAAGAAUUGAAACCCUUAGAAGUCUUCAUAUUUUCCAUCAAAUCCCUUCUUUUUUGGUAGUUCCCUGUUUCAUCCCUGAAAUUAAGUCCAGAUACCAAAAAUGAGUAGAAAUCAGCAAUUAACACAAUAUUUAUCAGGGAUAGAAGGGAGAAUUAAUAAUAAAAUUACUAACAAAUUAUACCCUAUCAAUUCCCCCCACACCUAAAUCAUGCUUGCCCUCAAGCAUGGGGACAAUUCAACUCAACACAGGCUAGCUUUCACACUUUCAUUUCCAGCUGUGCUUAUACCAAAAAUCAAGAUUUAGCGGCUAAGUGUCAAGUCAUAUCUUACUCGGUUAGCUUCUGAGUUCACAGACCUGUCCAAUUCAUGGCUAUAUCGUUUAGGAAAUCCAAAUAUUAACUAGCAAUAGUCCAUAAUUAAGUCAACUGUCAACCAAAAUCUCAACAAUACGAACCAAGGAUCGGCAGGCUAACAUGAUCAUAAACUCACAUACUCUCCACAUCUGAUUUUCUCUUCUCUUUUUUUUCUUUUCUCUUUUUUUUGAAUUUUUUUUUUUGAUGCUUAGUCCCGAGCUAUUCAAGUCUUUUGACGUGAACUCUGACAUUUUUAGAUGAAAGAGCCCAGUUACUCAACUUUUCACAGCUCCAGGACCACUUACUCGUAGAUAUCGCCACUUUUUGACGCGAGAGCCGACACUUGUGGUGAAGGCUCCCGGUUACUAGGUAGCGACACUAGCGGAGUAAAGCCAUACGUUAUUCACCAAUAACACCAAAAUACCAAGUAUUUAAAGAUCAUAGCCUGCGUCAUGUCCCAAAAAUGGAGAACUAAGGUAAACAGGAGACCAAACUACACAACAAUGCCGGCAAAAUAUUUAUAAUGCCUAAACAAGUUAGCCAUAAAUUGCACCAAGUCGUUAACCUCAAGGUAUUCACCAACACAGCAUGCUUUUACUAGCCAUCGAAACUCAACUCAUAGUAUAAACUACAACUAGCGAUAAAGAAGUGAGCUGCCAACAUAUUCACCAAGACAAGAGUAAGGGAAAAUCACCUAAAAGGGAUAAAGGAGCAACACCUAAAACAGAAAACACUAAAAACAUAGGAAAACACCCCAAAAACGAAAAAUUGGCAAUAUCUAGCACCCAAACUGACCCCCCCACACCUAAUGGACACAUUGCCCCCAAUGUGAUAAUGGAAGAGCAGAAAAAGGGGAGGGGCAAGGUUACUUCCCUGAAGUCGUCAAGACAAGGGAGGGUUAGGCGGAAACUGCGGAGGGAACCCGGCCUGCUGCAUAAAUGCCGCUAGAUUCUGCGCCAUAUUGUGAAUGUUAACGUCCAUGUGCCUCUGCCGCAUCUCAAGCCGCUCGACUGUGUUGCGGAGCUGGUUCCAUUCCUCAUCCGUAUGGCCGGAAGGGGGAGGAGCGGAAGUCGAAGGACCGGGGCCACCACCGGAAGUGGAAGGGCGUGCAAACGAGGAUCGCAGAGGGGCAUUUACUGGUCCCGGGGGCACAAUCUCCCACCCGUUAUCACCCUCCCGGACCAAACCCAUUCGCUCCAAGCACGGGAUGUCCAAGGGCUCCAUUUGACAAGCAACAUGUAAAUCAUGGUUAGAGAGAUCAAGCAACUGCAAGUUAACAGCCAAAUGGGUGAUAUAUGACCCAAGAAUCAAGGGACGCUUCUUUUUUGUCAAAACAGACUUAAAUUGAGUAGCGAGCCAGCACCCCAAAUUAACCUUAAUAUUAUUAUGCAUGCACCAUAUGAAAAAGAACUCUGGCUUGGACAAUACACCCGAACUAUCCCGCCUACCCGAGAAACUAUAGGCUAGGAAACGCUGGAUGUAGCGAGAAGCGGGGUCCUUGAUGUACGAGCUCUUGGUCUGGCGAGGAUCAUAAGAGGCAGGGUCGACAGACAACGCCUCCCAUAUACUCCGAUAACGAGAGAAGAAAGGCUCUAUGUAGUCGCACGCACUCUCGGCAUACUCCCGAGAGGCGGCAUAGGACUGGUCAAUAAAGCCAAAAGCUAAGUUAAACUCAGUGAUCGACUGGUGAAACUCCUGACCCAUCAAUCGGAAGUGAAUAACAUUGGGGGUAGAGGCAGAAUAACCGGUAGUAAUGGUGAACUCAAAGGUGGCAUAGAACUCCCUAACCAACUCAACAAAGGCCGGAAGAUUAACAAUACGGGAAUAUGGGCGCCACCCAAUGCCAUGGAUCAAAUGGUGGAAGGGUUCGCUAAUAUUGAGAAGGCCCAUGGUGGCAGCAUCCAGAUAACGGCAGGGAGUGAUCUGCCGCUCACAACAAACAGCAUAUCGCUGUUUGUCGGCAGUCUUAGUGAAGUGCAGAUUGCCCCCAAAAUGUGCAGGGUCAGAAAUAUGGACGCCCCUCUGUCUCCCAAGGCGAGCUCUCCUCCCAGAGGAGGAAGGUUCGUGCGAGGGGUCAGAGACGGGAAUAUUGGGUGGAGGUGUUGGAGGUUGUGAUUUCCUAGGUGUUUUAGACUUAGAAGAAGAUCGGGGCUUCACCAUGGUGACCAACAGGCAACCCAAAACAAUAGAGUAAGCAGCAAAUGCAAGCGUCACGGGCGCCCCCAAUAAGCAAAUAUAAGCGUCACGGGCGCCCCCAAAUGUAACCAGCAAACGCAGCAAUUCACCACAAAGUAAUUGAGAAAGUUUAAGAAUUCAAGCAACAAAGCAACCAGUACCACUGGUGCUCAGACAGUAAAGUAUGAAAUUCAACGGAAGCCCUUAACCACAACAAAAAUCUCAACCAGUACCACUGGUGAGUCACAGGGGAAACUAAAACAAAUAGCCAACUCAAUAAAUAUAGACAAACCACUCCAACCAGUACCACUGGUUUACACACGGAGGUCAGACGGCCAACAAUUCAACAAAAUCAGAAAUACCCCCACAUAUGGUAGCAAUUAGACCCAAACCUGUCCAAAAUGGACCCCAAAAAUUUCUUAAUUCACCCCUCAAAUAUCGCAGCAAAAAUCCCAAAAUUAGCCCCAGAAAAUGCUUAAUUCACCCCCCCAAAUAUCACAGCAAAUUCCAGCAAAUUAAGGACCAGAAAUCUAUAAUGAAAAUGAAAAUUGCAAUACCUCCACCUGCCAAAUUUGGGCAGGUGGUGACGCGUGGCUGCGAGGGGCGCUUGACGGCUAGCUGCUGAGAGGUGGAGGCUGUUGGAGCUGCAUGUGGCACCGGCGAGGUGAGCGAGUGUCUGAGCUGGAGUGGCUUUGGUGGUGGCCGCACGGCGGCGGGCGUGGGCUGUGGCACGCAGCGGCGCGCGGCGGUCAGCAGGGCAGCGAGCUAGAGGGCUGCUGGUGUGCGGCGGACUGGGCUAGAGAAGGAGUCGUGCGGGCGCGCUGGUGGAGCUCUGGUCGGCAGCUGGGGCGGACUGGUGGUUGGCGGUACGGAGGCGCGCGAGAGGAGGAUAUCGGCGGCGCGCGGCAGUGGCGAGCGGCGUGCGGCGUGCGGCGCGGAAGGAAAAGAAGGAAAAGCAGGGCAGCGGGGAAGAAGGGAAGAAAGAAAGAAAGAAAGAAGAAAAAGAAAAAAGAAGAGGAAAGAAAGUUUUUUUUUUUUUUUACAAAUCCUCCGUAUCUUCAUCUUCAUUUUUCAUUCAAUUUUGAAAUUUUUUUUUAUUUUUUUUAAAUUUUAAUUGUAAUAAAUAAGAUUUUUUUUUUGGAUUGCAAAACAUGGCGUGGGCACGCCAAGAUUCGCCAGUAUCCACUGCCUUCGAGAGUUCCUUAAGCACCGUAACGCGUGCCCUCCUCGCGUGGGCACGCCAAGAUUCUAUUCCCUACCAGUGUCGCGAGAUGUUGAGAAUUUACCAACACGGCGCGCGCACGCCAAGAUUCGCGAGUAUCCACUGCCUUCGAGAGUUCCUUACGCACCGUAACGCGUGCCCUCCUCGCGUGGGCACGCCAAGAUUCCCUUUACUGAUUAGAGUUAGAAAACACCAAGAGUGACAAACACCCACGUGAGAAACGACAUGAUUUAAUAAUUAAGCACUAAAACAACAAAAUUAACCAUUGGGUUGCCUCCCAAAAGCGCCUUUCUUUAACGUCUUUGGCUAGACGUUGUCCAAAACUUUGCUUAAACUAAGCAAGUAGGGUCCUCCAAGUGCAUCAUCUCCACCCUUUCAGUUGGAACCCCUUCAUAAUACGGCUUAAGACGAUGACCAUUCACUACAAAUUUCUUCUCAGUCUUCAAACUUUAGAUCUCUACUGCACCAUAAUGAAAGACAUUAGUCACAACAAAAGGACCAAUCCACCGAGAACGUAAUUUACCUGGAAAUAACUUCAAUUUGGAGUGGUACAGUAGAACUUUUUGCCCACACUCGAACGUCUUCCUAGAGACCUGCUGGUCAUGAAAAAUCUUGUUUUUCUCCUUAUAAAUCAUAGCAUUCUCAUAGGCUUCAUUGCGAAUCUCCUCCAAUUCUUGUAACUGUAGCUUCCUUUGAACCCCGCCCUCUUCGAUAUCCAUGUUGCAUUGCUUGACCGCCCAAAAUGCUCUAUACUCGAACUCGACAGGGAGGUGGCAUGGCUUUCCAAAUACCAAACGGUACGGAGACAUGCCGAUCGGUGUCUUGUACGCCGUUCUAUACGCCCACAAGGCAUCUUCAAGUCUCCCACUCCAGUCCUUCCUAUCAGGUCGAACCAUCUUUUCCAAAAUCAACUUGAUCUCCCGAUUCGAUGCUUCCGCCUGACCGUUUGUCUGCGGAUGGUAAGACGUGGAGACUUUGUGCAAGACACCGUACCUCCUGAAAAGCGCAGCAAUCGUCUUGUUGCAGAAAUGGGUAUCCCGAUCACUUACAAUUGCUCGAGGCAUUCCAAAGCGGACAAAAAUGUUAGAUUUGACAAAUUCUGCAACCACUUUGGAAUUGUUAGUACGAGUGGACUUUGCUUCCACCCAUUUCGAAACAUAGUCUACAGCAAGCAAUAUAUAUAGAAAACCAUAAGACGAAGGAAAAGGGCCCAUAAAAUCAAUACCCCAAACAUCAAAAAUCUCAACAAAGAUCAUUGGGGUUUGGGUCAUUUGAUCCCUACGAGAAAUAUUACCUACUCUUUGACACUUAUCACAUGACUUACAAAAUGAGUAGGCAUCUUUAAAGAGGGUUGGCCAAUAGAAUCCACUCUCUAGAACCUUACGGGCAGUCCUCUUUGGUCCAAAGUGACCCCCACAUGCAAAAGAGUGACAAUAAGCUAAAGUAGACUGAAAUUCAUUUUCACUUACACAUCUGCGAAUGAUUUGGUCGGCACCACACUUCCAGAGGUAAGGGUCAUCCCAGAUGUAAGACUUUGCGUCACUCCUUAACUUAUCCCUUUUUGCCUUAGGCCACCCUGCAGGAAACUUGUCAGUAACUAGAAAAUUAACAAUAUCUGCAUACCAGGGCAAAGUUAAAUUAGCAGAAAAUAAGUGCUCGUCGGGGAAGGUUUCUCUCAAUGGGAUAUCGUCCUUGGUGACUUGUACCCGACUCAAGUGAUCUGCAACCAAAUUCUCUGCCCCUUUCUUAUCUCUGAUCUCCAAGUCAAACUCCUGUAGCAACAGUAUCCACCUUAUCAGUCGCGGUUUUACCUCUUUCUUGGUCAACAGAUACCGCAGGGCUGCAUGAUCAGAGAAGAUAAUAACUUUAGCACCAAGUAAAUAGGAACGAAAUUUUUCUAAAGCAAAAACUACAGCUAAAAGCUCUUUCUCAGUGGUCGAAUAGUUCAAUUGGGCUCCGUUCAAGGCUCGAGAUGCGUAGUAUAUAGCGUGGGCUGCCUUUCCCACUCUUUGACCUAGCACCGCACCCACUGCGUAAUCGCUGGCGUCACACAUGAUUUCAAAUGGGAGAUUCCAGUCAGGGGAUUGGAUGACGGGUGGAGAAGUGAGUAAUUUUUUUAACUUCUCGAACGCUUCUUCGCACUCGUUGAAUUCAAAACUGACAUCCUUUUGUAAAAGCCUGAAAAGUGGUGCUCCGAUCUUUGAGAAAUCCUUGAUAAAUCUGCGAUAGAAACCUGCAUGUCCUAGAAAAGAACGAACUUCCCGUACAGUUACGGGGUAAGGUAAAGCAGUUAUCACAUCUAUUUUAGCUUUAUCAACCUCAAUUCCUCUAGACGACACUACGUGUCCUAGAACUAUCUCGUGUUCAACCAUGAAGUGACAUUUUUCCCAAUUUAGCACCAGGUUAGUCUCAAUGCAUCUUUUUAAAAUCAAUGUCAAGUUAUCUAAACAAUCGUCAAAACUAUCACCAUAGACACUGAAGUCAUCCAUGAAUACCUCAAUUAUUCUCUCUACAUAUUCAGAAAAAAUGCUAAUCAUGCACCUCUGGAAUGUUGCAGGGGCAUUACACAACCCAAAAGGCAUUCUUCGAUAGGCAAAAGUGCCAAAGGGGCAAGUGAAAGUUAUUUUCUCUUGAUCUUCUGGUGCAAUUGCUAUUUGAAAAUAACCAAAGAAACCAUCUAAAAAACAAUAAUAGGCACGACAAGCUAACUUUUCAACCAUUUGAUCGAUAAAUGGAAGAGAAAAAUGAUCCUUCUUGGUCACUGCAUUCAAUUUGCGGUAAUCGAUGCACUGGCGCCAACCCGUAGGCUUUCGAAUUGGAACGAUGUCCCCUUCAUGAUUUUCCUCCGCAGUUACCCCUGCUUUCUUUGGCACCACUUGGACCGGACUUACCCAUGGGCUGUCUGAGAUAGAAAAAAUAAUUCCUACGUCCAGAAGCUUGAUUACCUCUUUCUUGACAACUUCCAUCAUGAUGGGGUUCAAUCUCCUUUGUGGUUGUCUUAUCGGCCUAACAUCCUCUUCCAGGCGAAUUCGAUGCAUGCACACAGACGGGCUUAUACCCUUGAUGUCUGCAAUUGUCCACCCUAUAGCUUCCUUAUGCUCCCUUAAAACCCGCAGCAGCUUGUCCUCCUCCGUGGGUGAUAAUUUAGAUGAGAUUAUCACUGGUAACGUCUCCUUUUCACCUAGAAAGGCAUAUUUUAAAUGGUCGGGCAGGGGUUUCAACUCCACUUCAGGUGCCUGCACGAUAGAAGGUAAUAGCUUUAGGUGUGGUUCAGGCACAAAUAUAGGAGCAACAUCAUACCUUAGAGGACUUUGGCCUAGUGAAUGCAAGGCUCCGACCAUUCUUUGCAAAUUGAUGUCUAACUCCAUUUCGCAGGCUGCUUCCAGAUUCAAAUGUUUGGUGAUUGCUACCUCCAAUUCAUCCCUGCCAUUAAUCUCAAAUACUUCUUGCACCAAAGGGUCAAUUACACUCACAGCAAAAACAGCAUUAGAAUGACACGGAUAUUUCAUGGCCUCAAAUAUAUUGAAAUGAACUAUUUCUCCAUCAAAUUCCAUCGUUAGGAUGCCCUCACUAACAUCAAUUCUUGUACGAGCUGUGCUCAAGAAGGGCCUCCCCAACAAAAUUGGUGAUGGAUUUGGAGAACGUUCAUCACCCAUAUCAAGAAUAUAAAAAUCAGCAGGGAACACUAAAUUGUUCACUUGCACUAACACAUCUUCUAUCACCCCAUCAGGAUAAGCAUUAGUCCUAUCAGCCAGUUGAAUUAUAAUGCCAGUUUCCUUUAAGGGGCCCAAAUUCAGAGAAGCAUAUAUAGCCUUGGGCAUCACAUUUAUAGAGGCUCCUAAGUCUAACAUGGCAUUCCUAAUGCUAGUGUUCCCUAUUUUGCAAGGAAUAGUGAACAUACCUGGGUCUCCGCACUUGGGUGAAGUUUUCUUUUAAGCACUGCAGAUACGUUCUCUCCCACAAUUAUCCUUUCAUCUCCCCUUAAUUUCUUCCUAUUGAUGCAUAGGUCCUUCAAAAAUUUGGCAUACCGGGGUACUUGCUUAAUUGCGUCAAGUAAGGGGAUAUUUAUCUCCACCUUCCUAAACAUUUCCAAAAUUUCCUUUUCCAUGUCUUGCUUUUUAGGCCUUUCCAACCUGCUAGGAAAAGGUGGUGGGUUAGGCUUCAUUGGAACCACUGGGUUACGUAUUACCUCUUUAUUGGUGCCGGGAGUUCCUUCUUCCUCAAGCUCCUUCUCAAUGCGGUCCUCAUUCUUGUCCUUCGAAGCCACUGGUGCUGGUCCUUCAAUCUCUUUCCCACUCCUGAGGGUCAUUGCACUUACAUUCUUGGGAUUCACCUCAGGUUGGGAUGGAAGUUUUCCCUUCCCCUGGGAGUCUAGUCGGUUGACAAUUGAGGCUAACUGACUCAUCUGAUUUUCCAAGUUUUACAUACGCGCUUUCAUCUCCUGAUUGUUGGCCUCAGUGUCCUGUUGAAAUUUCAUAGUAUUAGAAGCUAUGGUUUUGACCAUGUCUUCUAGGGACAUACCUGAGGCAGAGGAGGGUUGAUUCCUUGUUUGAUAUUGUUGUUGGAAACCCUGUUGUCUAUUGGGGAUGAAAUUUUGUUGCUUAUUUCCCCCAUAGCUUAGAUUUGGAUGAUCCCUCCAACCCGGAUUGUAUGAGUUGGAAUAGGGGUCAUACUGUCUACAUGGCAUGGGCAUGUUACCAGCCAUGUUUGCUUGCUCAAUUCCCUCUUCAUGUAACUGUGGGCACGAGUCAGUGGUAUGACCAAUAUUCGUGCAAAUCCCACACACUUUGGCCUGCUGUGCAUUUCCUACAGCUAUCUGUCGAACAAAUGAGGUUAAUUCAGAUAAUUGCUGUUCAAUGGAAGAUGAACUUACCUCGUUGACCUUUCUUGUAGGAACAUCUGCUCUCGUGCCAAACUGCUGGCAAUUCUCUGCCAUUCGCUCAAUUAAAUCCCAUGCUUCCUGGGUAGUCUUAUUCACCAGUGCACCACCACUUGCUGCAUCAAUGAUAUUCCUAUUGUUCAUUAGUAGUCCCUCGUUGAAAUACUGAAUCAGCAGUUGAUCACUUAUUUGGUGAUGUGGGCAUCGGGUACGCAGCCUGGUGAACCUCUCCCAAUAUUCAUACAAGGAUUCCCCGUGAAAUUGCUUGAUGCCACAUAUUUCCUUUCGCAAACUAGCAGCUCUGGAUGCAGGGAAAUAUUUUUCAAAAAAUUUUUUCUGCAUCUCUGGCCACGUGGUGAUAAUGCCUGCAGGUAGACAGUAUAACCAAUCCUUUGCCGAAUCCUUUAGAGAGAAAGGGAAGGCCCUUAAUUUAAUUUGUUCAUCAGUUACUCCCGAAGGUUUCAUACUCGAACACACCACAUCAAAUUCCUGCAUGUGUUUGUGGGGUUCCUCUCCUGGCAGACCAUGAAAAACAGGCAGCAAAUGUAUUAAACCAGGUUUUAAUUCAAAAGCUGCAUUCUCACUAAGGCGAGGAAAAGUUAUGCAAAGAGGUUGUUGGGUUAAGUUUGGAGCAGCCAACUCCCUUAAUGUUUGUGUGUUUGCCAUGUCGACGUUCUCUUGGCAAAAAUCACUUGAAGUGUCACCCAACGAAUCUGCUGGUUCAACUUCGGGCUCAGGUCUCUGAGCUGUAGCCCUGGAGUGCUCCUCUCUGAGCUGUCUGGUUUCUUUCCUUGUUCUGCGCGCGGUUUUCUCUACUUCAGCGUCAAAAAUCAAUUCACCUGUGCGAGAAGACCUAGGCAUACACUAGAAAAAUACCAGAAAAUUAGAGCAAAAAUGAAAUUUUAAAAAGAAACAAAUAAUAACGCCAGUCCCCGGCAACGGCGCCAAAAAUUGACAGGGCGUCAACCUGUGCAAUAAUACUAAUAAUAAUAACCUAAAUACCACUAAAAAGCUGUCAAUAAUUAAUCCUAGGUACUGGAGCAGGGACUCUAGGUGUGCAAUGGGUUACUUGAUUCACCCUGUUCCCGAAGAGUUUGCUAAAUCCGAUAUACCAGAAUUAAUUAGUUAGCAAAAAACACUGAAUAGUAGACAGUGGCAAGUAGAGUCGUCUCCUCAGGGAUUGGGAAUAUUUGUCUCUCUUAAAUUCCAAUUGGUAAGGGGGGAUUUCACCGGAAAGAAACUAAAAUCAAUUAAACAAUUCAACUAAAAAUAAAUAAUUAACUAGCACGAAUAUAGCAGGAAUUAAAUCAAGAAUAAAUAAAUUCUAGCCAGGGAUGCAACUACUCAGGCACAGUCCAUUUAUCUGAUCAUUGAUGCGAGUGAGGUUCACUUAAUUUAUUAAUAGGCUAGUUAUAGUCUGACGACCAAUUUUUCCUUAAAUUAUUGAUAACCAAGGUACGACCAUUGAUCACCCCUAACCAGAAAAUACUCCUAGGUACGACCAUAGGAAUUAAUUUCCCAAUUGCAUUAAUAUUAGAAAAACCUAGCCCUAACCAAUAACACGCCCCAUUAAUUUCGUGUUAGAUUCGUGUCGUGUUUUCGGGUCGUGUCAGAAAUUGUCACCCCUAGAUUCUAUAGAGAACAACUCUGGCAAGUAUUAUGAAAAGAUUGGGGUCUUGUACGGUUACAAUAGUAAUAGCAGAGUAUAUUUGAAGGCGCAAAUGUGUUUGAAAAGGAGAUUAUUAGAGAAAUUUUUUUCAAAAAAAAUACUAUAACACUUUUUUGAUGUGACAUAUAUGAAAUAAAAAGAUAAUUGAAAAAUGUGUUUGUAAUGCAAUUAAAUAAAGUUGUGCAAAUAAUAAGCUAUCCAAAUUGUGUUAUGAAAUUAGAUGGUAAAGAUUAAAUAUAGGAUACCAAUUUCAAUGUAUCAAAAAAUUUGUCAUAUAUUUUAUCUUAUUAUAUUAGUAUAUAAAUUUAUUAUGUUAAUGUUUACAUUAGUUAUGUUACUGACUUAAUACUGUCAUCAGUAGUAACAGCAAAAGCAAGCUGUGUAUCGUAUUAUCACCACUAGUCACAGUAAAAGCCUCUGAUCCAUUGUGGAAGUGUUUUUACGUUUUCACUAGUUUUUUCAGCCUCACGCGAUGCGUGAGGAUGCCCUGGGUCUAUGUUAAUCAAGAUCAAAUGAAGGCAAGUGAAUUAAUGUAAAAUGCUUAUGUAUUAAUACAUGAUAGGUGUUAAUAAAUGUGAGGAAUUUGAUUUUAAGUAAAUUGAAUAUUGAUGUUACUCGUUUACUCAUUUGAUUUGUAAUUUUCUCUUAGAUAGUCAGUCAUUACCUUAAGAUCUUUGCAAAUUCUUGAUACUAUAAAUAAAUGAUGCAUUCAUUUGAAAUGUACAAGUACAUACAAAUAUCAUAAAUGUGGUGACGCUGAUCACUUUUAAAAUUAUGCACACACUAUUUGUAUCUAGUCAAGAAUGAAAUAAGUUUAAACAAGUAAAACCCUUCUUGAAACUUAUUGUGAAUAAACACAAUGGUGAUGUCAAUAAUUUAAAAGAACAAUCAUCACAUUUCUAUGCAAUAAAAAAUGUCAAGAAAUUGAGAAUUAUUCGUGAUGUAGUAAAACAAAUAUGCUUCUAGUAAUUGUAGUAAAAAAUAUCAUAUUGACAGGUGUUGUUUCUUGUAGUAAUCUUUCCAAUAGAACGAGCCUUACAAAACUUCUUGCACUCAUUGCAAUAAUUUUUGGGUGUAGUACAUAGAUCAUCGUCAUCAUUUUUCUUCUUUGCAUCUCUUUUUUGUGCAUAGACUAUUAGUCAAUGACGAUGAACAUUUCCUUCUUUUCUUUUGUCAAGCAUUCUUUGAAGUAGAACAAAUUAUAGUAAUCUUGAGACAUGCAACAUGUAGUAUAUUUUACCUUACAACCUUAAUAGCCAAUUCAUAAUUGGACCUUAACUACCAUUUGAAUCCCGUAAGGAUGCCUGGAUUUCUGUCUGAAUUUGCUACAAAAUAUCUAAGUAUUUGCUUGAACUUGAUGCAAAUUUCUGAUACGUUUGUGGGAAUGCAUUAGUAGGAGAAUUACUUAGGAAGUACUAAACAAUAGCUAGGAACAACCUGGAGAAAUAUAUCAUACUCAGAUUCACUGCAAGGUAUUGUCCCUAUUUUCACAAAUGCAAAGCAAUAGUAUCCCUGCAUCUACAGAUUAGUCUUAGUAGGGACCAUCCAAUAUUGAUUUAUAAAUGACCAAACUACUUAUUCAAUUAUCCACCAAACUGAAUAGCUCGUAUUCAUAGCUUUCUAUCUCACUAGUGUUUUGGAGGAAACUACUUAUUGAUCUUAUUUCAGAAAAGAUUUGGAAUCCAGAGACCUUAUUCACUGCCUGAGGUAGUCUUUUAAACCUUUGCCACUUUUUUGUAUGUUUUUUUUCCGUCGAAGUUUUUGUGGUACUUGCAUGAUUAGGAAAUUAAACUAUACUUUGAUAAAAAAACAUGUAGCUUUGACCUACAGUAUGUCAAAAUCGCAAGCAAUUGAUAGAUAGUAUUCAAUUUCUGGUUUCUUUAUAUAUUUGGCUUGCAGAUUUUUCUUGCUAAGCAGACCAAGAAUUUUUGUACUUGUGCUUCAAACUUUACUGUUGUUGUAGUUAAGUAAUGGUAAUUUAUGUGAACAAUCACCUUAAUUUUUUAGAGGAUUGCUAAUUGAUUCCAUUCUUGGUACUCUGGCCUUUUAUUGUGGUCCAAUAGUUCGACAUAUUAGUUUUCAGAAGGAAACAACAAUCAUCAAAAGGUUUGUAUUUAAUUGUAAUUUUAGGGGAUAGCUGGAUAACCCUUCUUCUUAUCUUUAAACCCAUGAAUGGGUUAUGGAACGAGCAAAAUUUUCGUGCCCCUCCCUCCCCGGGCCUACUUCUGGCAUGAUAUAUCAACAUAGUGACGAUAUUGCCCUGAACUUCUUCGAAUGUCACAUUGUAAGAGCCACUGGAGUUGCUAAAAAUUACUCUAUAACCGGCCCAUGCCUACUGUAGCAAUCCCAACUCUCGCUUUUAGUAUAGUAAAGAUUUGACUCGUAUACAUGAUCUAUAAGAGUAACUAUUUAAUAUAGCCUUGUAUACAAGUUGUGUACAUAGCCUAUGAGAGUAGAAUGAUGCUAUAUAUAUACACAUACACAUACACACACUCAUCACCAGCUUAUCAUCACCUACGUGGAGUGAUGACGUGUAGCAAGGUUUCCUUUUCCAUCUUAAAGAAGUAAUGGCAUGGCAUGGCAAUAAUUAUUUGGAAUAUACAUAUCAAAUUAAUUAAAUUUAUAAUGCUUAAUUAUUCAUUUCAAGCUUACCUUAAUAAUUCCUAUACAAAAUUAAGUAAGGUUUAAUAUUUGUAAGUUUCCAAACUAUUAACUAGUUGUCAAUUUGGAAUGUUUCUAUCUUGACUAAUCAUUGUUGUUAAUUAAUUAAAGAUAGUAUAUUCUAGAGCUAAUCACUGGUGCUUUCUGCCAACGACCAAAUGGAACCAAGUAGGCGAAUAGCUAAGGAUUAAAUGAACCAAUGACAGAAGAGCUUGCAAAAUUUGUAACUAAAAAUGCUAAUGAAGUCUCCUUGAAUUCAUGGAAGAAGAAGGUGGGGUUGUAGGGAGGAUUGAAUUAAUAAACGUAAAGCCAAAAGCGUAAUUCGAGCAGAAAUAUUCCUUUCAAAAUGCUUUACAUAUUUGUAUUACGAAGCUCCAUAAAAAUUGAAAAUUAUUCAAACACAAAAUUUCCUAAAAUAAAAAGUACAUACACUCAAUUUUAUAAAUAAAUUAUUGAAAUAUAGCAGAUCAUAUCUACGUAGGAGGUGAUAGAUCGAUGAUGAAAAAUCGGUGAUAUAUAUCACUACUCAUGAGUGAUUGUUUCAUAUAUUGUCGUCCGAGAAAGUAAUGUCUUUAGUCUUUCUCAAUCACGUGCUCCAUAUCAUUUUUCCACAUCCAGCUUCUGUUUUAUUUAGUCUCUUUCUUCCUUCUGGCCAAUGUGUCUCUUUCUUCUUCCUGUUUUGCAUGUUUGGCCCAAUUCACACAACCCCUUUGCUGUAUAUGAAAAUGACCAAAUCGACAAGUUAGGGUGUGUGUGUGUCUUUAACUCUCAGUCAAAAUUAAUUAGUUGGGUGUGUGUCUUGUUCCGUUUCCGAAAAAAAAAAACAAGUUAGGGUGACUCAUCCAACUCCAUUAAAGGAUGAUUGGAUAGGGAUCCAAGUUGCACGGCAUCAACGAUUUCUCAGAUUCCUACACUGUGACAAAACACACGCCUAUGUCUGGCAAGAAGUAUGAUAAUGCUGCACGGCAUCAAUGAUUUUUCAAUAUUCAUUUUUUUUCUUUUCUUAUAUUUUUUGCCUUUUUCCAAAAAAAAAAGAAGUGAUCAAGUUUCAAACAAGUAGUAAUCCUUUUUGUUUCAUUUUUCUGGAAAACUAAUUAAUUGUAUGAUCAAUACAAUCGUACUAGCUACUGUUAAAUCAAUGUUUUGAGGGAAGGGUGAUUGUGAAACAAAAGUUUUUAGCUUUAUUUGGUGCUUGAUUAACAAAUGGCAGCAUAUAUCCGAAGAAGAUAAGUGGAUUUGGUCAUAUGCUUUGCAGCAUAUUUAUUAAAAUAUAUGUGCGUUCAUCCGCGUGGAAUCAACCAAAAAAAUGUGGAAAACAAUGAACUUAAGUUAGAAAUUAUUGCGAAUGGAUAAACACCUUUUUUUUAAAUUUUUUUAAAGGGCCGUAUGGAGUAAAUACAACCCGCAAUUUUAUUCUUUGUUCUUGGAGGAGCUCUUUUGCAAUAUAGGACCGCAUGUAGUACAUUUCAAAAGUGUUUGGGUGUCACAUGCAGUACAUAACUACAUAUGCGGCACCCCUAAAUGGGAUCGACACUUUUGUAUCCAAAAAAUGAUUUUAUGUGAGUCAAAUGGUGAUUUCAAACUAAAAACAUUGGAAGCUUAAGAUUAGGACUAAAUUUUGUUGAUUUAAAUUUGUAAGGCAUGUAGAAUUAAUAUUUUAAAAGUCAAAGACAAAAAAAAUCAUUUAACAAAAUAUGAAACAUUUUGAACGGUUUUCUAAAUUAAGUUCAAAGACAAUUGGUGGUUUAUGGCCAAAAGAAAUAAGGGAUGAUUUAGGAAUCUCGCUUGAGAUUUCUAACAAUGGGUUUGUUUGGAUUGUGUUUUAUUUCCCCAAUUUUAUCUGCUUACAUCAUCAUUACAAUUUCCAAUACACCUUUUUAUCUUCCCAAUUACCUUUUUAUCUCACACACAUCACAUCACAAAAAGUGCUACAGUAAAAAUAUUCCAAAUAAAACACAAUCCAAAAUAUUCAGCACGCUUGAACUUCUAAAAACAUCACUUACUUUCCUUGUCAUUCAAAGUGAACAUCACAAAUCACUAAUUGAUAUUUUCACCCUCAAUACUAUAGGUUUAUUUGGGAAAAAUACUUUCCAACUAAAAAAAUUAAUAUGAUUGUCUUCUUUUGCCUUUUUUUCUUUUUAAUUUUGCCCUAUCUUUAAUGCAAAUGCCAAAUAUAUUUUAGUCCCAAUUCAGAAUCUUAUAUAUUUGAAAGUGCAAUUUUUUUUACACCAGUUUACCUACCAUUUGUUUUGACACAAUCUGUUCAACUCAUUAAUUUUAUUGCCUUCAUAUUGUGAUUUUACUAGCAUAAGUAGAGCCUAUUUUAGGGUUUUUUUUUUAUUUUCUCCGCCCUCAAACAAAAUUUUUGGUUGUGCCUAAAAAAUUUCUGGCUGUGGCCUUGCAAUUAGAACAAACAAUUUUGUUCACUAAUAUUGAAAGAUUCAAGACUUCCCUCUUAAAUUUUAAGAGAUCUUACUUGUUCUUUCUAAUUCUUUACUUUAUAUUUUCAAAAUCUGUGCAUCAAUGUUUCUAUUUUUUUCACCUCAACUCUGUUCAUAUGCAUUUUCAGCAACAUAAGUAACUGUUAUUAUUUCAACAAUGAUGUGCUUAAUAGUUAUUGCUGCUAUAUUUAGUUGCAUUACAAUAACAACCACUAUAUAAUUUUUCCUUGGCUUUUAAAUCUUUUAUUAAUCCUCAUAUGGAUUUUGGGUAAUGAGUGAACAAGAAAGACAACUAAAAGGGCAAUUUAUGUUCUGUUUACUUAAAUGAAUCUUUUAAUCUUACUUUGCUCCUAGUUCCUGAACAUGUUACACAAGAGUUGAUUUAGGGGAGGUCAAUGAGAUUUUCAACAGUCUAGAAGUACAAAGUGAUAUUCACAAAAACCUUAGGAAGGUUUCUGAAAUUAUCCCAAGAAAUAAUUCAAAGCCAAUGCAUGUGGCCCCUACAGAUUAACCUUAUUAAACUCGACCAUGUGUAUAAAACCCCCCACCGGAGUUUGGCAUACAACCCCACUGGAGUCCAUUGUCAUACCCUAACUUGCUAUUCAGCCCUGAUGGAAAGCACUUGGCUACUCUUAGCCUUGGCAUGGCUUGUUGCAUUGGCUUUUCUCUCAAAAGGAUCCACUCACAAACGCCUCAAGCUAAAUCAUCCACCAGGACCAAAACCAUGGCCUAUUAUUGGCAACUUGAACCUCCUCGGUUCAAACCCACAUCAAUCCUUACACUUGUUGUCCCAGAAAUACGGAGAAAUCAUGCAACUAAAAUUUGGUUCCAGCCCUGUUGUUGUAGCUUCAUCCCCUGAUAUGGCAAAAGAAUUCUUGAAAACACAUGACGACAUCUUCGCCUCUCGGCCUACAACUGCUGCUGGCAAAUACACUAGCUAUAACUGCUCCGACGUGUCAUGGGCACCUUAUGGUCCGCACCAGUGUUUUGAAAACCGGACCGGACCGGCCGGUUCGACCGGUUGAACCGCGAACCGGCCAUGGCUCCGGUCCGGUUCACUGCCAGGUUUGACUUUGUCAAGAAACCGGUCAAAAACCGGUCGGACCGCGAAACCCGCUGAACCGGAUUUGAACCGGUUAUUUCCGGUUUUUGAGUUUUCCUUUUUUUUUUUUUUUUUUUUUUUUGCAAAAUGUAGUUAUCAAGAUUCGAACUCAAGACCUUUGUAAUAGAAGGCCAAUGUAGUAACCAUUGCACUAUCACAUCUUAUUAGUUUUUUUGGUAACUUAUUUAUAUAAAACAAACACUCAUAUUUCUUUUGUUCCAUUUUUUUUACAAAAUAUCAUCCUUUCAUGACUCUUUCUUUUUAAUCUUCAACACACACACACACACACUCUCUCUCUAUCAUCUUUUCUUUUGCCACUCAUUUUUUAAUCAAAUCUCUUUAUUUUUAAUUUAUUGAUGUUUUCUUCCAUAUUUUAAUUUUGUUUUUGUCCAUUAAAUUUAAAAAAGUUAAAAAAGAAUUAUUUUUCUUUAACCCAAUUUAUUUAAUACCACAACCACUCACUUUUAUCUCAUUUUUUGUUUCUUAUCAAAUUUGCAUUUCUAUUUUCAAUUCUCUUGAUUUUCUUCGAACUCCAAACUUUCUUUUUUAAAUUGUAAAUUUAAAUUCCAAAAUGUAAAUUAAAAUUUAAGUUCACAAUGUCUAAAUUUCAUAGACGUGAAUUUUGUAUAAUUUCAAAUAUUGUGAUAUUUUUGGAUUAUAUUUAAGAUUUUUUUGGUAGAUAUAAUUGAAAUUGAGAUGAAAUUUAUUUGUUUUAACUUAUAAUUUAAAAAAUUUAUUUUUAAAAAUCCAAGUUAUUCAAAAAUAGUAAACUUUUCAUCAUAUAAAGUAUUAAAUUAUCCAUUACAUGUCUUAUUUUGUGCACAUAUAUAUUUAUAUCAAUUAUUUUUUAAAAAAUUCAUUGAACCGAGGUUGAACCGGUCCGACCGGUUGAACCUCGACCCUUUCACUUCACCGGUUCGAUUAACGGUCCGGUUUUUAAAACAUUGGUCCGCACUGGCGGCAAGCUCGUAAAAUUUAUCUUUCCCAAAUCUUUAGCCAAAAACCACUUGACUCCUUCGAGAGCAUACGCAUUGAAGAAAGGCGUGCUUUCAUUUCUCGCUUGUAUGCUCUAUCAGGAAAGCCAGUAGUUAUGAGAGAUCAUCUAAUGCGUCUUACCCUCUCCACUGCAAGCCAGAUGGUUUUGAGUAACAAGUACUUUGCCCAAUCUGAAGAGGAUGGAUCUCUAGUUACCUUUGAAGAGUUCCAAGAGAUGAUAGAUACAUGGUUUUUGCUGGGUGGUGUGUUCAAUAUCGGGGAUUGGAUACCAUGGCUCGACAGAUUUGAUCUCCAGGGUUACAUAAAGCAAAUGAAAGAACUUGACAAGAAAUUUGAUAGAUUCCAUAACCAUGUGCUUGAUGAUCACCAGGCCAAGAGGAAAACGGAGAAGGAUUUUAUCCCUACGGACAUGGUGGACAUUCUAUUGCAAUAUGCUGAAGAUCCUGAUCUCCGGGUCAAACUCACCAGAGAUCAAAUAAAAGGGCUAAUUCAGGUGCUAUUUCUUCUCAUUGUUUAAUCAAAUUUUCUAUAUCUCUUUACCUCUUUAACUUGCUGAAUCUAAAAUCUAACAGUUUUUCUUAGUAUAACGUGCCAUUAAAGAUAAUUGUCUUCUCUUCUGAUUAAGAAGUUUUUUCCUUUCUAGAUUCAUAGUAGUUUAAUCUCUUUUAAAGGAUGACAUAUAUUUUUACCAAUAUUUGAUCAUGGCAGGACUAACUUUACCAUUAUUUGAUCAUGUCCAGGACUUACUGGCUGCUGGCACAGAUACCUCAGCGUCCACCGUAGAAUGGGCAAUGAAUGAACUUCUCAAACAUCCACGUCUCAUUGAAAAGGCGACCGAAGAGCUUGAUAGAGUGAUAGGGAGAGAUAAGUGGGUGGAAGAGGCUGAUUUCUCAAAGCUACCUUUUCUAGAGGCGAUCAUAAAGGAAACUUUUAGGUUACAUCCAAUAACAACGCUACUUCCACCCCAUUAUGCCAUUGAGGAUGGCACAGUAGCUGGUUAUCACAUUCCUAAAGGAACAACGGUGCUUAUAAACACAUGGAGUAUAGGGAGGAACUCAAAGUAUUGGGAUUCUCCUGAAGAGUUCAUGCCAGAAAGAUUUUUGGAGAAGGAUGUUGACAUGAAGGGACAAAACUUUGCGUUAUUGCCAUUUGGCUCAGGUCGACGGAGGUGCCCGGGCUAUAACCUUGGACUCAAACUUGUUCGAUCAAUGUUGGCCAACUUGUUGCAUGGAUUUAACUGGAAAUUGCCUCAUGGCAUGAAACCAGAAGAAAUUUGCAUGGAAGAACUCUACGGACUCACAACUCAUCCAAGGACUCCACUUGCUAUGAUCCCAGAACCACGUUUGCCGGUCAAUCUCUACUAGAAAGUAUGAUUUAAGGGAAAACUGAAAUAUGUUCCUUAUUGGCAAAAUAAACCAAACCUAAAAGUUUCUAUUUAUUUAUUUACUAAUUUUAUUGGUGUCAGAUUUUUAUUAGUUGUGUGAUUUAGAAAUUUGUAUUUUAUUUGGUAAUUUCUUAUGCAAGUGGUUUCUUUCUCAACAAGUUUGGUUGGCUAUGAAUAAGACAUUAUUUAGAAUAUUUUCUUAAGAGAGUCUAGAAAGAAUUAGUAAGGUUUUAUUAUGGUGUCACUUUUUUCUACUAUUUUGAGAUAUCAAUAAUAGCGUGAAUUAUUUAUUUCUUUUCUCUCUCAUUGUUUCAUCGUUCAAUCUAUAACCCUACACGCAUUAAUUAUUAUUAGAAGUUUAAAAUUUGGAAUCUACAAUUGGUAUCACGAGCUAGACUACGAGCUUAGUUUUGGGCAUUUCCGUUGUUAGAGAGUUAAGGCGUUUCUACUAUAAGAGAAUUAAGGCACAGAUUUAUCGAAAAGUAUUUAGUUGAUUAAAUUAGACCAUAAGGUUGGUCUUGAAGUGUAUAGUUGGUGAAAAAUUCGAUCAUAAGAUUGGUUUGAAAAUUAUUAGAUUAUUAUGGUUAUGACAAAGAUCAGAGACGAAUAUUGUCAGAUUUGUUGAUUGUUGCUGGUUGUUAGAUUGAAGAAUUUAAUUAGUUAAUCAGCCAAGGUGGCCAAGAAACUUGACAAAAGGGGAAAGAAUUUGUUGAUAUAUGUGAGUUAUUAAUGAUGGAUGUGUUUUUGGAUCUAUGUAAUGGUGAAAGGUAUAGUAUACUAAUGACAGCUUGUCGAGCCUGUGCAAUAAUAAUAAUAAUACCUAAUUACCACCGAAAGCAGUCAAUAAUCAAUUCUAGGUACUAGGGUUGGGACCCUAGAUAUGCAAUGUGUUACUUGAUUUACCCUGUUCGUGAAGAGUUUGCUUAAUCUGAUAUACCAGAAUUAAUUAACUGACAGAAUUUACUAAUUAGUAGACAGUGACAAGUAGGGUUGUCUCUUCAGGGACCGGAGAAAAAUUCGUUUCCUUUCGAGUCAAGACAAAUGAGGGGGGUUUUAGGAUUAAAUGCUAACUAAAUAAAUUAAAUGCGAAAAAUAAUUAAUUGACAGAAAUAAUUGGGAAAACUCUAGUUAAGGGUACACUUCAGAAAUGGUUCAGGCAACUGAUCAUCGAUUCAAAUGUAAUUCCAAUGUUUAUUAAUAGAUUGGUUAUAGUUGUCAUACACGCGAUAAACAACCAGCCUUUCCUUAAUUUCUCAAUAGUUAAGGUACAACUGUUAACUAUUUCUCUAACCCAGAAACAACCCUAGGUACGACCGUAGGAUUUAAUUUUUAGUUUGCAUUAAGAUUUAGAAAAGCCCAAUCCUAGCUAACAAACAAGCUACGAGGGUUUGCCUAAAUUAGAUUUUAUGUUUUCCUGACAUAAACUCAAUUACGCAAGUUGCUACCGGGAUGGAGGUAAUCGAACAAUUAUGGAUUCAACUAUCCCUAAUUAGCAAAAUAGCCUACGUGAAUAAUUAAAUAUUGCGCACUAUUCAAUCAUAUACAAAAGUUAUAACAAUUAAAAGCAGAAAACAUAUAAAUACUGAUAAAUGAAGGAAACAAUUAAAAUAAUUCAGGUCUCACAGUAAUUGCCGAAUCAAAUUUUCAGUUGUCCCCUUGACUAAAAAACGGAGAUUUAGCUACACAUCCUCAAGGGAAAUCCGCAGGACUCCCUUGAUAACCAUUGGUUCCUUCUCCAAAAAGUAACGAAAGAAGACAAAGAAAAGAGACAAGUCAUGGCCCUCCUCUCAAUUCCUAUUUUGUAGCUUCUUAAGGAAAACAAAACUCCUCCGAAUUUGUUGCUGGCCGAACUCUUAAUCACGUGGGAUCCGACUUACUCUUCCUAUUUUCUCGUUUGCUAAGGGAAACAAACUCCCAAUUGAAAAGGAAAACAUUCUAAAGAGAUAAUACUUAAUUGUUUCCUAAUUCAACUUUACAACUAACAAAGAUAAUUAAAGUCUUCCAAAUUCACCAAAGAUGUCCAUAUUUGACUCGAACUAGGAAAUCUCUAUGUGCGACAAAUUCUCGAGUCUUCUGGACUUGAAUGUAGGUCCCGAACAUACCACCACCAAAUUAGCUGGAAACUGCCCAUUUUAAUCAUGUUUUGAUUAUUUCCCUAUAAUUUAGCACCAUUAACCAAAUAUAAGUAGAAUCCAUCAAAUAAUGCAAUAUUUGGUAAAAUAAAAAAGGGAAAUAACCAUAAAAUUAAUGACAAAAAUCCAACAUAUCAAUUUCCCCCACACCUAAACCAUGCUUGUCCUCAAGUAUGAGAAUACGAAAUUAAGCAAUCAAAUUCAAACAAUGGCUAUUGCUCAAAUUUUUUAUUGCCAAGAUACAGUUAAAACAUAUGUCAUGUAUUAGUGGCAAUUUUCAAGAAAUAUCUCUCCAGUUAAAUUUCAAGAUCAAGGACUCUUUCAAUUUAUGACUAACUAAUCUAAAAAUAUAAAAUAUUCAACCAGUAUCCAUAAGCAAAUGGUUCGACUAUUGGACAAAAUCUCAACAUUAAAAUUCAUGGAUCAGCAGGUUAACAAUUCAUUCAAAUACUUCCACAUUUUUCACUAUUAACACAUCUUUUUUUAUAAAAUAUCCCCACACUUGAUUGAUGUUUUUUCAGGGGAAAUGCUUAGUCUUUAGCCAUUUUAAGUGUUUUGACAUGAAUUUCGACAUUGGCCAAAUGAAGGAGCUCGGUUACUCAGCCACCAUCGCUUAAAAACCACAUACUCAUAGCUACCAUGAAAAUUGAUACUUAUGGUGAAGACUUCCAGUUACUAGGUAACGAUACUAGCAGAAUAUAGCUGAAUACUAUUCAUAAACAAGCACCAAAUUAAAAUUUACAAUUACACAAACCCGUUUCAUUUCUUAAACAUGGAGAACUAAGAUUAAUAGUUAAAGCAAUUUGCAUUAAAAAAAUGCUAAACAAAUAUUUACAAUAUUUAGAGAUAUUAACCAAAAAGUAUAAAAGUCACAAAAUUUCAAAUAUUCACCAAAGAGAUAAUCUUAAACUUAACCAUGCCAUACUUAACACCUUGAGAGUGUAAAAUCUUAGCAAUAGAAAAAUUUGAAACAUCUAACCAUCGUUUAUCAGGAACAACCACAAAAAUGCACAAGACGUGGCAAAAAUUGGAUAAAAUUUAACAAAGUCAAACAAAAAUGCCUGCACUUACACUUUUUCAAUAAAAUACCAAUAUACUACUUCCCCCCCCCCACAAACCUAAAUCUUACAUUAUCCCCAAUGUAAGAGGUAAAGAAUAGAAUAUGAAAAAAAGGGACAAUAAAAUUUCCCUGAGCAUAUAAUGGAGGGUCUCAAGUAGCUAUAACAUAGGUGGAAAUGGUCGGUUCUUCCUUUUAUCAUUUGUUUGAGCAGAGAUGAGAACAAGUAGUGAGGAACUAAGUAAAGGGAGAGCGCCGGUUGUGAAUGAUGGCUAGCAGUGGUGGCUAAACGAAAACGGCGGCUGGAGCGGGCUGGGGAGGUACUCGGUGCGGUGGUGACGGAGCAGCGAUGGAGAGCAAAGCAUGCGAAGGCAGCAGCCGGAAAGGGGGGAAAAAGGAAAGAAAGAAAGAAAAAAGAAGAACCAUGGGUUUUUUUUUUUUUUUUGAAUAAAGGAACCUCUGUGUUAGGCGUGGACACGCCUAACUGCCUUCAAGUCUUCUGACCAACUGUCCGAAAUUAGGACCUUAAGUGUGACCACCCACGCUUAACUAUUAGAGAGUCUUCUAACCAAUUUUCGGAAAUUGAGUUCCUUAGGCGUGACCAUCUGUAGAGUCUUCUGACCGCAGAUGAAAAUUGCCUUCCUUGGGUGUGACCAUCUGGCGUGGGCAUUUCUAACUGCCAACUUCCUACCACAACAAUAACAAAUCACUAAACGACACUAACACUUAAUAAAAACUCCAAAAGUAGAAGAAAACUAAAACCAAAAAAAGCCUUGGAUUGCCUCCCAAACAGCGCAUUUCUUUAAUGUUUUUGGCUAGACAUCGCCAUAUUUAUUCACGGAGGAUAAAAUCGUGUAGCUCAUUUCAGUACUUCAUCUUCUAUGUAUCCGUGAUAACUCUCGUGAAUAGAGUAAUUCUUAAGCAUACGAGGUAUGAUUUUCCAUGAACUAGUAGAUGGCGCCAAACAAGUCAACAAGAAUCUUAAUUCUUCACUCACUCCUCCAUCACGAACACUUACUAGUUCGAGAUAUUUUGCCAUCGCAGCUCUUAACUUAUUCCUGUCAUAAAAUUCAAAAUCUUCUGGUAUAAUAAAAUCAAUUUCACUAACAGGAAUUAAAGAAUAAGAGUUAGGAAAAUAUUAAUUAAGGAAUGGAGGAGAUGUCACCGCAUUUGGAGAUUGUUCACUGGAUUCAUUCACUUGAACUAUAUGAUGUUGGGGUCUCAUUUCUUGCACUUCAACUUUCUUUUCAACUUAUUCCUGUCAUAAAAUUCAAAAUCUUCUGGUAUAAUAAAAUCAAUUUCACUAACAGGAAUUAAAGAAUAAGAGUUAGGAAAAUAUUAAUUAAGGAAUGGAGGAGAUGUCACCGCAUUUGGAGAUUGUUCACUGGAUUCAUUCACUUGAACUAUAUGAUGUUGGGGUCUCAUUUCUUGCACUUCAACUUUCUUUUCAACUGCAUCUUUAAAUUUUUUUUCUUGAGACUCUCGCAUUACCAUAUCAUUUGUCAGGAUAAUUACACUUUCAUAUUUCUCAUGGUCGAUAAUAGUCUAUAAGGGCAAUUCUUCACACAUUCGAGAAGUCAAUUGCGUUAUCCUAAAUAUUAAUUGAUUCACUUGAUCCGCCAAGUUACGCAUGCUCGCUUGUGUCUCCUGAUGAAAUAGAUAUGUGUUAAUAGCUAGUGAUUCAAUCAUUUCUUUAAGAGACAUACCUAACGUAGAUGACGUUUCUUGAGAUUCUUGUUGUUGAAAAUCCAUUGGUCUGGUCGCAUAAUUAAAAUUGAAAUCAUCCCACCAUCCUUGAUCAUAACCAUUUGAAUAAGGGUCAUACCACGUUUGACAUUGAGGUGAAAAAUUUUCAAAAGUAUUUAUUGGAGCACUUAGACCAUCUUGAAAUGCAGGGCAUAUGUCGGUUGAAUGAUCUGAAACAAAAUAAGUUUCAUAAUUUGCAACAGCCCAUUGAUGAUUAGAAAAAGCACGAGUCUCAUAACCUUUUCUAGAAAUAAAAUUCAGUCUAUCGCCAAAAUAUGGAUUGUUAGUAGCCAUAAACUAUAUAAAAAAAGAGAAAAAUAAAAAAAAUAAAAACAAAAUGAACUCAAAAAUAAAUAAAUUAAUCAGACACCAAUCUCCGACAAUGGCGCCAAAAAUUGACAGGUUGUCAAACCUAUGCAAUAAUAAUAAUAAAACCUAACAACUACGGAAAGCAGUUAAUAAUCAAUUCUACGUACUGGAGCAAGGACCCUAGGUAUGCAAUGGGUUACUUGAUUCACCAUGUUUCUGAAGAAUUUGCUUAAUCCGAUAUACUAGAAUUAAUUAACUAACAGAAUUUACUAACUAAUAGACAGUGGCAAGCAAGGUCGUCUCUUCAGGAACUGGAGAAAAAUUCAUUUCCUUUCGAGUCAAGACAAAUGAGAGGGGUUUUAGGAUUAAAUGCUAACUAAAUAAAUUAAAUGCGAAAAAUAAUUAAUUGAAAAAAUAAUUGAAAAAACUCUAACUAAGGGCACACUUCAGAAAUGUUUCAUACAACUGAUCAUCGAUUCAAAUGUAAUUCCAACAUUUAUUAAUAGAUUGGUUAUAAUUGUCAUACACGCGAUAAACAAUCAGUCUUUCCUUAAUUUCUCGAUAGUUAAAGUACGACCGUUAACUAUUUUUCUAACCUAAAAACAACCCUAGGUACAACCGUAGGAUUUAAUUUCUAGCUUGCAUUAAGAUUUAGAAAAAUCCAAUCCUAACUAACAAACACGCUACGAUCAUAUGUUUUCUUGGCAUAAAUUCAAUUAGAUCAUAUGUUUUCUUGGCAUAAAUUCAAUUACGCCAGUUGCUAUCGGGACGGAGGUAAUCGAACAAUUACGGAUUCAACUACCCUUAAUUAGUAAAAUAACCUACAUGAAUAAUUAAAUAUUGUGCAUCAAUCAUACACAAAAACUAUAACAAUUAAAAAUAGAAGACAUAUAAAUACCAAUAAAUUGAGGAAACAAUUAAAAUAAUUCAGGUCUCACAGUGAUUGCUAAACCAAAUCUUCAGUUGUCCCCUUGACUAGAAAACAGAGAUUUAGCUACACAUCCUCAAGGGAAAUCCGCAGGACUCCCCUGAUAACCAUUGAUUCCUUCUUCAAAAACUAAUGAAAGAAGACAAAGAAAAGAGACAAGUCACGGCCCCCCUCUCAAUUCCUAUUUUGUAGCUUCUUAAGGAAAACAAAACUCCUCCGAAUUUGUUUGCUGACUGAACUCUUAAUCACACGGGAUCCGGCUUGCUCUUCCUAUUUUCUCGUUUUCUAAGGGAAACAAACUCCCAAUUGAAAAAGAAAACAUUCUAAAGAGAUAAUACUUAAUUUUUUCCCCUAAUUCCACUCUGCAACUAACAAAGAUAAGUAAAGUCUUCCAAAUUCACCAAAGAUGUCCAUAUUUGACUCGAACUAGGAAAUCUCCACGCGCGACAAAUUUUCGAGUCUUCUGGACUGGAAUGUAGGUUCUGAACGUAUCACCACCAAAUUAAUUGGAAAUUGCCCCUUUUAAUCAUGUUUUGAUUAUUUUCCUAUAAUUUAGCACCAUUAACCAAAUAUAAGUAGAAUCCAUCAAAUAACACAAUAUUUGGUAAAAUAAAAAAGGGAAAUGACCAUAAAAUUAAUGACAAAAAUGCAACAUAUCAAUUUUUCCCACAUCAUCAACUCGGGCAUCCCUCUUUGUCGACUAUCAAGCAUAUUUUAUCAAUGUCUACUUUGGAUGUCUCAUCUCUACCCGAUCUCUAUUUUAAUUGUAAUUCCUGUCAGUGCAAAAACAGCCAUAAAUUACCGUUCUCUUCCUCUUCACUCUCUACCUCCUCCCCUCUUGAGGUUGUCUGCACUGACGUUUGGACAUCACCUAUUAUUUCUGUCAAUAACUACAAAUACUAUAUCAUCUUUGUUGAUCACUUCACCAAAUAUAUUUGGUUAUAUCCCCUCAAAUGGAAAUCUGACACACGUGACGUUUUCAUCAAAUUUAAGGCUCUCGCUGAAAAAUUCUUUUCUCGCCCAAUCAUCACCCUUUACUCUAACAAUGGGGAGGAAUAUCAAGCACUUUCUUCCUUUUUAACCAUUAAUGGGGUCUCUCAUCUUACAACUCCACCUCACAUACCUGAACACAAUGGGUACUUCGAACGCCGUCAUCGUCACAUUAUUGAAACCGGUCUCUCUCUACUCUCUCAUGCUUCCAUGCCUGUAUCAUAUUGGCCUUUUGCUUUCUCCACCGCUGUCUAUCUCAUCAACCGCCUUUCCACACCUACUUUACAAAUCGUCUCCCAUUCUUUAAACUCUUUGGUACUCUUCCUAACUACACUAAAUUUCAUAGCUUUGGAUGCCUUUGCUAUCCUUGGCUUUGCCCAUAUACAUCCCACAAACUUGCGCCACAAUCUGUGCCGUAUGUCUUUGUUGGGUACUCUCCCACUCAAAGUGCCUAUCUUUGUCUUGACACGUCUACUCAUCGUCUCUAUACUACUCGUCAUGUGAGGUUUAUUGAAACAAUUUUUCCCUUUGUAUCAUCUCACAUUUCCCUACCUCGUGGAUUUUCCUUCACCUUAUCCGAGUGGUGUUCUAUAACGCUACUCAUUGGCACUUCUGUUUCCUCCUCUUCUGUGUCUCCCAUCACCACUCCCACCAACUUUCGGGACCAAAUUUUCAGGCUCACACUUCCACCCUCUCACUGGCCACCCUGACAAUUGCAACUUCUUCCACUAGCCCCGCAUCUCCUACACAACCCAUUUCCUCUUCAGCAGUUCCCUAACCAGCUUUUCCCCGUGUCAUCAUUAUCCGUUCCAAAAAUAACAUCCAUAAACCACUUCACAAACUUAAUCUCUCGGCUGAGCUCCAACCCACCACCAUCACUCAAGCUUUGAUGGAACCCAAGUGGAGACAGGCUAUGUCUGAGGGGUUUGAUGCUCUCCUUCGGAAUGGAACUUGGCAACUCAUCCCUUCUCGUCCUGAUCACAAUGUGGUUGGCUGCAAAUGGGUCUUUUGCACUAAAUAUAGACCUGAUGGUUCGGUUGACAGGUAUAAAGCUCGGUUGGUUGCCAAAGGCUUUCACCAACGUCCGGGUGUUGACUACUCUGAAACCUUCAGUCCUGUCAUGAAGCCUACUACUGUUGGUCUAGUCCUUAGUCUUGCGGUUAGUCGAGGUUGGUUGUUCAAACAACUUGAUGUCAACAAUGCCUUUCUUCAAGGCAGGGGAUGUGUUUUUGUCCCAACCUCCAGGCUUCGUUGAUCGUGAUCAUCCUCAUCACGUUUGUAAGCUACGCAUGGCCAUUUAUGAUCUCAAACAGGCACCCCGUGCCUGGUAUCACGAGCUGCGCACAUUUUUUCUGUCCUCUGGCUUUACUAACUCUAUAGCCGACCUUUCAUUGUUCAUCUUCUCAGUCACGGCGUUGUCUUUUAUCUCCUGGUCUAUGUUGACUACAUCAUUAUCACCGGCGACAACUUUCAAGUUGUGCAAACCUUUAUUGAGCAGCUGUCUCACCAAUUUGCCCUCAAGGACCUUGGUCCCUUAUCAUAUUUCCUUGGUGUUGAAGUUCUUUCUCACUCAGGUGGUCUCUUCCUCAGUCAACGCAAAUAUAUUGCUGAUCUCCUUCAUAGCACCAAGAUGACUGAAGCAAAGCUUGCCUCUAUGCCUUUGGCAACACAUCCACCUCUCACUCUACACUCUGGAACCAUUCUAUCUGAUCCCACUGAGUAUCGCAAAGUCGUUGGUAGUCUUCAGUAACUCUCCCUUACUCGACUUGACUUCGCUUAUACGGUGAACAAGCUCUCUCAAUUUUUGCACCACCCGACAACUGAUCAUUGGACUGCCCUCAAACGCCUUCUUCGGUAUUUAUGUUGCAUCUUGGACCAUGGCAUCACCCUUCAUUGCGCCUCUCCUCUGGCAUUACAUGGCUUCUCUGAUGCUGAUUGGACGGGUAACAAAGAUGACUUCACCUCUACAAGUGCCUACAUUAUUUAUCUCGGUCAUAAUCCCAUCUCUUGGAGCUUCAAGAAACAACGGACUGUGGCUCGCUCCUCUACUGAGGCAAAAUACUGCUUAGUGGCCUCUGCUGCUGCCAAACUUCGUUGGAUUUGCUCUUUUCUUAGCCAGCUCAGUGUCACUCUUGCAUAUCAACCAGUUAUUAAUUGUGAUAAUAUUGGUGCCAUGACUCUAUGCUCAAAUCCGGUCUUUCACUCGCGCAUGAAACAUGUGGCCAUUGACUAUCAUUUCAUUCGAGAUCAAGUUCAAAAUCGUCUGCUACGUGUGUCCCACGUAUCUGCCUCUGAUCAACUCACUGAUGUUCUCACCAAACCUCUCGCUCGCUCUCAAUUUGCUUCCAUGAAGCUCAAAAUAGGACUUGCUUCACCGUCGUCCAUCUUACGGGGGCAUUAUAAGAAUCCUCAUCCUUUACCAACUGAUACUAGAUAGAAGGUAGAACUCUAACUACUGAUUACAUAUAGAACUCUGUGUAGUGUAGGUUCCUAUUUCUGGUGUAACUCUCCUACCUUUGUGCUGCUAUACGUGUAUAUAUUGGGUUACUAUGAAUGAGACAAUAUACAAAAAUUGCUCCAGUCAAUGCCUCUUUGUUUUGGCUUCUUCAAAAACUACAUUGAAUAGAAGAACACAGGAUUCUUCUGACAUUAGGAUACAUGGAUCUUAAUUAAUGUGGCGCUUCGUGAGAAUAAACCAUUCAUUCCCACAUAUUCUAAUUCGUCAAACGAAAUGGUUGCUUAUGAGCUGUGCGAGUGAUUUAACCGCUUAACUUUGAUACUCAUUAAGUCACAUAUCAUCAAAGCAUUAGGGUUUUAAUUACUAAUUGUGACCAAGUCAAAGCUUACAUGAAGAUAAUUGAUAAACAAUUUGUAAUAUCUAACAAAGCCUUGACUAGCACUCUUACGAAGAAAUUUGCCAAAUUGGGUGAUCUAAAUUACCAAAUUUGCCAAAAGUGGAAUGUGAAAUUCCUCCAAAAUUCGUGGAAGGAAAAGAAAUAAUCAAGACUUCAACAAUGGAAAGGGAAGCAAGAAUAACGCUAGGCAAGACGGCAUGGACUUCAAUUGUUUUUGUUUUUCUAGUGUUCAAUUCCCUUGAAGUUUCAAUAUUUGGAUUGUAGUUUUUUAGGAAAAAUAUUUUACAUUUUUCAUAGACAUAUUUUUUUAAUCAUCUUAGUAUCUUAUUUACAUCAAAUUACUCGCAAGCUUGAAACAACCCUCUCGAAUUAAGGUGUGAUAAUGCUGCACGUCAUCUACGAUUUUUCAGAUUCCUACUUCUUCUAUACUUUGACAAAAGACAUCUCCAUGUAUGGCAAGAGGUCUUAUAAUACUGUACGGCAUCAACAAUUUCUCAGAUUCCUACAACUUCAAUACUUUGACUCUGCUUGAGAUUCUAAUAAUUUUACUCUGCUCUUCUCAAAUUUAAAUAAUUAUGCUUACCUCUCUUAACAUAAUAAAGUAUCUAUAAUGACCUUUAUUUAGUAGACAAUUCACAGUAUAAUACAAUAUAUUUGUAAAAUCCAAAAAAAAUCAUAUUUAUCUAUGUCUUGCCUAACUCCUCUCUUCUCUUUUCUAGUUAUUAUACUAUUUUACCUCUCUUUUUUUUUCUUUAGUUUUAUAGAUAUUACCAAAUUGAAAUUGUAAAAUUAACAGUUCAAUUGAGGGAGUAAAUUAUGUAUCAAAUUAAAAGGAAAUGAAGAGACUUGGAGUGAUAGAGAAAAAAAAAUAAUGAAAUUAAUGAUUGAAACAUGUUGGAGGAUCAAAGAUGGAAAAUUUACCAUAUAUUUUUUUUGUGGCAAGCAUUGAUAAUCCUUUGGAUAGUUGCUUGGAUUUGGAACUAGAGUUUUUACUUAGGCUGUUGUUAUGAAUUGGGAUGGUCAAUUUGUGCAAAGAAUGAAAGAAAGAGAUCGAGUAUACUGUAUUUUUCUUUUUUCACUAUUGUAGUAAAUGGUAAUUUAGGAUUUUUGAGAAAAAAUCUAGUUUGUUAGACCUAUAUUAUUAUUUAAAGAGUAAAGUAAGGAGUUAGAUGUAAUCUUUUAAAUUUGAGGGGAGCUCUUUGUAAUUAUGAAAAACCUUAAGGGAGGUUCAUGAAAUUAUCGCAUGCUUUGACAAAAGACGUGUCAAUGUCAGGCAAGACGUGUGAUUAUGCUGCACGCAUCAAUGGUUUUUCACAUCCCUACGACUUCAAUGCUUUGACAAAAGACAUGUCUAUGUCUGGCAAGAAGUGACAUAAUAUAAUAAAGGGCAAAUUUUUCAAACAGUCCUUCAACUUUUUAACUAAUUUUUAUUUGGUCCUUCAUCUUAAAAAUGUGAUAGAAUGAUCCUUCAACAAAAUUUUUUAGACCAAAUUGGUUCUUAUAUGGCAUAGCAGCCAAUAAAAAGUUGGAUCAAAGUGGUGAUGAGAUUUGAAUUUUCUUGCAUGUUCCAUCAUGUAGGGACCAAUUCGGCCUAAAAAAUUUCGUUAGAGGGCCAUUAUGUCCCAAUUUUAAGAUGGAGGAUCAAACAAGAAUUAGUAAAAAAUUUGAAUGACUAUUUGGCAGAUUUGCUCGAUAAUAAAAUUGAAAAGCUGGGGUGUUUGGAAAAUAUUUAGAGGCUUUUAGCAAAGUGUAUUAAUGGAAAAAAAAUGAUUUGAUGGCCUAUUGAACUUGAAGAGGACACGGCAGCUGUGGAAAUUAAGUUCAAAGACAAUUUGUGGUUUCUGACCCACAGCAAUGAGUGAUAUUUUUUGGAACCUCUCUUGGGAUUCCUGAUAAUUAUUUAAUAUUCUUAAACUUUUUAAAAUAUCACUUAUCUCCCUUAUCAUUCAAAGUCAACAUUACAAGUCACCAAUUGAUAUUUUUACCCUCAAUACUAUAGGUUUAUUCUGGAAAAAUACUUUCCAACCAAAAGAAUUGGCAUGAUUUUCUUCUUUUGAAUUUUGCCCUGUUUUAAUGAAAAUGUCGCAUGUAUUAGUCCCAAUUCAGGAGCUUAUAUUUUUUAGCAUAAUUCUUUUAUGCUAGUUUACCUACGACAUUCCCCGCAUUAAUUUCAUUGCCUUCAUAUUAUUGGAAGAGUUUGUAUUUUCACUAGCGAAGUAGAGCUUGUUUUAGGGUUUUUUUUUCCUCCGCUCUCAAUUUUUUUUUUCUUAGUUUUGGCUCUCAAAAAUUUCUGGUUGUAGCCUCGCAAUUAGAACCACUUUUUUUUUUUUUAACUAAUAUUGAAAGAUUUGGUGAAUUGGAUGACUUCGCACUUGAAUUUCAAAAGACCAAUCUUGUUCUCUCUAUUUCUUUACUUUAUAUUUUAGAAUCUGUUCAUCAAUGUUUCAAUUCUUUUCACCUCAACUCUCUCCAUAUGCAUUUCCAGCAACAUAAGUAUCCGUUCCGAUUUCAACAAUAAUGUGCUUAAUAGCUGUUAUUGUUAUAUUUAGUUGCAUUACAAUAACAAACACUACACAAAUUUUUCUUGGAUUUUAAAUCUUUUAUUAAUACUAAUACGGAUUUUGGAUAAUGAACGAACAAGACAACUGAAAGGGCAACUUUGAAAUAAAAAUAUGCUCAAUUUACUUAAAUGAAUCAUUUAAUCUUACUUUGUUCCUAGUUAGGGGUGGUAGAUGAAUCGAGUUGCUCGCAAAGAAUUUAGUCAAAGCUCUACUUGAACUCGAGUUUGACUGAUACUCGAGUCAAUUAUUGAAUCGAAUUCAAGCAUUACCUAAAAACCUACAUAUUUUUAGAAAAAAUUGUCUUACCAAACGGAGCCCAUAUUUUUAGAAAAAAUUGUCUUACCACUCGAACUCGAAUUUGAUCUUAAUUUGCUUCUUGAGCACCUUUAUCUUUCACAUGAGCCGAACUCGAGUUUCAAAGUUGAUGAGCUCAAACCUGAGUUUGAACUCAAGUAAUGUCUUCAAGCUCAUCGAGCUCGAGCUUGAAUACAUUCUGUAUUUGAGUUUGAUUCCGUUCAUUGCCAUUCCUAUCCUAGUCAUUGAACAUGUUACAAAAGAAUUUAUCUAGGGGAGGUUAAUGAGAUUUUCAAAAGUUUAGAAGUUCCAAGUGAUAUUCACAAAAAACCUUUGGGAAGGUUUUCGAAAUUAUCCAAAGAAUCAAUUCAAAGCCAAUUGAUGCAUGUGGCGGAGAUUAACCUUAUCAAACAUGACCAUGUGCAUAAAGCCCCCACUGGAGUUCGGCAUUCAAACCCCCACUGGAGUUCAUUGCCAUACUAACUUAUUUCAGCCCGGAUGGAGGCUUGGCUACUCUUAGCCUUGGCAUGGGUUGUUGCAUUGGCUUUUCUCUCAAAAGUAUCCACUCGCAAACGCCUAAAGCUAAAUCAUCCACCAGGACCAAAACCAUGGCCUAUUAUUGGCAACUUGAAACUCCUGGGUUCAAUCCCACAUCAAUCCUUGCACUUGCUGCCCCAGAAAUAUGGAGAAAUCAUGCAACUAAAAUUUGGGCUGGCCUGUUGUAGUAGCUUCAUCCCCUGAAAUUGCAAAAGAAUUCUUGCAAACACAUGACAACAUCUUCGCCUCUCGGCCUACAACUGCUGCUGGCAAAUAUACUAGCUAUAACUGCUCCGACUUGACAUGGGCACCUUAUGGUCCAUUCUGGCGACAAGCUCGUAAACUUUAUCUAACCCAAAUAUUUAAUCCAAAGCGACUUGACUCCUUCGAGAGCAUACGCAUUGAAGAAAGGCGUGCUUUCAUUUCUCGCUUGUAUGCCCUCUCAGGAAAGCCAGUAGUUAUGAGAGAUCAUCUAACACGUCUUACCCUCUCCACUGCAAGCCAGAUGGUUUUGAGUAACAAGUACUUUGCCCAAUCUGAAGGGGAGGGAUCUCUACCUACCUUUGAAGAAUUCCAAGAGAUGAUAGAUACUUGGUAUUUGCUGAGUGGUGUGUUCAAUAUUGGGGAUUCUACAUAUUAUGUCAACCAAAAUAGAAAACUUAUCAAUGUAGAUGUUUGAAUAUAUUUUUUUUCCAUUACAAAUUGAGACACUCGCACUUGCUGAAAUUUUAUAUAAGAAAAGAGAAUUAUAUAUAUUUCCUUGUUUUUUGGAAUCCAUGACCUUGAUCUAGCUUCGACGAAAUACUCUUUAUUAUAUUCUUUUCCUUUCUUUGUAAUUUUCUUCAUGAAUCCACUUUUGAUGCUUUUCCGUCAAUUCUGUCCGCUUUUUAUUUAAUUAUAAGGGAAGUUAAUAAACCGCAAAACUUGCAUUUUCACCUUAUUGUGCUUGACGAUAAAGAGUAGACAGAUUUGACCUCCAAGGUUAUGUAAAGCAAAUGAAAGAACUUCACCAGAAAUUUGAUAGAUUCCAUAACCAUGUGCUUGAUGAUCACCGGGCCAAGAGGAAAACGGAGAAGGAUUUUAUCCCUAAGGACAUGGUGGACAUUCUAUUGCAAUACGCUGAAGAUCCUGAUCUCCAGGUUCAACUCACCAGAGAUCAGAUAAAAGGGCUAAUUCAGGUGCUAUUUCUUCUCGUUGUUUAAUCAAAUUCCUUGGUCUCUUUACCUCUUUAAGUUACUGAAUCUCAAAGCCAGCAGUCUUGCUUAGUAUAAUGUGCCAUUAAACAUAACUGUCUCCUUUCUUCUAAUUAAGAGUUUUUUUUUUAUUUUCUUUCUAGAUUAAUAGUAUUACAAUUUGUAGUAAAGUAUCAACAAUAUUUGAUCAUAGAGACACUAACUUUACCAAUAUGUCAUGUUCAGGACUUUCUUUUUUUUUUUUUUUUUCUGACGGAGUGGGUAUCCGGGCCUUCGGCCCGACUAAUCCCACUCCGACCCGAGAAGGAGGCCCUACUCCUCAGACACGGUAGGCACCAGGCAGACUCGAACCCAGGUGGGGGACGGACAACGACCCCUGAAGAGGAAGCCGUGACCGAACGAGCUGCCUGGUGAGGGCGUCAUGUUCAGGACUAACUUUACCAAUUUGUUGCUGACCAUAACGUGCUAUUAAAGAUAACUGUCUUCACCCUCAAAAAAAAAAAAAAAAAAGGAUAACUGUCUUCUUUCAUCCUUCUGAUUAAGAGGGCUAUGUUGAAUUUUCCAAGAUUCCAAUACGAGAUUUUUGAAUACAACUAUGAUAUAAACGCGUACCAUUUAUAAAACUAAUCUCUGAAAAAAAAAACUAUUAAUUAGAUUCAUAUUGAUUCAUUGCUAUUUUAAUUCUUUAAAUCUUAGGCUGGCCUUUCAAAUCAACAUGUAUUCUUUUAUCCUUAAAGAGGAUUCUUCAAUUUCUCUCUGGUAUCUGGGAUAUACGAACUAUUUUGCAAUACCAAAGUAUACGACAUAAAAGUGCAUGUGAUCCGGGUAUUAUAACUAUAAUAUAAAUAAUUUUUCUAUUAUCUUUUGGUAUUUCUAUUUUAAUCCAUCAUAAAAAUAGAAAUUAUUCACAAGUCUCUAUACAUUAAAAGUUCAUAUCUUAUGAAAUAUAUUAAAAUUAUAAUUAUAAUUGAUUACUUAAUUAAAUUUAAUUUGAUUUGACAAUUUGUAAUACAUAAUUAUUCAUAUACAAGUCUAGCAUUGAAUCUAGGAUCCAACAGUUUUUUCCCUUCCAAUCUGUUGUAAAGCAUGAUACUUCACCAAUAUUUAAUCAUGGCAGGACUAACUUUACCAUAAUUUGAUCAUGGCCAGGACUUGCUGGUUGGUGGUACCGAAACCUCAGCCCUUACAGUAGAAUGGCAUUGAAUGAACUUCUCAAACAUCCACGUCUCAUUCGAAAGGCAACCGAAGAGCUUGACAGAGUGAUAGGGAGAGAUAAGUGGGUGGAAGAGGCUGAUUUCUCAAAACUGCCUUUUCUAGAGGCGAUCAUAAAGGAAACUUUUAGGUUACAUCCACUGGCAACGCUACUUUCGCCCCGUUAUGCCCUCGAGGAUUGCACUGUAGCUGGUUAUAACAUUGCUAAAGGAACAACGGUGUUUAUAAACACAUGGAGUAUAGGGAGGAACUCAAAGUAUUGGGAUUCUCCAGAAGAAUUCAUUCCAGAGAGGUUUUUGGAGAAGGAUAUUGACAUGAAGGGACAAAACUUUGUGCUACUGCCCUUUGGCUCAGGUCGGAGGAUGUGCCCAGGCUAUAACCUUGGAAUCAAACUUAUUCGAUCAAUGUUGGCCAACUUGUUGCAUGGAUUCAACUGGAAAUUGCCUCAUGGCAUGAAACCAGAGGAAAUUUGCAUGGAAGAACACUACGGACUCACAACUCAUCCAAGGAUUCCACUUGCUAUGAUCCCAGAACCACGUUUGCCGGUCAAUCUCUAUUAGCGAGCAUGAUUUAAGGCAAAAUUGAAGUAUGUUCCUACCGUAUCAAUCAAAGGUUAAACUCAAUUGUAUCAUGCCCUUUUGAUCACUUAGCUCAAUUUAGGUGAGAGCUUGGGAGUUGGGACAGAGUAUAUUUGACCUAAGGAAACUUUGAAGGGAAGAUACUCCUUUUGGUGAUUUCUAUUGUGAAAUAAUACAAAAGUCACAAUCAUACUGGUUUUCUUUUCUUUCUUGAAAUUGCUUUUGGUGAAUUCUAUAUUGUGAAAUAAAAGAAAAGUCACAAUAUAUUUUUUGGCUAAAUAAAAAAAAGUCAAAAUAUCGCAAUUAUGACGUGUGGAAGAAUUGACAUGGAAAUAUUGAAGACUGCACAGAGGGGGGAAAAACUGGCUCUCUUGUUAGCAAAGAAGAUAGGUACGCAACGGAAUUAAAUGUAACAUCUCAAAAAUUUGACAAACAAACAAGGAGGCCCUCAAUUAGAGCCACAAGUCUGUUCAAAAGGUAACAUUACCCAAAGCAGAGUUGGCACAACUUACUGGAACAGAGAAGCAGCAACAUUAAACUUUGUGCAACGACCAACUUUAUGAUUGGUUCGCACAAGGCCUAUAAAAAUGCCAAAACGAAUCUGACCUCUUGACUUCAUACUACCAACGCGUUACAGUAAGGCAAUGCUAACUAUGAACCCAAUUCCAUGCAACUUCAAGAAUCUAACCGAAUACAGAUUGAACAUAGACGAGUUUGCCCAAUUUAAGUAAAAACUAGGGGUGUGACCUUAAUUAAGUAAGUAGCUCACGAGUUUGCUCUAUCAAAGUUCAAGCUCGACCUUUGCAUUAACUAAGUUCGAACUCGAGUUUGAACAUUUUGAGCUAUUUGACGAGUUUAAUCAAAUUCAAUCCAAUUUCACACACAGACAUACAUUUUAAUUUUUUUUAUAUAUUAGUAUAAAAUGUCUAUUUUAUCUCUUAUUUAAAAUUAUAUAAAAUAUAAAUUUAUAUUUCUUAAACUUGAUUAAACUCAAUUAGGCUUGAUGAGUACAAGUUCGAAUUCAAGUAAUGUAAAACAAAGUCAAGCUCGAGUUCAAGUUUAACUUUCAAGAGUUCAACGAGUUCGACCUCGAAUUAGAGUCCAGGUUUUUAACUUAAUGCACUAUUCGAGUUCAUUCGACUUGAUUGCACUUGCAAGUAAAAUAGCUUUUAAUAAAUAAAGCCCUAAUUGGCUUAGUAUAGUAGUGCUAACAUUAUCUUUAUUAAACUAAACACAAAAACUAAUCGAACACUUUGUUGCGGUGUAGAAAAUGUGCCACUCUAAGGGUCCGUUUGUUUCGGGUGAAAAUAUUUUCCAGGAAAAUAUUUUCCUAAUUUCCCGUGUUUGGUUGCACAAAAGUUACUGAAAAUAUUUUCAUAUGUAAAAUAUUUUCACUUAUCUUAUGGAAAACAACUUCCCUUCCAAACUUAUUGAAGUUGUUUUCCGAAAUGCAUGCAUCCCGCCUGUAGUAUGUUCCAAACUUACUGAAAACAUCUUAUAGUAUGUUCUUUUUUUUUUUUAGUGUAAAUAGGAGGACUCGAAUCCAAGACCUCUUCUUUACACUCCCUCCCCCGUACCACCCAACCCAACCCUCCCCCUAGUAUGUUCAAAAUAAAAAAAAAAACCUCAUCCUGCUCAUCCUAUGCUAGUAAUUAAUUAUGUAUAAUAGGGACAUUUUUUUCUAGAGAAACUUUCAGCAGUGAGAGUGCAAGAUAUAUGUCACAAUAAGCAUUGCAUGUGAUUGAUAUUUGACACUAAAUGGCCAGCAAUUUGUUUAUUGCUUAAUGAGAUAUUUUUUAUUCAUAUAUACAUUUCUCCAAGAUUUUUUAAAGUUAAACAAUGAGAUAAAUUUUCUUAUUUUGCAUGGAAAGAAGUAUGUAGUUAUAAUGUGUAGAAAGUAAAGAUAGAGAUAAAAGUGAAAAUAAUUCAAAAGUUAAACAAACACCAGAAAAAUGAAGUAAGAAAAUAUUUUCAAUAAGCUAACCAAACACCUGAAAAUGAUGAAAGGGAAAUGAUUUUCAUGGAAAAUUACUUCCACGGAAAAUAUUUUCCCAAGAAAAACAUUUUACUUCCAACCAAACAGACCCUAAAUUGUAAUUAUUACCAAUCUUCAUCUUCGCGCAUAGGAAGGGAUUAGACUUAUAUUUAUGUAUAUGAUAUGACUACUUAUUUUGCUUGAUCGAAGAAUUCAUCCAUAUUCACCCAUAUAUACCAUUAGAGCCAUCACAGUCUUGAGUCUCUUGACAUGAUAAUCAUCUGGAUCGAAGCAAUUCUCAAGAAACCAAGAAAUAUAUUUUUCCACUUGACAUUAUUUCCAAUAAAAUUUUCAAUUGCACAAUUUCCAACAAAUUUAGCCACCCCAGAAUUGAAUCAAUAAUUUCUUUCUCAUCAAAAUUAACACUUUUAGCGAGAAAUAAUUCAUUCUCAAUUACACAAAAUAGUGAAUAGGAAUCAAAAUUUCUAGCCUCUUCUAAAAAGGUCCUACUUUGUAUCAGUUAAUGGUAGUUGAACUCAUUCUCCCCUCUCUAUUCAUAUUUUGACGUUCUAAUCACCUAGAUCAUAUUCCGAAAAUGAACGGAGUUGGCAUUGGUUUUGGGCCAAAUAUAAUUAAAUGAAUAUGAAUACUUCUCAAAUUAAGUUCAAUUAGAAAAUGUGUUAUAUUAUCUUACCUGAAUAUUGCAUGAAAAAAUAUAAAAUUUUUGUACCAUAAAAGUUUUACUGCAUGGAUUGAAUCUGUUAAUAUUGUAAGUAAAUAGGAAAUAAACUAUAUGGAAGAAAGUUCUUAUUCAAUUAAUACAAUAAAAUGGCUAAGUGGGAGGAAGAUUUAGGUUAAAAAACCAAAACAAAAAAGAAAAAAGCGUUAGCAAGAGCUUAUUAAUUUCGUUGAGGGAUAUUGAAAUCAUGACUUUGGCGGAUACGAUUAAUAUUGGGUUAAUUACAUCUACCUCCCUUGUGGUUUUGCCAAAUUACAAGUAGACUCCCUAAACUUUGAAAAAUAACAAUCAUCCCUUUUGGCUUUGACAUUGCAUAACAAAUUGAUCCCUCCCAUUAGUUUACUAACGGGUUGUUGAUCCAAAUCAGUGAAAAGGUAAUACAAAAACCCUACACUGCCCCUCUAGAUGUUUUUGUAUUUUAAUAUUUUAAUAUUCUACUUAUUUAUACUAUCUAAGAAAAAGACAACAUCUUAUAAAAGCAUAAAAAAAAAAAAAAAGGGGGGGGGGGGGAAUGAAGAAAGUAUCAAUCGGCAAACAAGGAAAGGCCCAAGGAACCCAGCAUAUACACCAUCAGGUCCAUCAUCGUUGUCUUUGUCCUCUGUCUUCCCUUUAUCCCCAUAACUCAUGCCACCACGAAAAUUCUUCGGUUCCUUCCUAGAUGAACUGAGACAAUGUUCUAUGGCUUUCAUGAUUCAUGGUUCUUCUAUCCAUAAGCCACACACCUAUCAUUCCUUAUUUGUUUUCUAUUUUAGAACUGCACUGGGUUUCAUAUAUACAUAGGUAUGGACCUAACCCUGCAAAUAGCCAAUUUAAGCACUUCUUGUGCUCGUGAUUUAUGAUUUGCAUUGAUAAAUUGCCUGGUAGUGGGAGCGUUUUCAGCAUAGGGGCACAAGUUGGAUCGAGGUCAAGAUUUUGAUUGGAAAUAUCCAUUUAUUUGCGUGAUUUUGGGACUUGGAUGGGGGAAAAGUAAGUUGGCGGUAGCUUUGGGUGGUAGUGGUCAUUUAUAGUGAGAUUUUGGGGGUCAAGCAUUUGAGGUUACAGCAGUUGGUGACGAUUAUGGCUAGAUGGUGGUGGAGAAGCAGUACUGUAGAUCUCAAGAACCUUCAUUUACUUAUAUUCCCUAUCUUCUUCAAAUUAAUUUAUUCAUGGCAAACUAUAUUGACAGGGUGUCGAAGCCUGUGCAAUAAUAAAACCUACUCAAACUAAAAGUAAUUUCUGUAGAUAGUGGUAAGCAGGGUCGAAUCCACAGGGACUGGGAGUAAUUGUUUCUUUUCAAGUUCACAAUAACAAAGGGGGUGUUUUUGUGCAGAAAGUGACAAUAAAAGAAGUUCAAAUAAAAUCUAAGAAACUACUAAAAAUUAAAUAACAAAUUACUAAAAUCAAAUGAGUGAUAAUUAAGAAUCUAGCCAAGAAAUAACUUCAGCAAUUGUGCACCUAAUUGAUCAUCGAAACAAAGGCAAUUCCAAUUAUUUAUCAAUAAAUAGGUUAUCACUACCAAACAAGCGAUGACAGUCAACCCCUCCUUACUGUGUCGGUGGUUAAGGUACGCCAGUUAAUCACUACUCUAAUUGAGAAAUAAUCCUAGGUACGCCCAUAAGAUUUAAUUUCGUAAUUGCCUUACGUAUUAGAGGAGCUCUAUUCUAACCAAAUAACGCACUACCAGGGUUAUUUUAGAUUAGCCCACGUAUUCCCCUAACACAAACCCAAUCAUGCCAGUUAUCACUAUUUUGAGACAAUUAAACAAUUACGGAUUUAACGUCCCAAUUGACAAUAGAUUAUCAAAUUAAUUAAUUAUCCGGAUCCAAGACAAUCAAUUAAUUAAACAAUCAUAAGCACUGCAACUAAGGAAUAUGCGAAUACCAAUAAAUAGAAAAAAAGAUAAAAUUAAAUCGAUCUCACAAUAUUUUAGGCGAAUCAAAGCAUCCGUUGUUCUUUGACCAGAGCGAGGAAAUUUAGUUCAUAAUCGAUGAACAAAACCCACGAGAAAAGAAAGCAAGAGUUGCGGCCAUCAGUCCCAAAUGAGCGAGUUCACUUCGUUAUCUUUAAUAGAGAAAGUAAGCUACUGGAGGUACUUUAUUGUUUGCUUGCUUCUCCUACGUACGGCUGAAAAGAAGACUACUACUCCAAGCUAAAAAAGGACAAGUCCCUACUAGAUGACGAAAAUGGAAAAGUCAAAGAAAACUAAGCUAAACUAGAAGAACGGAAAACUAAGAAGAAAAGCAAGACAGUGGCUGUCCCUCCAUUCCUAUUCUCUCUAAUUCCUCUCUGUGCGGCGGCCUCCUUCUGGAGAGGAAGAAGAAGACCCCUCAACCCUUCGUUCCUUUCCUCCUUUUAUUCUAUCUUCCGCAAAUUACUAAAAAGGACUUGUGUCUCCUUGUUCCAAAAAUAUUCUGGGUGCCUGCUACUUGAACUCUUUCCUGAUAACUGUCAAAUCGGCACUUAUUAUGGUAUUUUCGUUCUACUCCCUGAAAUAUAUGCAAAAUACUAAAAGUGAGUAGAAUCUAACAAUUAAUCCAGAUUGGGUCAGGUAAUAGGAGAAAUUAAUAAUAAAAUAAAUGAUAAAAUCGCAACCUAUCAUAUAUCAACUUUGGCAUAAACCUUUCUUAUUUUUACAAGAGGUUAAUUUUGUCUAAACAAGAGAAAUUUUAACACCAUUUAGCAUCGGUUAAGUCGAAGGGGAUGAUUGUUAUUUUUCAAAACUCAAGGGAUCUAAUGGUAGUUUGGCCAAACUACAAGGGAGGUAGAUGUAAUUAACCCAUUAAUAUUUUUAUCAUGGAUUAGACACCAUUGUUGUUGGAGGAUUGUCCAAGACUCUUCAACGGGUCUGAUCAGAGAAAUGUAAAAACAACAACGUAAGGAAUUGCCUUAAUAUUUUUUUUCCACGCUUCACGCGGGUUGCUUGAUUAUCCGAAAAACCAUGAGAUAGUUGCUCCCAAUAUUCAGUGAUACAUGGCCAACAUAGUUGUAGUAUUAAGACAGUGGAUAGACAUAUGUGCAAUCAAGUAUUAUUGAGGAAAAAAUAAUUGAAGUUGACCUAAUUAUAAGCUAACUACUUGUAAAUUGUAAUACCAUUAGAGUCACUUAAGCUACAUAUACAAGAAGUAAUUUCUUUUCCGGGAUGAAAAUUUUUGCACACAGUCACGCAGUUGUAACUACUUUCCCAUGGAAAGCAAGGGCUCCGGCCGGUUGGCUGCAGGAAGAAAACUUCUGAUAUUUGCAUUCUCGAGUUGACAUUUUAUGCUUCUGCGUUAGAUGCCAGGAGAAAAAGUUAGAUACAUCCUACUUUAUCUCACAUCGCCGAUCAUUUUUCAGGGAUUUAUCGCACAACGAUUUCACAGGAAAAAUUCCAGAUUGUUUCGGCCAAGAUGCCUUCCUUAAGAACAAUGUAAGUACUUUUUUUUUUUUUUUGUUCAGAAAAAAAAAAUCUUAAUUGAUCAACCAAAACUCAAUCAUAGGUCAAAACAGCCUCAAGCAUUUAACAAGAACUGCCUAGCUAAUAGGCACACGUUCACAAACAACAAAGUAACAAAAAAGCUAGGUACCUAUGAUUAGUUAAUCAUUAUGUUGUGGGGUUAAUAACACGCUGCCAAAAAAAAAAAAAGGUUCUAAUAGUUCCCUAGGGUUCUAUGUAUCAGAAUUCAGUUGUUAAACUUCUAAUCAUCGUCAUCAGCACCGUUAGAAAACGGACAUCAAUUUUUAGAUUGAAAUGGCAUGACUAAACGCCAAUUUCUCAAUGUUAAUGAGGCUGAUAUCUUAGACAUAGUCCUUACAUGUUCAUGAUUAUCUAGGAUAAUGUGCUUUGCAAAUAUGUAACUUAUGUUCAGCCAGUUAGCAUUUAAUCAUAAGUCGGGUUAUAGGCGCUUAAAGCAAGAAUAGAAGAUUAUGUGAGUUUAUUGUCAAAAUAACUCUUCUUCCAAAACAUAUAACCCAAGUAACUUAAUUUUAAAAUUUAUUACGUUUAUGAUUCUUUUUUUUUCUACUUAGGCUGCAUACAUAGUUAUUAAACCCAACCCGGGAGGGAACCCGGUGAACGAGGUGGGUCAACGGGUUACUGGUUCAACCAGUGGGUGGGUGGUUGAACCGGUGGGUCACUAAAUAUAUUUAAAUAUUAUAUUUUAUAAUUUUAAAUAUAAGAUAUAUGAUAUAAAUUAUAGUAAAUAAUGUCAUAACAAAUGCUCAUAUAAUUUAAUUUGCUAUAAAAAAUUAAUUCAUAUAAGAAUCAAUAAAAUAUAAAGUUAUUUAGUAAUACACCAAACUUCAAGUAUAAAAUUUUAUCUAUGUUUAGUGUAAUUAUCUAACUUAUUUAUAAAUUUUAAGUGCAAAAAAUUAUUAAAAAUAAUAUAUGUUUUUAAAAUGAAUUAUGUAACAUGUUAAUUUUUAAGUCCAUUUCAUAAGUUUGGGGGUCAUAAAUUAUUAUUAAAAGAUUCCAAAUUAAUUUGUUUUAGAGAAAUAAAACAGAAAGAUAAAAUUGAUAAAAUGUUUAUAUAUAAUAAGUAAGCAACCUUAUCACCAUCUCGCAAGGUAGCCUAGCGGUUUCGUCGAUGUUGCUUUGUACCAGAGGCACAGGUUCGACUCUCAGCACUGCCAUAAAAUUUUUAUAUGAAACUCGGUUCUUAGACACAACCGGCCGGGUUUUCGGUUUAAUCCGGUCGAACCGGCGGUCCGUUGACUAAUCAACGGGUUGAUUACUUAAACGAUCCAAUUGAAAAUCCAGCCUGGUCCCAUGUCCGGUUCGACCGUCGGGCCGGACCGGGUUUAAUAACUAUGGCUGCAUAUGUGCCAGGAUGGAGAUAAAGGCAUAUUCCAUUUCUCUUUUCCGUAUAAUAUCUUUUCCAAUUUUCUUUCUAAACCUUCCCGCAUUUUUUUGUUUCAUUAUCUUUCAUUUGUCAAAUGUAAUUCUAAGAAGCCAAUAUUUAUAUGAACAACAUCUAAAAAAUAUGCUUCUCAAAUCGAUAAUCUCAAGGGAAAUAAAAAUUAUUCUCUUGUCCUUUUAAGAAGUAGGAAGGAUAAUAUAAACAAAUAUGAUAGUCUUGAAGUUUUGUAAUUGCUUACAAUUUUCAUUGAAAUUUUUGUUGCAGUUUUUUUUUUUGUAUUUUUAAAAUUUAUUUUUUGAAAAAAAAUAUAUGCAAUGGGUUUGAUACAUUUUAAAAAAUUCAAAGACCAAUAAUAGCAAGGUCAAUAAUGGUAGAAUUUUGAAAACAGUACUGAUAUAACUGUUUUAAUUUAAAUUUUUUUUGUGUCUUUCCAACCCAUUCUACACCCAGUUGCCAGGUUUAUAAUACGAACUCUGAACUUAACAAUAAAAAAGGCUCUAAAAGGUGGCGCUACUUUAUUCACAGGGCUAAACUGCCUUAGUUUACAUUUUUUUUUUUUUUGGUUACAUAUAAAUUUUCAGUAGUAGAUUAGGAUGAGCGGUUGGAAGGGAAGAAAUAGAAGUUCUUAUCUUGCAUUGACCUUAGUGCCAUUAUCGGUCAUUGGAUACCCGAAUCAAGAUUCAAAGCUCCAUUUUUCCAUAAACUUUAUUGAUACAAGAUUAACAAUACAAUGACAAUUACUUAAUUUGUAGAGAAUCUUACUAUCAAUUGAAGACAGGUGGGUUAAUAACAAAUUUUAGUGAAUAUGUAUUAUUUAGUAUUUACUUAUUAAAAGAUUCAUAUUAUUCGCAUUGAUGAUAUAAGUAAAACCGAUCCAGUUCUGAUCCCUGUACACUGGUCUAUGGUCUAUCUCGGACCUCGAAAUAUGGACCGGAUUUGGACUUGGACCCGUGCUUUAAGAUGAAUAGGCCGCCAUGGAUCUUCACUGGCAAAAAAAUUGCUUGGAGUAUAAUAAAGUUUAAUUUCGUGAAAAGUUUGUUUAGGAUUUGAUUAUAGACCGUUGAUAAUAUUUUACUACAAAUUAAUAUUUCGAUUUAAUCAUAACCUUAUUCCUGAAUUUUAGAUAUAUAUGAAAAGUAAACACUUGUGAUUUCUUAAAGAUUUCAUUUACGUUUGUAAUCAUGAAUAUGUUCCAAAAAAAAAAAUAUCACACUACUGAAGCUCAACUCGAAUUAUAUAUAAACAAGCUAUAAAAGUGUAUUUAGAUAGCAAAUUAAUUGAACAAAACUCCAAAACUACUGCACUAUUUAAAAUGGUUGUUUUUGACAAAUUUCAAUCCAUGAUCAUUAGCUCAAUCAACCAUAAGAAUCCCCAAAUUGAGUUCACUUUUAAUAACUUUAGGCAUUUUAUUCUUUGGUUGUUGUCAAUCAUUUCUCGAGAUGUCAUGUCCCUUGGGUUUGUCGAACUCGUGUGACGUCGGCGUCAGUUAAGAAUGCUUGGUUGUCUUCCGACGGGAAAUUUUGCUUUUGCUUUUGCUUGGUUGUCAUGUCCCUUUACUAUUGCUUCCGUUUCUGCCAAGACCCCUUUCGAGUUCUAGUCGUGAUCGUGCUCGGUUGUAUCCUAAUAGGAAAUUUUGGAUAACAAAUCACCUCACAGGAUUCCACUAAUCACUUGACCUGAAAAUUGAGGUUUUGCCGAUUUUUUGGUUCAUCUCCCCAUGUCUAGAAACACCUUUUUUCAUGGUAAUUUCCUUUUGAUUAAUCCAUACAUAAUAAUGUCGAACGUUCAUGUUAAUCGAUUGUCGUCGAAACUUAUAAUUUGCUAAUAUUUGCAGCUUUUUUCCAAUAUCUACAAAUAAAAUAUAAUCACUUUUUUAUUUUUUUUUAUAUGAUAAUAGUCAUACUAUGAUCAUCAUUUAGUUGGGAAAAAAUGUGUUAAGUAUUACAAAGAAGAAACCGAAAAUAAAAAAUUUCGAAUUCGAGACCUCCUAUUUCAUAAAAAAGAGAAAAAAGAUAACUAUGAUCAUUAUUUAGAACGGCAAUGUCAACAUCCUUUUGUUGUAUCCGGUAAUUGCUGCUUCGUUUCAAGCAAAACUAUCAAUAUCUACAGUUUGUAAUUUUAUGAUAUCGUAAUUGUAAAGAAAUUUCAUUCUUCUCUUUCCAAUUGUCCAUAGAUUUUCUAUGGAAGCUGUGGCUCCGGUGAGUUUUCCAUCAGGGCUCCGUAGAUGAUGGUGCAUCUCAUUAGACCGCAGAGUCUCCAAUCAAACAGGAACCAGUGGCCCCCAUGCUUUCAGCUGGAUAGGCCUGGAUUUUCUCAGCCGGGGCCCAGCAAAAGUUGUGAAUGGCCUACCGUAGACCCGAUCGCGCAAGAAAUUUUUAAUCUUCUUGGGUCUCUCGAGUUGACUGUAGAACAAGUCAACAAGUCAGAAUUUAUUAAUAAUUGCGGCCUAUUUUUAACUAUUUCAUUAAAUCUAGCUGUCGAAAAAAAAAAGUUUGGAAUAUGCUGCAGCUUAAUACAUGAAAAUAUUGUUUGGGAUUGAUUGCGCCUUUACUAAACUAAGUUUUACUAGAAUUGUAAGUUCUUGACUAACUAAGUUUUUUAGAAUUUAUAACUUCUGAGAAAUUAUAGUUUCUUCUCGCUACUAGAUUGAGUACAUCUUAAGUCUGGCGAUUAGGGGUGGGAAGGGUGUGGACAGAAAUAGAAGGUAUAAAAAAAAGCUAUAGUCAUGACUUUGUCCCAAAAAAAAUCAAAUUGCUGAAUCUCAAUUUGAACGAUAUAUUUACAAUUUAUUGCUAAGACGUAUUCGGGUAUUAAAUUAAUUGAAUGAAAGAAUCGUUCUGUUUGAAAUGGUUUUUUUUUUUAGAGAAUUUUUAAAAACGUUUAGUAUAGCCACAUUAUUGGAAGAGUGUAUGUAUGUAAGAUAAGAAAUUAUUAAAAGGUUUUCAUAAAUGAUCCUUCCAAACAAAAACAGUUUUCCAUUUGCUUUAACUUAUUAGUUUAACCUGCGAAUUUCCUCUCAGAUAAAUGAUGAACAAGCUUUAAGUUGGACAAAAUUUUCUUCUAGUUUAUGCAGGAAAGUUAAAAUUCUAAGACAUGAACAUGUUAAAGGGAUCUUCUUUUCUGCCUCAGCUUGUUCAAACUUAAAAACUGGUCAGGAAAGACUCAAGUUCGUCUACAAAAAGCUAUUCAACGAUUAGAGGAAGAAUAUUUUGGUAGUAGUACUCAAGGUUGUAUUCAGAAACUCUUGCAAAAUUGCUUCUCCUGAAAUGUUUCCAAAUUCCAGGUUUAAAUAAGACAAGAACUUGCGGUCCAGAUAUUUGAUGCAAACCAAAACACAUGAUGGAAAACGUUUGAUUUACGUUUAUAGAAAAACAACCCUGUAUUGACCGUAACAUAGGAGUAGAACAAGUCGAGGGUUAGAUUUUACUUCACAUAUUUAGAUUUUUUUUUUUUUCCCUUUACCAGAGCAUAAUAUAAUGGGAACUAACUUUUUUAUUUUCCAAAAAAAAAAAAAAAUUUGCAUCGCUGGAAAUAGAUGAUAUGAGAAGCUUGGACAGGAACAAGAAGUCAAGAGGAAAAUAGAGAUAAGGACAAAAUUAAAAGUUCUGACAUUUUUUUUUAAUUAACAAUAAAAGGUAAUAUGGCUUGACAGAGGGGCUAGGCAAAGUGCAACAAAAUAAGCGUUAAGAAGUAAAGUGCAAAUAGUGCUAACUGUUAAAGAGAGCUUUGUGCCUUUCAGCCAUGGGAUUUUUCAAGCAUUUACAGCAGGCACUCAACUGUCUUUCUGGUACCACAUUAUAAAUUUAAACCGUUGGCAGCUAGUUUUUCCAAACAUAAGCAGCCCAUCUUUUUUCUUGCAACUAUAACACAAUUGGCUGCAUGUUCGGCAGGUUCACGAGUUCACAAAACAUCGCCAUUUUGGCUUCAGCAAUGGUGUGGAUUUUCUUUCUUUCUUGGGUAAUAUGUUUUUCUCGUAUGCAAGUCCAUGCUGCAGGAGAAGGCAAAAGGCCGCUGAUUUCCAUGAAUGGUCGCAAUUUAUCUGAAAAAGAGCUUAAGUUUGAGGAACAUGCACGAAGGGAACUUAUACCAGGCAGAUCCAGUAAGUCCUUUGAUAUAUAUAUAUAUAUUCUUUGCAGCUAUCCUUCAUCUCCAAGCAUUGUCAGGCACUAUUCUUAGCGACAUCUAAAUAAUUUAUUGUACGUCUAUUUAGUGAUUCCACUAUAUGCCAUUUCGUUUCCGGUGAGAUACUUCUGUCAAGAAUUUUAGGCCUUUGUACGUUAAUUUGGUCUUGCACUGUACAGACACAGGCACAGACAGAUAUAUUCAAGAGCUCGUUUGGAUGGGUGUUUUUGAGAAUAUUUUUGUAGAACUUUAACUCUAGAUAUGUGUUUUAUAAAACCAUUUGAUAUGGUGCUUUAAAAAUGUUUUCAAGUGUUUUUGGGAAUGAUUUUAAAACUGAUGAUUAGCGCCAUCCUCUUCUCACCUCUACCCUGCCCUCCGAUCUCCACUCUCUCUCCCCCCGCUUCUUUUCUCCACCUCUGGCCACCCUCGCAUUCCAUCCCCUCACCCCUCCUAUUUUCCACCCUUCCUUGUCAGCUCUAAAAAAAAAAACCAUCAAAUCACCCCUACCAGAUUGCAUAGAUCUUUCAUGUGGCCAUAUCAUAAAAGGGACGAGGGCGCAAGGGAAAGAGGGGGUGUGGUACUUAUAUUUAGAGAUUUAAUUAAACCCGAAUUAUGAGUAGCAAAGAAUGAUUGCAACAUUCAUUUUCUGAGGGCUUGGGGACAAAGCCAUUAAGGGUUUGUUUCGAUAUGUUUCAACCACCUUUUGAUUUCACAUACAUCAUAUCACAAAAAUGUUACGAUAUUUCAACAAAUCUCCUGUCCAAACACACUCAUUGUUUCUAAUUUUGGUUGAAUAGAUAAGUCCAAAUGCACAGAUUUGUCGAUGACUUGAUUGAUUUUUGUCUGCAGGUUUCAUCAGUAUCGACUGUGGCAUAGAAAAUGGUAACGAUUAUACUGACAGCGAAACUGGAAUUAGUUAUACAUCAGAUACGCAAUAUGUUGAGAGCGGAGUAAACAUGAAAAUAUCUGAUUUAUUCUUGUCUCAAACUCAAAAUUAUCAAAAGCUGCUGUCAACUGUUAGAAGUUUUCCUGAAGGAAACAGCAGUUGCUACAGGCUGAAACCAACAGCAAAUGGUGGAGGCAACAAGUACCUGAUUAGAGCAUUCUUCAUGUACGGAAAUUAUGAUUUCAAAAGUCAACCACCACUUUUCAAACUCUACCUUAAUGCAAAUGAAUGGGAUGAAGUAAAACUGGAAAAUGCUUCUCAGAUUCUGAUCAAAGAAGUCAUACAUAAUCCUCCUACAGAUUAUAUACACGUCUGUCUUGUCAAUGUUGGCUCCGGAACACCUAUCAUUUCAGCACUUGAGAUAAGAGAGUUGAACAACACCAUCUACGAAACUAUGUAUGAUGAUUCGCUAAUCCUCUACAGAAGGUUAGAUGAAGGUGCAAGUUCAACGAUUAGCAACAAAUUCCGGAGGUAAAUAAGGUCUAUAUAUGAGUAAGAAUAUAAUUAAUUAUUUGAAUAUUGUUCUCUGCAUUUUAGACGGAAUUAAUUUGGUUUUCCAAUUCUUCAUUUUCAGGACUGCAUGUCUAUUUUUUUUAUUUUAUUUAUUAUUAUUAUUUUCUGUAGUUUGGAAUUUUCAGCAUUCAAAACCACACUAAGCUCAGGUGCCUGUUUAUUCAAGGGCAAAAAAUAGUCGAAUCCUUCUCAUUAUCUUUUAAUCCUGUAUAACUCUUUAAUUUUUUUUUGGAACUCAGAAUUUUUAAGACUAGUGCUCAAGGUUCAAUUACAUACGAAGUUAAAAUGGCUCAAAGGUCUAUUAAUUAGUAGUCCAACUUCUUCCAUGUCACUUUCCAGCAACUGGCAACUUUAAGUUGAAACCCAGACCCCUCAAAUCACUCCUAAAUCCCCAUCUUUCUCUCUGUUUUUUUUUUUUGCCAAAACAAGACCAGAGCAAAACAAGAUGACUUUCCCAUUAAUGUGAAAAAAUAGAUUCCUAGUAAUUACUACAAGAGGCACCUAGUUUAGUUGUUAAACAGUGUUUUGAAUUUCAGAUGGAGUUGGCCGAUUCAAUUGAUUGAACCAUGAACAGUCAAUGCCUCGUCAAAGCCUUCUCGAUGAGCUGGUCAAACUUAGUUAAAAACUGGAUUUGACCAGGAAGAUCAGGAAAAGAUCUGAAAAAUUGGUUUCUUCAAUUUCUUUUUGGUUUUUAAUUUACUUUCCUUUUUGUUUUCUAGUUUUACAUUUUUUUUUUUGUUGAAGUUUUCCUUAACUAUUCUUGUCUCGAGUUUGAUACUCAAAAUUUUUGUGGCAUUUAGGUUUGACAUUUGAAUAAUUUGGACAACUAAUUCUUUCACCAACUUUUUCGAGUUACCAUCUUAGUUUGUAAAUUUUGCCAAUUAAGUCUCAUGAAUUUAGUUAUGAACUCAUCAGUUCAGAUUUUUGUUACAGAAUAUGUAAUUAAAAAAAGUUUGUGGCCUUAUUAUGACUAGGCAUAUUAAUGGAUCGGGUCUUAGCCAAAUUCAACCCAAAUCCAAUAUACUUGGGUAGGGUUUGGAUUUAAUUUCUCAAAUCCAGACCCUGAAAAAGCGUUUUAAGUCUGGGUAGGUCUGAUUUUCUAUAAUUCACAUUCAAAUCCAAAUUCAUACUAGACACUACCCAAACCCAUGUAUAUAUAAUUAAAUUAUAUAUAUAUAUAUUAGUAAAUUUAUAAAAUAUUCUAAUAUUCUAUGGUUAUUAGAUCAAAUACAGUAAGACUUUAUGAUUGUUUUCUUUUUUCAACCUAAUUCUAGUUGUCAUUGUAAUUAGUACAAAUUUUUUCUGAAAAAGGAGAAAAAGUAAAUGUAAAUAAAUGAAAGAUUUGAGGUAGAUAAAGUUGAAGUUUUAAAAAUAAAUAGAACAAUCGACAGUAGUUAUAUUUUUGAGUUCAUAAUAUUGCAUUUAACUUCUUGAAUAUUAAUUUUAUUAUUUGAAUAUAAAAAUUGGAUGGUGUUUUUUUUUUUUUUGAAAUCGAUAUAUUUUUAUAUAUUUAUUUUAGUGCGUUUACAAAAAUAUAAUGGAUACCCAUUAGAUACCAAAAUCCAGAAGAGUCUAGGUUUGAACUUAUAUUUUCAAACCUAGAAAAGUUUAAGUCAGGGUUUGGGUUUAGGUUUGAAUCUAACUAAAUUUAAUGGGUCUCGAUCUAAAAAAGAGAGAUGUAAUCCAAAUCCUACCUAUUUACAUGCCUAAUUAUGACAUUAUCCAGUUCUUAAGUAAUUUUUAGACCCCAAUCCAAACCUGACCUCGAAAACUUACUGUCUCCUCAUCCCUAAACUCAAUCGAGUCAUUACUCAGACCGAGUUUCAAAAUACUAGCAGUAAGAUGUUAUACUUUUGUUGUGCAUGCAUUUCUAAAAUUUCUUUCAGGUACCCGGAUGAUCUCUAUGAUCGUAUAUGGGAAGUCCCUGACUACCAGCCUGACUGGGAAACAAUUAACACAGCUUCUUACAUUAGUGAAGAAUAUCUUGACAACGCCUAUAAACCUUCACCAAUCGUCAUGAGCACUGCAGUCAGGCCUGUGCAUGGAAGUUCGUUAGUGCUGUCUCAAAAUGUUGAUCGCAACCAACAAUUCUACUUGUACAUGCAUUUCCUCGAGGUGGAAGAUCUCCCAUCGACUCAAAUGAGGAAGUUUGUCAUAUUUGUGAACAAUAAAAUCUGGUCCUACCCUGUUGUUCCAGGCAGUGGUCCAAAUACUAUCUACAGCAAAUAUUCCGUGGGUAGUACUGAUACCCUACUAUUCUCAAUCAAUAAGACAAAUGAUUCUACACUUCCCCCAAUUCUCAAUGCCGUAGAGUUCUACAUUCCCAAGAAAUUCCCUAUCCUGCCCACAAAUCAAAGUGACGGUACGCCUAAAUCUAAUUCUUUUUGGCAAAUCUGAUGUGCACUUAAAUCUGCAGUGUAUCUAAAAUCUUUUUUUUUUUUUUGACAAACGAUAAACUCAUAUAUAUAUAUAUAGCAGUGUAUCUAAAAUCUUAUUAAUCUCUUUUAGUUCAUACUUCAUACUCAAAUUCGUUUUGAUACAAAUUAUUGGGAGAUCUGCGCUAAUUACAGCAGUUCUUUCAAUUAUACUUAACAAAAAAAAAAACAAUUGAAAAUAUAAAGAAGCAAUGCUUAAAAUGAAGAAUUUUAUUAAAUGCUUUACAGCCCUGAAUUAUAUACAUCAAUUUUUUGUUCUUAGUUGAUUUCAGGAUUGUCCCUUUCUUGUAGCGAUUUAUCGUGUAUAUUUUUGUGUAAUUUUACAUAAAAUCAAGAUACAGAUUCAUCGGCGUUAUGACCUUUUAUACGCCAUCUUUUUUUUUUUUUUAUUUUAAUGUGUACAUACGACGAAUCCUUCUAUAGGGCUGUAAAAUUUUUUUUCCUCUAACUUUUUUUUCCCCCGACAAACUCUAGUUGACGCCAUGAUCAGCAUUAGGUCAACAUAUGGUGUAAAGAAAAAUUGGCAAGGAGAUCCAUGUGUACCCGAGGAGCUUAGGUGGGAUGGACUAGACUGCAACACCAAUGAUCAGGGUUUAUACAGAAUCAUUUCAAUGUCAGUUUGUGUUUCUACAACAAACUUCAUUUUUUGUAAUUGAAUGUGAAGAUGACUGCAUCCUUUUCUGCUAUUUAACCAUGUUGACGGAACUGAAUUAAAGCAGGAACCUAUCCUUCAGCGGGUUAAAAGAUGAAAUCGCAUUCUCAUUGUCUAAACUUGAUUCACUCCAAAGCUUGUAAGUAUAUCUACUGCCAUAUGUCUUAUUUCGUACAUUUACUUUUUCUUUUAUCAAAAAUUACCAAUUGCUUUUGCCGGUUAUCUUUGACAAUAAUUGUGGGCAUUUUCUCUUUUGUUCAAAUUUGAUGCCGUUUAAAGGAUGUGUUUAGUUAUACGUAAAUGGAAAGUGCCACCAGAACUGGUAGAACUGGUACUAGUGCAACUACUAUUAGAGCCACGUAAGCUACAAUUGCAAAUAAUUGUUUCGUUUAUGCAAUGAAUUCUUUUGCAAGUAAUCUUGACGUUGUACCUAUUUCCUGCGUAAAGCAAGGGGUUCCCAUUGGCUUUAGGAAGAAAACUUCUUGUACUUUUUUUUGGAAGAAAAACUUCUUGUAUUUGCAUUCUAGAGUAGGACAUUUUAUGCAUCUGAAUUUGACUAAUAAAGAAAAAUUAGAUAUAUAGUACUUUUAUCUCACAUCGACAAUCAUUUUUCAGGGACAUGUCACACGAUGACUUGACAGGAACAAUCCCAGAUUUUUUGGCCAACAUGCCUUCCUUAAGAACAAUGUAAGUUCCUACAAGAUUUGCCUCAAGAAAAAAUUGUAGUUUUGAUCCCUAAUGUUUGGCCUAUGCACCAAAUGUUUAGGCCAAAAUAAAUCUAAUCCCCAUAAUUUGUGAUUUUAAUUAGAUUUAGGACAAUUAUUAGAAAUAGAAUAAUGACUAAUGGCCAACAACAAAUUGUUAUUAAUCAACAACUUUGACUUUGCACUUUUGGUCUCAAAUAUUUUGACUUUGAAUCAUCAUAUUUUCCUAAAUUUUAAAUAGUGAUAUUAAGAGUUUUAGCAUGAGUUGUAAUUAAACUUCUUUUUCUUCUUUUUAUUUUUAUUUUUAUUUCAUUUAUUCAUGUUAAUAAUAUAUCAUAUGUUUCUUUUCUUUUGCAUAAUUAGUCUUAAAUUUGGUAUAAUAUAUAUAUUAUUAUUUCUCAGUAUUAAUAAUUAAUUGAUAAUGAAUUUUUUAUUUUUAUUUCUAAUGAUAAUUACAAACUUAAUUAAAUAUCCCUUUCAAAUAUAAGGAAUGUGCUGAUCUUUUUUUAGGCCAUUUAAUAUGUUAUCAGUUGAAUUUAAAAUAAAGUAGGCAUCUUAUGUAUAUUAUAUUAAACAUUAAAUGAUUAUCACAAUAUAUAAAUAUAAAUUCUUUAAAACUACAAUAUUAGAACGUUAAAUUUUAAUUGGAAAGAUAGACAACAAAAGAUGAAAUAUAGUUUUCUUAAGGUAAGUAUCAAUGUGAAGUAAUUUUUUGAAUUCUUUAAAAAAAUCUUUUAUUUUUUGGUGUCUUUCCUACCAAUUAAAAUUUAACAUUCCAAUAUUGUAGUUUUAAAGCAUUUAUUUUAAUAUCUAUGCACCUUAAUAAUCAUGUAGUUGUUCACAUAAUGUGUAUAAAAUGGCAACUUAAUUUCAAACUCAAUUCAUAAUCUAUUAAAAUGCCAAAAAAAAGAUCAACUUAGUUUACAAAAAAGUAUAUAGUUUUAUAUUUUGAAGGGAUAUUUAAUUAAGUUUUUAAUUAUCAUUAGAAAUUCAAUUAAUUAUUAAUAAUGAAAUAAUAUACAUAUAUUAUACCAAAUUUAAUACUAACUAUGCAAAAGAAAAAAUAUAUAAUAUAUUAUUAGCAUAAAUAAAUAAAAAAUAUAAAAAAAGAAGAAAAAGAAGCUUAAUGUUUUAAAUUGUCAUUAGUUAAACUUUAUGGUUCAAAAAUAUAUUUUAGGUUACUCUAUGUAAAAGAAUAAAUUUCAAUUUCUUCCGUAGAGAAGGAUGGGGGACAGGAAGGGAAGAAACAGAAGUUGUUAAGGUGUGUUUUUCUCUUAUCUUGCAGUAACUUAUCUGGAAACAAGCUGGAAGGCUCAGUCCCUGCACUUCUUCGUGAUAAAAUGAAAAACGGGGCAUUGGCACUCAGGUAUUUUAAAUUCUAGACCAUGACCCUUUUUCUUUUUGUUCUAUUCUAGGGGAUGACUUAUUUAACUACACAUUCGUUGAAUAGAAGGAAAGUCCUAUGGGAAAGUGAAGUGAGAUAAAGAAAAGUGAAUAUGAGUUUCCUAUAUAUGUUUGGUUACUAAGAAAAAUAUUGAGAGAAUAUAAGAAGUUAAUGACAGUUAAUAGCAGUUAUUCAAACUUUCGUGAGUUACUUUCCUCAAAGUCCUGCGAAUUUUGUGGGACACAAAGUGCAGGAAAAUGCAAGAAAAAGUUUCAAUAUUCCUAACUUUCAUUCAUUUCUUCACACUUUUCCGAUAAACAAACACUAUAUUUCACUUUUAUUUGAGACAUAGCAUCCCAUAAUGUUUUUAGAUUGUAUCAAUGAGUCACAUUUGCUAAUAGAUCGAUCUAAUUAAAUUCAAGUGGGAGGAAAUUGGAAUUGUAUACCCAGAUAACGCCAGAAAGAGACAAAAAUUACAUACAAGUAAUUUUUGCUCAUUUGUUUUUUGGUUAAAAUGUAAUUUUUGUUCUUUUUCUUUUCAGUUAAAAAUUAUUAUUCUUUUGUUCCUUUUGUGCAAGUUUGGAUGGAAACCCGGAUCUUUGUUUAUCAGGCCCUUGCAAGAAGAAGAAGUCUCAUAAGCAGAGAUUGAUCGUUAGCAUCGUUGUACCGACCAUAUCAUGUCUUCUUGGCAUAGUAAUCGCGGUUGCGAUUUUCAAGCACAGAAUAAAAGCCGCCUCAACGAAGGGUACUCCUUGAUAUCUCAACUGUUCAAAAUUGCACUACUACUCCUUUCAAAAGCAUAAUAUUUUUGUUUGACGUACAAUUUUAUAAGAUUCGAGGGUUCAAAACAUAGCCAAUUGCAAUGACAGGAGUGAUUCGAGAUCUUUGUUAACUUAAACAUCGGAACACUGAUGUAGUACAAGAAAUGCCCAUGAGGCUAUGAGGAAUUUGGUUGUAGGGGUAUGAAAUUGAAAUGGGAUGGUAAUUUUAUCAAUUAUUGUGUUUGGAAAGACAAAAGAGGCCUUUUUACCCUCUGGUCCAAUUGUUGAAAACGUAUCAAUCUUUUUUGGGUCGCUGCAACAAUUCCUAAUGUACUAAAUCUUGAGUUAGAGCACCCUUAGGCCAAAAAAGUUCAUUAGAACACCUUCUUGAUUUAUUGCAAAGCAGGAAUUUGUCCCUAACCUCAGCCAAAAAAGUAACUUCAACGGAUGUUUACAAAAAAAAGGAGGGGAGGGGGAGGGGGAGGGGGGUGGGAGGUUACAUCGGUAAAUUUAUUGAUACUGCUAGAACCUAAAUAUUCAUUCGUGUUGGAAACUAAUUAAUAUUCAUUCAUGAGAAAAUGAAUUAUUGCAUAUCUUGUAUUUAUUAAAGGGAUAAUUUCAGAAACCUCCCUUGAGGUUUCUUACUAUUUCACUUAGUUCCAUUGAUGUUUUAAGAAUUACACUUACCUCCCUUGAUUUGACACUUUGGUAACCAAACUUUAAAAUAGAGUAAAAUGUUUAAUGAAUACCCUAAAAUGCCCUUAUCUUACAAAGUUCAAUUUGUUCUUCUAAACAAAAAGAGUAUCAAGUUUUCAUGCUAAUAUUUGUUAUUCAAUAAUCAACUAUAACAAUAAAUCUUUUGCUAUAAUAGGGUAUUUUUCGUAGUGUUUUACUGGGAAUAUAAAUUCUUUUUAAGAUAGAGAGUGGUAUUUUGUUUCUUUUAAAGUUUAUGGACUUCUUUUUAAAUGAAAAUUUAUGGAUUGGUUUAAUGGUGGAACUAUCAUAAUUUUGUAGUGAUUUUGGGCCAUUUGUUUUUAAUCAUUGUUGACUUACCCUUGAUUUUGAUACCAAAAAAAAGAGCUACCAAAAAAUUGGAGAAUAUUAAAAGUAAUCAAAAAAAUAUUAAUAGUUUAAUGUAAUUUGAAUAGAUAUUAGGGACAACAUUGAUACUUCUCCCAUACUUCUAAUAAAAUAUAAGAGAAAUGAAUAAGAAGGAAAAUGGUAAAAAAAUAUAAAAUCCUCAAUAUUAAGGUUAGUAUUGCAUAAACAUGGCAACAAGAAAGUUUUAUUAAAAAUAUUAAGGUUAGUAUUGUCAUUUUAAAUGGACAAGGGAGGUACGUGUAAUUUUUGAAACCUUUGGGGAGCCAAGUGAAAUUAUUAGAAACCUCAGGAGAGGUUUCUAAAAUUAUCCCUUAAUUAAAUACUAAUGCAUAUUUCAAGGUUUAUCAUCAUUGUAAAAAUGUAGUUAUUAUUUCAAUAGAAAAUCUAUUCAUGUUUUGGUAUUUGCUGCAGUGUUUUGACGAAUAUUCUUACAUUAUAGUAAAAGCAUGUGUAUUAGUUCUAAAUAAUUUGUAUGAUAGUUGAACACUUGGAAUAAAUUAAUUAUCUAAAAGUGAUAUUAAUGAAUACAUAAGAAUACUAUUAAUAUUUUUUUCUUAAAUUAUUCAUAGUUGCACAACUUCACUAUUAACCAAAAAAAAAUACCGUGCUAAGGCACAGGCUAAUAUACUAUUAAAUAUUGUGGUUUUCAUAAAACUUUAAAUUAAUCUUUUAUACAUUGUUAGUGUACAAAUUUUUUUACACUAACAUGUAUAGAUACAUGCCACAUGUUCAAAAAGUGAAUUUUAAAUUUGUGCAGAAAAAAUGUAAUAUAUAUUUAAAUCCACUAGCGUGAAUUCUUACUUUGACAACGUAUAAAAAAAAUAAUCCAAAAUCUUUGCCAUUUGGUGGAGUUGGAAAAGAAAACAUUUUGAUGACGUCUAAAAUUUGCCCCCAUUAGGUACUUGUGAUGAACUAAAGAAAGAACAAGGAGAGGGUCGUACUAUCGUUGAACUAAAGAAAGAACAACUAUUGAAGACAAAAAGUACAAUGUUCAAGUGCUCUGAGAUAAUUGAAAUUACCAACACCUUUCGGACAGUUAUUGGAAGGGGAGGUUCUGGAAUAGUUUAUCUUGGAUGCUUGGAAGAUGGCAGCAAUGUUGCUGUAAAAAUGCUGUCUUCUUCAUCAGCAACCCGUGGACAAAAGCAGUUUCAAUCAGAGGUAAUCAAGACAAUUUGGCACUAUCUACCCAUUUACCUAUAGGGAUAAUUUCAGGAGCCUCUCCCAGGUUUCAAACAAUUUCAUUGCUAUCCCUUAAGAUUUCAAAAAUAUCACCAACCUCGCUUGAAACCUAUAUCCUUGUAAAAAUUUACCGAAUUAAAAAAAAAAGAAACAAAAAAAAUGAUUUUAGGUGUGAGAAGAUCAUUUGAUUUCAAAGUGCUCCUCACCUAUAAUAAUAGUUAAUUUAAUUAUUCAAUCUAACUUAUUGUUUCAUUUAUAAGGCUGUUACACAUGAUUAACGAAAAAAUUUCAUCAUUUGCAACCAAAAGUAACAAAUUUUGUAUCAAAAUUUUUGACUUACCUUAAGAUUCUUGUUAUCAUCAUGGUAUUAAGAAGAGACAAUGGAAAACCAAAUUCUCCUCACAUCCAAUUUUUUAUGAUCUUUAAGAACAUAAAAAAAGCUAGUCUAGCAUUUGAUCCCUUUUCUAAUGCCAAAUUAAUUUUAAACGUAAUAAAAUUAUGGGUAAUUUUGUUUUUAAAUGGCUUAAUUAUUUUUAAUCAAAUUAUGGUUAAUAGUUUGUAAACAGCUUAAUUCUUUUUCAUGUUUGAAUCCUUUUAUUUAUUAUGCACAUUAAAUAUGAUUCAUUUUAUUUGUCAAGUACAUCAAUUGAAAAAAUGCCCCCCUAUAUUGGUUCUCUUUUUAUAUAGCAAAUUAGUUGUUUUUUUAAUUUCAAAUUAUGGUUAAUUUAAUUAGCAAAUCUUUUAAUUGUUUCUCUCCUCAAAUAUGUGUAAAACAUCUUAAAUUGUAAGGAUAGCAGAGUCAUUUCACUAUUAAUGAUAUAAGCAUUGGGUCCCAAAUUGCUGAUAUGAGAAGUAAGUGAUAUUUUUAAAACCUCAGGAGAGGGCAAUGAAAUUGUCAGAAUCCUCAGGGAAGGUUUUUCAAAUUAUCCCUUGCCUAUAUCGAAUGGUAAAUAAUCAUCGGUUGUGGAAUAGGUAUUCUAGAAGUUUUGCGAAAAUUUUUCUAAGAUUCCCAAAUGAAAUACAUGUUUUAAUUAUUUUUUUAUUUUACAUAUAUCACAUUUAAAAAGUAUUACGGAAAUGUAGUUUUCAAAAAAUACGUUUAGACAAAGUAAUCUAAAAGAUAUGUCCACAGUUAUACUGGUUUUGAAAACAUUUUCUAUGAGGCAAAAUUAUUAGUACAUAAUUGAAUUUUGGAUUUUUGGAAAUUUCUCGGGCUUGUGAUUUAUAUUCCUUAGGUUAGCCCGUUCAGAGGAAGACUGUACUAGAGGACAUAUCAAUCAAAGUCAGAAUUGCUACUACUCAUUUUUCUAACGGACUUUGUUAUAUUAUCGACGAAGGUGGAAAUCUUGAUCAAGAUUCAUCACACAAACUUGGUAUCUUUUGUCGGAUAUUGCGCUGAAGGAAGAACUAUGGCUCUAAUCUGUGAGUAUAUGGCGAACGGAAAUUUAAGACAACAUUUAUCAGGUAUUUUAGCCUCUAUGUUCAUGCUUCCUACUUUUUUUGUGAUAAAAUAUAACUUUUUAUUCCAUGAAAUCUAAACUAAUGCAAAAAAAUACAACGAACAUGUCACAAAUAUGGUUAAUCUAAAAAAUCAUUAAAUUUAAUAAAUUUUUAGAAAAUAACAAAGAUUACAUUGUGAAACUCCAACUGAUCAAAUAAAUCAGGAGCAGCCCAAUGAAGCUCUAUGCAAGUUAAGACCAUCAAAACUGCUGUUUAACUGGUUCAAAGUCAAAGUCGAUGUUGAGAUCAGAUGAAAUGAAAGGAAUCCCAUAUUUGAUAUAUAGAUGUGAAAAACCCUUAGAUCUAUUAAAGAAAUAACAAAAAACUAACAAAACUCCAUAAAAAGAAAAAAAAAACUCUCAUUAGGAAACCCUAUGAGUGAGCAAAACUCACAAUAGAAAACAUUAGGAGAAAGAAAACUCUUACUGAGAUACUUUAAGAGAGACUUUAUUGAAUAUAAAAAAAAAAAAAAGGUAAAGAGGGGCAGACCUUGGCUUGAAACCAAGAUCUCGCUCCAUGGAGGAAAAAACUAUUUGAAGUCUUUGGAAAGAUAAGGUAGAGAAAUUUUGGUUAUGUUCAUGCUUAUUUCAAAACCAAUGGACCUUUCAGAAAUUAGAAAAAAUUUAUGAGAGCGUUUAUAGUUGUCCAAAUCAUCUAAAAGAUAAAAACAAAUACUAUAAAAGUUUUGAAUAUGAAAUUCGAGUGAGGAGAAAUAAGAAAAACUUAAAGUGGUAAAAAAAAUAAAGAAAAUGUACUGGAAAACAAAAAAAAAAAAACUAAUAAAAACUGAUUAGUUUGACUUUUGUUCGAUUUUCCCUGGUCAAACCCAGUGAAAUGCUAUCUUUUUUUUUAAAGAAAGUUUGGAUCAAACAACUCACUAGUCCCCCAUUCAACCAAUUGAAUUGGGUGGUGCAAUUUAAAUUUUAAUUCACUGCUUUUACCAAUGGGAAAGACUACUUGGGGUCAAAAUUACUAGAAUAUUUCUCAGAAAAAAAUACAUAAAAUAUUUUGGAAAAAUUGCUGCAUCUAAUGUUUGAAAACCUAACCGAACCGUUUGGUUUGACCAAUCAAAUUGUGAACCGGCCAUGUUUUCGAUCUGGUUCAAUGAUUAAAUCAAAGACUUCAAUUGAACUGGUCAAACUCGGUCGGCUCAACCAGAUUGCACUAAAUUUUUUUAUUUUUAAAAUAAAUAUUUCGGCUUAAUUCAAAAGUUUUAAUACUAAAAUAAAUAAAAAAAUUACUAAACCUUUGAACUAGGAUUGAAUCGGUCAUAUCGAUUGAACUACAAACUAGAAGUUCUUUCGCUUCACUUCCAAGUCCAAAUUUAAAAGCAUUGGCUACACCAUGGACUAUAAGUUGUACUAAGCAACAAUACGACGUAAGCAACAAUCAUAAAUUAAAAGAUAACUGGCCUUAAUUUUAGGGGUUCUAUAUUUGUGUCUAUCAUUUGGAAAUAUUGUGAUUUUAAGUUACUUUUUAUAGGUAAACUCUUCUUUCACAUUCUUUUUGAUAAGGACUAAUUCCAUUUGUAUGCUUGAAUUUAUUGAUGUAUUAACAAUUGUGUGAUGUCCAUCCACAAAAUGAGGCAUGUGCUAGUUGAUACUUAAAGAUUUUUUGGAUUACGGUAUUGAUCAAGUACUCAAUUUCAAUCCAAAGUAUAUCAUUCAAGUGUACGUGUGAAGAAAAGAUGUUUAGGUACUAAAGUAUGAUCACAAGCAAUAAUUUAGGGUGCCAACUGUCAAUCCUUAUAAUUUAAGAGCACAAUUUGGUUUAAACUCUUUACUAUUCCCUAUUUUUUAUCUUGUGUGUGAAGAUUAUACAUAGAGGAAUGUGGCUGGUAAGUUUCUUUACUUAUUGAUUCUUAUUUGAAUGACUUUCUUUGAGCACAGGGAAAAAUCUUAACCCUUUAAGCUGGAAAGAGAGAGUUCACAUUGCAUUAGAUGCUGCACAAGGUGGUUUUCAACUCAGUCCAUUCUUUUCUCUUUUGGGGUUUCGGGGAAUUAUCAAGUGGUAAUGAAGUCAAUACAUGGUAAUGACCACAAAGUUUCAUCUCAGGUUUGGAGUAUUUACACGAUGGAUGCAAUCCUCCAAUUAUCCAUAGAGACUUGAAAAGUGCCAAUAUACUAUUGAACCAAAAAUUGCAGGCUAAGCUUGCUGAUUUUGGGUUGUCUCGAAUUUUUGCAAGUGAAAGUGAUACUCAUGUAACAACAGCAGUGGCUGGAACAGCAGGUUACCUAGAUCCAGAGUAUGUAUUCAAUAUGAAGUUAAAUUUUUCUAUUUUCCUAAGCUGCCAUUCUAAAACGGUUUUUCAAAUCAUUGCAAUCCUUUUCCUAAUUGAUAUAUACAGCUUUGAGUAUACAACUGGAAUAGUUAUUUACAACUUAGGAUGAAAAUAUUGUGAGAAUAUGGACACAAUAUACGAGUCUUCUAUAAAUUAUGUUUGGUGAACUUUGCUAGAAACUAAAUAUUCAUUUACACGAAAAAGUUCUAUUUCUACUUCUUUUGUAUUUAAUUAAAAACAAAGAUGCAGUUGUUGAUUUCAAUGCCAAAGAAUACUUGUUGCCCAUUUAUUGCAGCAUUUGAUGAGCUUUACCACAUUAUAAUAUAUCUAUGCAUAAAAGUUUCAAAAAAAAAAGUAUGAUAGUUGAACAUUUAGAAUUUAAGAAAUUUUUUAAACAAUAUGAAAAAAGAUGUAAGCAUAUUAUAAUAUUUUUUAGAGGCUCAUAAAUUGUGUUUUCCAUUCUCAAAAUAUUUUCGUCCUAAGUUGUAAAAAAUAUUCAGUAAAACUAUAUAUUCUUAUUCAAGUUUAUAAUCUAGAUUUUAUGAUGAAUAUUAGUUUGUGUUUGACUGUUCGCCCCUUCUCUAAACCAAAAUCCGGGUUCCAUCCCUACCAAACUAUCUAAGAAUUUUUUUUUUUCAAGAUUUUGUAUCCUUCAAAGUAAAACUAUAUAUUAUGUGCAUUGGUGUCCUUUAAUGACAUCUAAAUUGGCUUUCAGAUAUAACUACACCUUCAAGUUCAAUGAGAAAAGUGAUGUUUACAGCCUCGGCAUCGUUUUAUUGGAACUGAUCACUGGAAAACCAGCCAUCAUAAAGGGCACCGAUGAUGUCAAUAUUCACAUUGUUGAAUGGGUGAACAAAAGGGUAGAAAGGGGAGACAUUCAUGAAAUUAUGGAUCCAAAACUGAAAGGAAAGUUCAACAUAAACUCUGCCUGGAAGUUUUUGGAGGCCGCCAUGACGUGUACAAUGGCAAUGGCUAGUCAGAGGAUGAGUGCAAUGGAGUUACUUGUUGAACUAAAGCAGUGUUUGGCAAUAGAGCUAUCUGAAGAGAUAGCAUCAAGGGCUGCAGAUUUUCCGCAGGAUGGUGGCCUUGAGAUAGACACCGCUCCAAGUCCAAGAUAGGUCAUUCAUGAUCAUUGCUUCUCUACCUCUUUCUGCUAUGAGAUUGGUGGUGCAGCCCAGCUGCCAUGUACGUCUGAGAGAAGAAAUUGCAUUUGCAAACAUUUCAUUUGUGUUAAAUUUAUUAUAUUCUCUACCUCUUUCUGUUUUGUAUUUUAUAUUUGAUAAAUUUCAUGCCAUUAGAAGAAUAUGUUAACAUUAUAAUCUAAAUAAUUUUGAUAGUCCCUGAUAGGGUAAAAGACAAUUCCCUAAUUAAUUCACUCGAUUAUGCAUCAAGUGAAUGUAAAAGUCACUCACCCUCCUUACAUAGUAGUCCUUUGAUCAGCUUCAUUGAUUGGGAAAAACUGGAAUUUUGUAACCCACUCACAAUAUCUUCCAAGGCUUUAGUUGCUAUCAAUCUCAAAAGAGAGUUUAAACACCCUGCAAAUUCUUAAUGUUUUCUUUCGACUGCUUAUAAGUUUUAGGAAUUAAUUGAAUCUAAUUAGUUUGAGUUAUUUCUUCCUAAACUUUUUUUGUUGUCUACAUUCAUAUCAUCACUUAAUUUCUCGUCCUUUUUUAAUGCCUAUGCAUAAUGAUUAGAUAAUCAAUUGUUAAAUUACUUUUGUUACCAGUUUUCGAUAAGAUUAUUGUUUAACUGUUUAAAUGAAAAUUAGCCACUUCUUUAGUCAUGCAUACUAAUGCAGUUUUACUUGCUAAAAUGUGCAUCUAAGAGGAAUUAACACUAGACGUUCCUUUUUUCCCCUCAAACAUGAAGCUUGGCCUAAAGCUUACUAGAUCUAAAACCUAUGAACUGAAUAUAUUGAAGCAGAAAAAUAUUGGAUGUCACACUUGAUAAACAUUUUUCAGACAUCAAACAAGAGCACAAAAAUUCACCAAUCUAGGAAACCUAGGCUCUAUGUUUGGGCAUACUUCUUUGUGGUAGAAACUCUACUACUCAUUGAGGACUCUACUUUAAGAGAAAAAAAAAAGGACAAAAAUAUCAGCAGCCGCUAAACUAUUCGUCAGAUCAUGUUUUGGCUAUCAAAUUAUUUUUCGUUAGUAAUUGGCCACUAAAUAAUUUAAUCAAUAAACCCAUGUCCAUUUGAUCUAUAAUUGCUUUUAAUUUAUAAAAUUAGCAGUACAUGUGGCAAAAUGCGAGGGCAAUUUUAUCUAACAACUAUGUGACCCUGUUCUCCCCUUAAUUUACUCAAUUGGGAGCCCCAAAUCUUCAAUCACAAAUCGAAGAAGCCGAAAAAGAAGACGAAGAAGCUAGGCACUCUCCUAAACCCAUAACAAGAGGAGAUGUUAUAACAAGAGGAUUUAGUCUUGGAAUGUAAAUUGCAGGGUGAGGGAUGUUGCUUUUGGGAAUGGUAUAAUCCAACAGUGUAGGAAAGAUCAACUCAAUGAUCGUGGGAACCAUUGGAAAGACAACCAAAAUUUAGAAGCCAGGAAUCAAGCUCCGGACUUCAUACAUGAAAUUGGUUGGCUCCUCCGUAGAAAUAAGUUGAAGUUUAGAUUGAGUCUACAAGAUUCCAACUUGGAUACAUUUCCUUUCCAGCGAUUCAGAUGGCCUAUAGAGUUCUCAGUCGAACAUGACUGGUGUACAGUGGUCAAGAUGCUUUUGAAUGUUCUGGUCAACAAACUCAUGGGUGAAGAAAAACGCUCUUCAAUUGAAAAUGCAUUGCUGGAAAAUGGGUUGCUCCAUAGAGCUGUUUGGCAAAAUUGUAGGUCCAUGGUUAAGUCCUCCUAAGAUACCCUCCAGAUGCAGAACUGAAAAAAUUAAGUCCAAUCUGCUAUUUAUUUAGACCGAUGUUAGGGCUUGACUCCUCUGCACAUAGCAGCCGGAUGCGAUGGAGUUGAGCAAGUGUUGGAUACAUUAACUGAUGAUCUUGGACUGGUACGGCCCUUCUUAAUAUGUAUAUUGUUAUUAGUGGAACAUUACUUUUGGAAAUGGAAAAAUACUACUCAGAUCCCCCAGUGGAAAAAUACGACCCAUGCUAAUAUCUUUGAUUUGUGUUUGAAGAUUUGAGGCUCCUAAUUGAGUCCCUAUUUUUCUUCCACAUAAUGUUCCAUUCGGUGAUUGUUUGAGGAAAGAAAUUUAGGGGAGAAUAGGAUCGCGCAGUUGCUAGGCAAAAUUGCCCCUGCAUUUGGUCACAUGUACUGCUAAUUUCACAGAUUAAAAAUAAUUAUCGAUCAAAUGGUCACGGGCUUACUGAUUAAGUUGUUUAGUGGUCAAUUAUUGACGAAAAAUAGUUUGAUAGCCAAAACAUGAUCUAACGAAUAGUUUAGUGCCCGCUGAAGUUUUUUGCCAAAAAAAAAAGGUUAAAUGUUACCCAAGUUGUAGAAAUGUUUAGUAAAUGCCUUUUUUCUUUCGAAGAAAAGUCUAAUGCAUUCUCAGAAGAAAAAACUAAUGAUAUUUUACUUAAGUCCAAUGUCCCUUGAGUGUUAUAUUGUUGUUGGAUAGGUUUUUAUUUGUAAUUUUUUUUAUUGCAUCACAAAUAGUUUUUCAAUCACAUUUUUAUCUUACUAAUCACAUUUAUAUUUCACAUAUAUCACAUUGAUAGUGAGACAAUUAUGUAUGUUAUUUGAUGGUAUUUGGUCUCAAUUUUGGCCACUUAUUAUGCAAAGUAAUGGGUUUCUGUUCCUAAUUGGUAUUUGUGUCAGUUGCAGGCAAUUGGUGUCAAAAGUGGUGAAAAGAUGCCAAAUUCCAGAAGACUAUUCAUUCUUGAGCGUGCCCACGCCAGAGACCGCAGAAUUAUGUCCAAAAGACGGACCGAGAGAAUCAUCCCGGGAAGCUGAGCUAUUCUUGGCAGACGUGUUUUGAAGCUGCGUGGGAUUAGGAAACAUCUUUAGAGAAUACCUUUGGCAACAACUCAAUGAAAAAAAUAAGGAAGCUAUCAUUUAUAGAAACAAACUCUCGAAGCUAUCCUUUAUAGAAACAAACUCUCAAUUGGUAAAGGGUGGCGGGGAGAUUUUAAAUAGGACAUCAAUAGACUAGAAGUUUUUAUCUUUGAUCUUGGAUCUUUUUCCUUUUUUCCCUCUAAACGGGAGUUAGAGACUCUUUAGCCGCUGUAUUCUUUUUCAUCAACAAAAGUACAUUAAAGCCUGGGAUUGCAUCAUCCUUAUGAGACAAGGCUAGGUUCCUUUACUUAGUUGAGAAAUAAUCAAGGUCCGGUGCACGGACAAUUGUGAGAUCUUUUUAAUUGUUCUGCGUGAUUUUAAAUUUUGCAUUCGUGAGUAUUUAAUUAUUCCUUGUUUUAAUAGCCUAUUGUUGUUUGGAUCUAUUGGAUUAAUGUAAUCAAUUAUUCAAUUGUCUGAAUAGUAUACUGUCAAUUAGGACAAGGGUGCAUAUCACUUGAUUUGUGGGGUAUAUGUCGUACCCACUUUUGGUAUGACCCAUAUUCAAAUGUGGUAAGACCCUUAUUCAAAUGGGUACGAUCACGGAUGGUGGAACAACUCUAACUUUAAUUAUACGUCAGAGCCAAUCAAUUUUCAACAUCAAUAUCAACAGCAACAGCCAUCAUCCAUGCCAGGUAUGUCUCUUGAAAAAAUAGUUGAAUUAAUAGCUACUAACAAAUAUCAAUUUCAACAGGAGACACAAAGGAUGAUUAAAAAAGAUGGAAUAUGAAAGGCGUUUGACGGGUAUUUUACAUACGUACAAGUUAAAAAAUCGAAUUACACCCGUUCACUGCAAGUAUACAGGUCAACUAGUAGUUUAGGGUAUAUAUCGGGUCGAUCCCACAGGGAAGAGUGAACAAUUACCGGUAUUACUAAAGUUUCUUUAUUAUUUAGACUAUCAAUGAAUUAUAAGAAAUUUAACCUACUGAAAUUAUACAAAAUAACAAAUAAAAGCUCCUUAGGUUGUGGUAUCCCUAACUACUCAUGCAAGUGCUACAUUUGGAUCAUUGAAUACUACAUUUAGGCUAGUUAUGGUGUAAUUUCCUUAAACAUGUGAAACCUACUUUCGUAGUGAAUCAACUAUACUCAUAACUAAUCCAUACCUAUUUUCAUGGUUAUGAAAUUAGCUACAAGUUCAUUUCUUCAAUGAAAUUACAUGAAAUGAAUCACUAAAAACCACAUAAGUGCACCUCUACUUUCGUGAGUGUACUCCCUAUGUUUAGCACUUCUUGAACUAGUGUUAAAUCUCAAUUUUCAUUGCAGAAACAACACCUUAGAUAAUCACAAUCAAUGGUACCAGAUUAAUCAUGAUUUAAAGAGCUAAAGUGCUAAAUAACUUGCUCAAAUCUUAGCAAACAAAUAACCAAAUAAUAAACACUAACAAUCAUAGAAAGUUCAACCAAACCCAAGGUAUAAACUUUAAAACACAUAAUGAACACAAAAUCCAGAACUUGUAUAUUAACUAAACUUGGAAUCAAAUACAAAAGAUAAAGAGUUUGGAAGGAAUACAACCCUUGUCACAUGAGCUUUCUUCCUUGCCUUCUUCAUCCUCCAUCUUCAUCCUAAUCUAGAUAAUAAACAAGAAUGGAUGAACUAUACUACUCUAUACUAAGCUAAACUAAUACUAGGAAGAUGAAAGAGCUACAUUUCUGCAGACUCCAAGCUUCUCCCGUAUGUCUCUCUAUCUCUUACUCUAUCAUCCCCUUUUCUCCAUUUUGCAAUGAAUUUGGCUAUUUAAUGAUGAAAGGUGGUCAAGAAAUGAAGCUUUACACUUUCUCCUUACAGCUGGUAAUGUCUCUCACAUGUCUAGCAUCACAUGUGAGUUGGUGGAGGUGAAAUUGAGUUUUACGCGUAUAAAGCAGCCUUUUCUGACCAGUGAUCCGAGCUGCUACAGUGCCUCGGAUCCGUAUGGAUCCGAGCUCGGAUCCACUAACCCAGAAACAGCCGAGGGUUCGGAUGAAUAGUGGAUCCGAGUGUGGAUCACUUGCUCUGUUUUUGGCCCAACUUCAACCGAUCUUUUCUUGAUGUUAGAGGCUGAACCAGCUCAUGUGUAAAACACGAAAGUUGUAGCCUUUUGAGUUAUCUUUCCAAUGCAUCAAGAAUCACCUCAUUUGGAUCUGUGUAGGCUGAGAUAUGACUGAAAUACCCUUGUCUGCUCAUUGCCCUGUUUCAGCUUCGACCAACAGAAAUUAGCUAAUGUAAUUCGGCUUUUUGAUUUUGAAAACCUUCAAACUGGAUUCGGAUGUCUUCACCAAAGUUGUAGAUCUAUCUCUUAUCUUCAAAUGGGUUCAAGAAUCAUCCCAAUCCGAUCAUUGUAACUCAAGUUAUAGCCGAAAUACGAAAAUGUGUCAAAACUGUCAAAAUACACAAAAUCCAAGUAAAAAGUGAUAAAAACCUCAUUUAAUUACUUAAAAGCAUUUUUCACCAAUUAUAGCCAAAAUGAUUCAUAUUCUUCCAAUAAUAUAACCAAAGUGACUAAAAAUAAUAUAAAAUGUCAUACAAUUAUUACGUAAAUUAGUCACUUAUCAAAUUCCCCCACACUUAAAUCAUUGCUUGUCCUCAAGCAAUUCACACAUAAUCAAAUGCAAUGAUUCAAGAGGUGAAACAAUAUAUGCACUUUGUCCAAUUUAAUUCCUCAAGACUUGGAAAAUAAUCAUUAUACAAUUAUUCAAUUUACACUAAAUACUUAUAAUAUCAAGUAAAGGAAAGAUAAUUAUACCCUAAAUUCAACAAGUUAAACUUAAUCUCUUACCCUAACUUAAUUUUACAAAUAAGCAAAUCACAUAGUCAAUUUAUAGCUUUCCUCCUCCUAUAAUCAUCUUUUUCUCAAAAUUCUAUAACUAAGAGGGAUUUAUUCACACAAAUUUUACUUAAAUAGUGAGAAUGCCUUUUUACGCGAAAAUCGACACUUUUAGGUGAAGAUCCCGGUUACUCAACAUUUCACUUAUUCAAGUUGCUAUGCAUACUCUUAAUUCAAGUACCUUUUUACGCGAAUGUCAACAUUUGUUGAUGCCAACUCCCGGUUACUCGGUACAUGAAUCAUUGGAGUAGAACAAUUUUUAUUUAUUUUCUUUUUUUUUCUACUUUUUUUUCUUUUUCAGAAAUAAAGGACAAUAAAUAGAUAUUCCCUCUUAGAAAAUAUAUAAGAAUAAUCAAAGGAGGAGUAUAACCUUUAUCGACUAUAUCAAUCACUUACUUGCAAAAUUAAGUAAAGAGAAGAAAUCUCAUUAAACAUGUAAAAUUAUAGGCAUAAUUUUCCUCACUUUACCAAAUAUACUUUCUAAAAUGUAAAAAUUCUAAUUGCAUAAUACUAUUUCCAAGUUAAAUGAGGACUAAACCUUCCAACAUACAUAUAAAGUUUCAACAAUUGGAAGAAUAAGGUUGGAACAAUUAGCCCUUUUUGAAUGAAAAUGCAACAUUUGAAGAACUUUUGGGCCAUAGUGAAAUAUUGGAAAAGAUUUUAGAAAAAUUUUGAUAGAGUUUCUCCUUAUAAAUGGAUCCAAACUCCCUGCCAACAAACCCAAUUUCAAGCAAUUAUCCACAUGGCAAAUAAUUCAAACAUAAUUCCAACAUUUCUAAGCAUUUAAAUCCACAAAAUACCAUCACAUGGCAAGUAAAUGCAAGUUCAAUACUUUCCUCCCCCACACUUAAACUUCACAUUGUCCUCAAUGUGAGAAAGGAAAAAUAACGAAAAUAAGAGAAAGUAAUACUUCCCUAAUGAACUUGCGCGAUCCGAAUCCAUGGUAAUGUGAUGAAUUUCCAACUUUACUUGAAAGAAUGGAGAUUUCAAUUAAUGCACCUUGAAAAAAAAACAAAAAUACAAUUCUUAAGAAUAAAAGCUUGCAACCAACAAGAAGAAAAGUGGAGUUGAAGGAGGAAAAAGAGGGAAGAAUGAGGAAAAGUGGUCCGAGGCUUCGUUUUGGAAAGGAUCCGAGGUCGGAUCAUGAUAAGUGAGCUCAGAUCAAGAAGUUCGAAUUUUUUUCUGAUUGCAGAAGUGGAUCCGAGGCCUUGGAUCCAUAUGGAUCCGAGCUUGGAUCCAGAAGCUCGAAGUUUUCUCUGAUUGCAGAAGUGGAUCCGAGGCCUUGGAUCCAUUGAAUCUGUACUUAUUGCAGAAUUUUUGCAAUUUUCAGUUUGACCUCAAUUCUUCAAAAUACACCCUAGAUCAUUUCUAUGUCAAAAUAAACCAUUCACGCACAUAUAAAAUGAUCUAAACAUGCAUUCUAAACCUCUUUAAUGCAUCAAAAAUCAUAAUUACUGAAUUUGAGGUAUUGAGAUCUUUGAUCAAACUUCGCCUUUUUCACCUCAUUUGGUCACUUUUCCAAAACCUACAAAUGAAAAACAACAAAAUUACUCAAACUUAUACUUUAAACAUAAAAUCACUCCAAAGUAAAAUGAACUUAAACAAACAUUGGGUUGCCUCCCAAUAUGCGCUUCUUUAAAGUCAAUAGCUUGACUAUUUCUCCUCAUUUUUUCAAGGAGGCUUAGUUAACGAAUAAUCCACCAUUUUAAGCCUUGGUGGAUCAUUGUAAGGUGACUUAAUAGAAAAAGCCACAUGAUCUAAUGAUCUGAGAGAUGGAAGUGACUUACAUAUUCCAAGUGUUUCAUAGAUAUUACCUUGAAUAUGCACCACUUGAGAACUUACCAAAGGAAAUGUCAUGAGAGUAUCUUGGGCAGGAAUACCUUUAAAACCUAUACUUUCAAUGCACUCCUCAAGAGGGGUGAAAAAUGAGUCAUUAAAACUCACCUCUUGAGACUCAAAGUUAGUUCCAAAGAUAUUAUCAUGUGAAAUGGAUAUUUGCUCAUUAAAACACACUUGAGAUUCAUCAUUUUCAUCAAGAUGCGACCCAUUUUCACAUACAACAUUCCCACCAUUCAUGCUAGGAUCAUUUUACAAAUUAUUAGAGGAAAUAACUUCACACAAUGCACUCAAUUGCUCAUGUAUUCGACCAAAGUGAGAAGCUAAUUCAUCUAUUCUUUCCUCAAUCCUAUCAAAACGAUCGGAAGUUGCAUUUGCUAGCUUUUCUAAUGCUAAAUCAAAUUGAUUAGAAAAAUUUUCUACAGCUAGCUCCCAAGAUACAUUAGAAUCAUUAGCUAAUGGUUCACUUUCUAACUCCCAAGGCAGAGGUGCAUUAGCUAACUUCUCUAUUGCCAACUCCCAAGAUGGUUUUGAUUCAUAUUGGACACUUUCAGGUUGGUAAUUAUAAAAACAUGAAUAAUCACUAUAAGUACAUUGAUCAUCCCAACCAUAAGCAGGAGAAUUGCUCCAAUUAGCACUAUAUUGAUCAAAACAAGGAUUGUAAUGCUCUAAUUCAUCAUAAUAAUCCACAUUUUGUGCUUGCAUACAUGUAUUAGUAGCAUGAUAACCUCCACACAAGUCACAAAUCACAUGAUAAGAAUUAAAAGCAUUAACAUUCCUCCUUUGCUCAAUUUCAUGCAUCAUGGUGUCCAUUUGAACUUGUAACUUAAUUACAUCAAAUUUUGCCUUUAAGCACCUUAAACCAUCUUCAAAAGACAUACAUUCAGUAAAUUCUUGGUUACCUCUGUUGAAGGAGCUUUGCACUUGAUAACCAUCCAUUGCCAAUCUUCCACUUCUCAAGCAUUGUCCUCCAAAUUGACCUACCCUUCUCAUUACCUAAAAUUGCUUUUAAACAACUCAAAAGCAAAAUUAGUAAGAAAAAUAGGUAAUGAAACACAUACACAUAAAAUACAAAAAUAACAGAAAAUAACAUUCACAGUAUAACUAAUAAUUAUGUCUAAACUAAUAAAGUUACUCUUCACACCGAUAUUGCCAAAUCUUCCCCGGCAACGGCGCCAAAAACUUGACGGGUAUUUUACAUACGUACAAGUUAAAAAACCGAAUUACACCCGUUCACUGCAAGUAUACAGGUCAACUAGUAGUUUAGGGUAUAUAUCGGGUCGAUCCCACAGGGAAGAGUGAACAAUUACCGGUAUUACUAAAGCUUCUCUAUUAUUUAGACUAUCAAUGAAUUAUAAGAAAUUUAACCUACUGAAAUUAUACAAAAUAACAAAUAAAAGCUCCUUAGGUUGUGGUAUCCCUAACUACUCAUGCAAGUGCUACAUUUGGAUCAUUGAAUACUACAUUUAGGCUAGUUAUGGUGUAAUUUCCUUAAACAUGUGAAACCUACUUUCGUAGUGAAUCAACUAUACUCAUAACUAAUUCAUACCUAUUUUCAUGGUUAUGAAAUUAGCUACAAGUUCAUUUCUUCAAUGAAAUUACAUGAAAUGAAUCACUAAAAACCACAUAAGUGCACCUCUACUUUCGUGAGUGUACUCCCUAUGUUUAGCACUUCUUGAACUAGUGUUAAAUCUCAAUUUUCAUUGCAGAAACAACACCUUAGAUAAUCACAAUUAAUGGUACCAGAUUAAUCAUGAUUUAAAGAGCCAAAGUGCUAAAUAACUUGCUCAAAUCAUAGCAAUCAAAUAACCAAAUAAUAAACACUAACAAUUAUAGAAAGUUCAACCAAACCCAAGGUAUAAACUUUAAAAACACAUAUUACACACAAAAUCCAGAACUUGUAUAUUAACUAAACUUGGAAUCAAAUACAAAAGAUAAAGAGUUUGGAAGGAAUACAACCCUUGUCACAUGAGCUUUCUUCCUUGCCUUCUUCAUCCUCCAUCUUCAUCCUAAUCUAGAUAAUAAACAAGAAUGGAUGAACUAUACUACUCUAUACUAAGCUAAACUAAUACUAGGAAGAUGAAAGAGCUACAUUUCUGCAGACUCCAAGCUUCUCCCGUAUGUCUCUCUAUCUCUUACUCUAUCAUCCCCUCUCCUUCCUUUUGCAAUGAAUUUGGCUAUUUAAUGAUGAAAGGUGGUCAAGAAAUGAAGCUUUACACUUUCUCCUUACAGCUGGUAAUGUCUCUCACAUGUCUAGCAUCACAUGUGAGUUGGUGGAGGUGAAAUUGAGUUUUACGCGUAUAAAGCAGCCUUUUCUGACCAGUGAUCCGAGCUGCUACAGUGCCUCGGAUCCGUAUGGAUCCGAGCUCGGAUCCACUAACCCAGAAACAGCCGAGGGUUCGGAUGAAUAGUGGAUCCGAGUGUGGAUCACUUGCUCUGUUUUUGGCCCAACUUCAACCGAUCUUUUCUUGAUAUUAGAGGCUGAACCAGCUCAUGUGUAAAACACGAAAGUUGUAGCCUUUUGAGUUAUCUUUCCAAUGCAUCAAGAAUCACCUCAUUUGGAUCUGUGUAGGCUGAGAUAUGACUGAAAUACCCUUGUCUGCUCAUUGCCCUGUUUCAGCUUCGACCAACAGAAAUUAGCUAAUGUAAUUCGGCUUUUUGAUUUUGAAAACCUUCAAACUGGAUUCGGAUGUCUUCACCAAAGUUGUAGAUCUAUCUCUUAUCUUCAAAUGGGUUUAAGAAUCAUCCCAAUCCGAUCAUUGUAACUCAAGUUAUAGCCGAAAUACGAAAAUGUGUCAAAACUGUCAAAAUACACAAAAUCCAAGUAAAAAGUGAUAAAAACCUCAUUUAAUCACUUAAAAGCAUUUUUCACCAAUUAUAGCCAAAAUGAUUCAUAUUCUUCCAAUAAUAUAACCAAAGUGACUAAAAAUAAUAUAAAAUGUCAUACAAUUAUUACGUAAAUUAGUCACUUAUCAGCGUUACUUGGCAUCUACAAUGAGUAAAUUGAUUUUUCCAAUUUAUAAAGAAUUGCCCUCAUAGACCAUCAACGACCUUAAAGAAUAUAAGAGUACAAUUAUCCUGACAAAUAACAUGGAAUUGCAUGAAUGUCAAGAAAAAGAAUCUAAAGAUGCAGUUGAAAAGGGAAUUGAAGUACAAGAAAUGAAACCACAAUAUCAAAUUGUUCAAGUGAACAAAUCCAGUGAACAAUCUCCAAAUGCGGUGACAUCUCCCCCAUUCAUUAAACAAUAUUCUCCUGACUCUUAUUCUUUAAUUCCUAUUAGUGAGAUUGACUUUAUUAUAGUAGAAGAUUUUGAAUUUCAUGACAGGAAUAACUUAAGAGUCACGAUGACAAAAUAUCUCGAACCAAUAAGUGCUCGUGAUGGAGGAGUGAGUGAAGAAUUAAAGUCAUCACUUGUUUGUUUGGCACCAUUUACAAAUUCAUGGAAGACCGUACCUUGUGUACUUAAUGAUUACUCUAUUUCCGAGAGUCAUCAGGACUAUACAGAGGAUGAAGUAUUGAAAUGAGCCACAAGAUUUUAUCCGUCGUGAAUAAACCGGGCAAUGUCUAGCCAAAAACGUUAAAGAUAGACACUGCUUGAGAGAUAAUCCAAGAACUAAACUCUUUGUUAUUGUUAUCUCUCAUCAUCAUCAUCAUCAUCAUUAUUAUUAUUAUUAUUAUUAUUAUUAUUAUUAUUAUUAUUAUUAUUAUUAUUAUUACUACUACUAUUAUUAUUAUUAUUACUACUAUUAUUAUUACUACUAUUAUUAUUAUUAUUACUACUAUUAUUAUUAUUAUUACUACUAUUAUUAUUAUUAUUAUUAUUAUUAUUACUACUACUAUUAUUAUUACUACUAUUAUUAUUAUGUCUUAUUCCCAGUGCUUUAUUGGUGUUAGACAGAAGACUGUGGCUUCCUAGGCGUGCCCACGCUUUGCAGGGUUGCUCCAGAAAGCUGUCGACAAACUGGUGAAUAGAAGACUUUAGCUUUCAAGGCGUGCUCAUGCUUCAUAGAAAAUUUCAUGGGUACUGUUACAAAGAAUGGGCAGCCGACUUACGCUUCUUAAGUGUGGUAAUGCUUCUCAACCAAGUACCGCCGCCCAGGCCGCCACUUGAUAGGUCAUAAUUUGUUGCUAAAUUAAUAAUUAUUUUUUCUUUGAUUUUAGCCAAAUAUUAUUUUAAUUGAUAGAUUCUAUUUAUAUUUGGUUAAUGGUGCCAAUUGUAGGAAAAUGAGCAAAACGUGAUUAAAAGUGAUAAUUUUUCAAUUAAUUUGAUGGUGGUACAUUUAGGACCUACAUUCAAGGCGGGAAGGUCGGGAUUGAUAUUGGACAGUCUCCCAAUCCGAGUCAACUUUCUAAUUUGUUAGCUGCCAGGACUUUUCUUAUUUCGGGGGAUCAUUCUCAAGGAAAUGGAAAGGUGGAGGAAAUUGAUUUGUAAUAGGAAUCUUUUUAAGAGUUGGAUAGGUAUUAGGAAACCAAUCAAUUAGGUAAUUGGGAGGAGGCAAAUUCGGCGGCAAUCAAUUGAGCAUCUAGGUGGCUAGAGACGAAAAAGGAAUCAGCAAUUUCUUGUCUUUUGAUUUCCUUUGCACGGAUUUGAGGGAGAAAAAGCCGAAUCCCGUAUAAUCAGGAGUUUAGUUUUCCUUAGGAAGCUACAAAAGAGGGAUUGAGAGGGACGGCUAGAGAGUUUUUUUUCUUUGUCUUCUUUCGUUAGCCUUUGGGGGAGAAGGAACCAAUGGUUAGCAAGGGACUCCUACAGAUUUCCCUUGAGGAUGUAUAGCUAAAUUUCUAUUUUCUAGUCAAGAGUACAACUGACGAUUUGGUUCGGCAAUUACUGUGAGAUCUAAGCCGUUUUUAAUUGUUUCUUUCAUUUAUUGGUAUUUAUAUGUUUCCUACUUUUAAUUGUUAUAACUCUUGUGUAUGAUUGAUUAGUGCACAAUAAUUAAUUAUUCAUAUAGGCUAUUUUGCUAAUUAGAGGUAAUUGAAUCCGUAAUUGUUCGAUUAUCUCCAUCUUAAUAGCAACUGGCGUAAUUGGAUUUAUAUUAGGGAAAUAUACAAUCUAAUUUAAACAAACCCUCGUAGCGUGUUUGUUAGUUAGGAUUGGGCCUUUCUAAAUCUUAAUGCAAACUAAAAAUUAAAUCUUACGGUCGUACCUAAGGUUGUUUCUGGGUUAGAAAAAUAGUUAAUGGUCGCACCUUAACUAUCGAGAAAUUAAGGAAAGGUUGGUUGUUUAUCGCGUGCAUGACAACUAUAACUAAUCUAUUAAUAAAUAUUGGAAUUAUAUAUGAGUUGAUGAUCAGUGCAUGAAUCAUUUCUGAAGUGUACCCUUGGCUAGAGUUCUCCCAAUUAUUUCUUUUAAUUAGUUAUUUUUCUGCAUUUCAUUUACUUAGUUAGCAUUUAAUCCCAAAACCCCCCGUUUAUCUUAACUCGAAAAGAAACAAAUUUCUCUCCAGUCCCUGAGGAGACGACCCUACUUGCCACUGUCUACUAGUUAGUGAAAUCAGUUAAAUAAUUAAUUCUGGUAUAUCGGAUUAAAUACACUCUUGGGGAACAUGAUAAAUCAAGUAACCCAUUGCACACCUAGGGUCCCUACUCUAGUACUAAAAUUGAUUAUUGAUUGUUUCAGGUGGUAGUUAGGUUUUAUUUAUUAUUAUUGCACAGGUUCGACACCUGUUACCGCUGCUCGCCAUUGCUGUCUCACACUCUCUCGACGUCCAUCCCCCCUGCAUCCUGUGUACUUGGAGAUUUUUAGUUCUGCGCCUUGGCGGAUGUCCUUUGCAGGUUGGAUGAAUAAGUUGAUUAUUUGGAUGACCAUCUCACAGCCUUGCAACUUCAUUCUUCUAUUCAAACACAAAAUCUGGCAGCCUUCUUUGCCCAUGUUGAAUUUCAGCCGCCUCAUUCUCUUCCCCUAUAGUACUUUCGCGGCAUCCUUUCAGCAUUCAGGGAAGUUCUAGAUCCUUUCUACUUGGUUUUUAUUUUUCUUUGCUACAUUGAGGACAAUGUAGGGUUCUAUUUUUCUACUUGGUUUCUAUUUUUCUUUGCUACAUUUGUGGAUGUCCUUCACGGGUUGGAUGAAUAAGUUGAUCAUUUGGAUGACUGUCUCACAGCCUUGCAACUUCAUUCUUCUAUUCAGACACAAAAUCUGGCAGCCUUCUUUGCCCAUGUUGAAUUUCAGUCGUCUCAUUCUCUUCCCCUAUAGUACUUUCGCGGCGUCCUUUCAGCAUUCAGGGAAGUUCUAGAUUCUUUCUACUUGGUUUCUAUUUUUCUUUGCUACAUUGAGGACAAUGUAGGGUUCAGAUAUGGGGGGAGUAGUUGAAAAUUGCUAGAAUUUGAUGCUAUGAUGAUUAUUGCAAUUACUCUACAAGCAUGAGCAGUGAUAUUAUGUGGCUAAAUGUCUUGUCUUCUUAAUAAUGGAAUUGAAUCAUGAAAUUUGCAAGAUUUGGCUAUUAAUAUCCUAUUGUGAGCUGUUGAGCCAAUGAGUGUUGCAUUGAUAACUGCUAUAUUUUCUUUCAUUGAAUGAUAUCACACAUGAUUUGAUUGUUCUAGAACUUGCUUUGUUAUGCAUAUCAAGAUCACAUUCCUGAAUUUGAUGCAUUAGAAUGAUAAGGGCACUUAGGCUAACCAUUUUUGCUUUCUAAAGACCAACCCUUGUCAGAUCUCCCCUAGUUGACCAUGGUUAAGUCUAUACCUUUUCUUUGUUUAAUAACUCAUUUUGUCACUCCUAAGCCCCUUGUGUUUGAACCCUCUUUGUUUCUAUCCCGUGUCAAAGGAAUGCCUUGAUAUAAGUGCAUGAUGAUUUCAAAUUAGGUUGAAAGGGGAUGAUUGAAGUUAACGAGUGUGUCUAUAUCCCCAUGUAGUUGGGCGUAUUUGAAACCAAAAAAAAAGAGAAAAAAAGGGGCACACCAAGAAAAAAAAGGGAAAAAAAAGAAAAACAAAAGAGAAAACAAAAAAAGAAGAAAAAAAAAAGAGGUAUGAAGUGCUAAUUGUCAAUAUGUGAUUUGUUGAGAUGAUUGGGUGAAUCCCUUGGUUGUGCUGGCACUUGCUAAUUUUUGAAAAAAUUUAUGGGAAUGCUUUGGAAAGAUCAAUGGAAUGAAGAAGGAAAUUGGCAUUCACGUAGUGGGUCAAUGGUAUUGCCUUUGACAUAAUGAGUUUAAAUUGCCUGUUUGAUCCAACCCGUGCCUGAACCCCGUUACAACCCACAUCAAGACCCUUUGAUUUUUGCAUUAAAUUUGAUUACAGUGGUGGCGAUGUGAUAUAUUAGCAAGCAUAUGAUAAUAUCACUUUAUUGUGUGGUGAGAGUGACCAUUUGUGUUUCAUGUCGGUGUGGUGAGUAGUCAUAUACCAUUCUAUAAGAGAGGGUUAAGUCUUGCAAUUUCUGAAUUUGAUGACAUUGUUAGGAGGAUAGGACACUUGUGCUCGCAUGUUGGACUGCUACAUGUGUGUAGCUGUAAUUGUAUCUCUGAGCUUUGAAAUGUUUGAGAACAAGCAUUGUCUUGGUGUGGGGGGAUUUGAUAGUGAGACAAUUGUGCAUGUUAUUUGAUGGUAUUUGAUCUCAAUUUUGGCCACUUAUUAUGCAAAGUAAUGGGUUUCUGCUCAUAAUUGGUAUUUGUAUCAAUUGCAGGCGAUUGGUGUCAAACGUGGUGAAAAGAGGCCAAAUUCCAGAAGACUAUUCAUUCUUGAGCGUGCCCACGCUAGAGACCGCAGAAUUACGUUCAAAACACAGAUCGCGAGACUUAUCCCUGGAACUGCCGCUAUUCUUGGAAGGCGUAUUUUGAAGCUGCGUGGGAUUAGGAAACAUCUUCAGAGAAUACCUUUGGCAACAACUCAAGGAGAAAAAUAAGAAAGCUAUCAUUUAUAGAAACAAACUCUCGAAGCUAUCCUUUAUAGAAACAAACUCUCGAUUGGUAAAGGGUGGUGGCGAGACUUUAAAUAGGACAGCAAUAGACUAGGACUUUUUAUCAUUGAUCUUGGAUCUUUUUCCUUUUUUUCCUCUAAACGGGAGUUAGAGACUUUUUAGCCACGGUAUUCCUUUUCAUCAAUGAAAGUGCAUUAAAGCCUAGGAUUGCAUCAUCGUUAUGAGGUAAGGUAGGUUCCUUUACCUACUUGAGGAAUAAUCAAGACCCGGUGCAUGGACAAUUGUGAGAUCUUUUUAAUUGUUUUGCGUGAUUUUAAAUUAUGCAUUCGUGAGUAUUUAAUUAUUCCUUGUUUUAAUAGCCUAUUGUUAUUUGGAUCUAUUGAAUUAAUGUGGUAAGUUAUUCAAUUGUUUGAAUAGUAUACUGCUAAUUAGGACAGGGGUGCAUAUCACUUGAUUGUCUUAAAAUUAGUGGCAAACGGCACAAUUUUAUUGCCUCGCAAGCAGUCUAAUCAGUGUCGUAGGAAUAGUUAAUCUAGUUUAAAUGAACCCGCAUGUGUGUUUGUUAACUAGAAUUGGGUCUUUCUAAUUCCUAAAACUGUGAAUAGAUUAAAUCUUUCGAGCGUCUCUGGCGUUAUCUAUUUUAUAAGGGGGUAGUUUAAGAGCGUCUCUGAACCACCAUAUAAUUAAGGAGAGAUUGUUAGUUUGGCGGUUGUUGAAUUGUUAGAACCAAUUUAUUUACAAACGUGUAAACUAUUCCAGGGAUCUGUGAUCAAUUGCGUGAGUCGGUGCCGAAAUGAUCUCCUUGACUAGGUUGUCUCAAUUAAUUGUCUAUUAUAUUCUUUAGUUACUGCACUUUCUUGCGAUUCGAAAUUCAGUACUCUUACAUCUUUAAUUUGUUCUUCUUGUCUUCCUUUCUAAAAUUCUCCAAAUUCUCUGUGUGUGAUAAAUCUACCAGUUCCCUGAGGAGACAACCCUACUCACCACUAUAAUUGUUCAGUUUUGGGAGUAGAUCUUGAUAUAAAUUUUAUUUUUGGUAGUUUGACAGCCACCACACAUCAUCAAAAAGACUACAAUAUCAUUCCUACAUUUUCUUUAUAGAUAAUCUCAUAUCCUAACAGACUAGAUGUUAAAUUUCAAAGCCGAAUGUUGAUAUGUGUCCAUGGACAAAACUUUUGCUAUGUUAAACGAACCAAUUAUAAAAUGUUAGAAAAAGUACGCAAUUAUAAAAUGUUGAUAUGUUGUUUCAAUUAUGGUAGGUGGUGUCGUAGAACAAUUUAAUACAGAUAUACAUCAUUUGCUUUUGUAUAGUUUCACUCAUAUGCAGGUCAUUAUCUCAAUUCUCAAGCUUGAACAGAGAUUUGCAAUGUUUGCUGGCUGCUCCAAUUUAUAAACAAAAAUGUAAUUUACAUGCACAUCCUGAGGGAUGGGGAGCAGAUUCUUACCGCUCACCUAAUGGGAUUAUUGGGCUCGAAAGCUUCCAGACCUGUACCUGCCAUUUUGGAUAUAAGAGUAAUUUUAUAAUAAUAAUAUAUUAAAUAAUUACAAUUAAAAAGCUCGAUUAAGCUCGACGAGUUCUCGAGCAUUGAUUUGGAAUACUCGAACUCAACUCGCUUGUUUUAUCAAGCCACUCGAACUAGAGUCAAAUACGGUCAACUUGAGUUCGAGUCAAGUUUUUGACCGAGCUGCUCGCGAGCUACUUGCGAGUAGCUCGGUUCGAUUACACUCCUAGGUCCAAGGUACUCCUCGGAUGAAAUUCAGCCUAGAUGGAAACGAAGAUCCAAAUUGUUCUCGAUUUUGGCAAAUUGUAGUUUUACACUCUCUCCUGCUUAUAUGCAUUCUUGGGCUAUAAACGCGAUGAGAGAGCCCGCAAAUUUGGUCAAUCCAUGUGCCAAGAAACUGAGAGAACUUUAAUCCUAUCACUUGUUGUUUAUUUCUUUGAAGCGGCAAGAGGAGAGAAGACGCAUAAGUAAAUAUAAUGUGAUUUGUAAAAUACGUUGCAAAUGGUUUCUUCAAUGUAUCUCAUUCCAGCUUAAUAAUUUUUUUCUUUCAAUUCCUCCUCUCAAGCAUAAGGUUUGCACAAUCUCACAUACUGAAGUGGCAUUUCUCCUCACUCAAAAAUGAUUUUCCAACUUAAUAAUUUUGUUUUUUGUUUUUUUCAAUUCCUCCCCUCGAGCGUAAGGUUUGCACAAUCUCACAUGCUUAAGUGGCAUUUCUCCUCACUUAGAAAUGAAUCCAGAGAUGUUUUAGGAAGAAAAAACCUCAAGAGAAUCCACCAAAAAGUGUAAGUCAAGAACUCAGUAUUAACCUAAAAUGUUAAACUAAUAAAUUCCAAGCCCUUACAUAUUAAGAGCUAUUUCUCCAUUUCUCAAACCAAUAUGGGAUACAAUUCUCUAUCCAUGAAACUAAUAAUUUCCUCCUUUCUGAGUAGCACUUCACAUUGAACCCAAUUUUACAAAAUCUUUUUUGAACCUACUUUAAUACUUAAUACAAGCUCAUUUUUACAUCCAAUGUCACUUUUUCUCUCAAUCAUAGAUUCAUUCUUCUUCAACAUAAGUCCAUCUUAACACCCAAGGUCACUUUUUCUCCCAAUCAUGAACCCAUUCUUUUUCGACAUCCAAAUUAGAUAUCGGAUCCCUGCCAAUUCUUAGCUUCUUGUUCUAAUACCCACGCGACCUCCUGCUAAACUCUUGGCCCACCCAGUCCAACACCAACCAAAUUCCUUGGCACUUUAGUCUACCACUAAGAACAAAAUUUCACUUGUCCAACUCCGAAAAGAAUCCACUUGGUAAUAAGUAACAUCAGCCAUACUCAUUGACACUUCAAUCUACCACUAAGAAGAGAAUUUCACCAGUCCACCUCGGAGAAAAAUCCACUUACUAAUGAGUAACCCAGUCUAGUACAAACCAAAAUUUGGACCCUUGCCAACUCUUAGUUAAGGGUGUUCAUCGACUGAUAAUCGGAAAUUUGGUAAAAAAAUUUUCAGUAAUUCGAGAAUCAAUUUUUUAAGGCCAAUAUCCGAUUAUCGUCCAAACUUUAGUUUGGUAAGUUGCAUCAGAGAACCAAUAAUUCAGUAAUAUCCGAAAUGCAAAAUGUCAAUAGUGAUUUAAAAUAUUUUAAUUUUCUCUAAAAGGUUGUUGUAAAAAAAUAAUAUCCCAUAUGUUUUUCCAAUAAAAUUCAAUCAACUUAUCUCAAACAUUGAUACACAAAAAAUAGUAAUAAUAAUUAGGUUCAUAAUUCUAAGUCGUAACUCAUAAUCUAAAUUCUUAACAACAUUGAAAUAAACAAGAACUCCAAAUUAAGUUGUCAAGCUAAACUCCAACAUGUUAACCUCCAACAAAAUUUGACUUUCAAGUACAGUUAUAGUUAAGUUAGAUAAUUAGUAAUUACUAAUUAGUAUUUAGUAAGAUUAAGAUUUACUCUUAUAUUUAGUAAUAUAUAUAUAUAUAUAUGCAUGUAUACACACACACACACACACAUAUUGUACAUGUCUAUAACAUUAUAUUAUAAAAUUUUCAAUAAUUUAGCCACUAAUUAGUAAUCUAUAUUUAAUAUUUUUCUCCCAAACCACUUUACCAAAUAUUAUAUUUUGGUUCUUUCAAAUUCCAUUAGUUGUUUCGAAUUCCAUUUUACCGAAAUCCAACUUCAAGAAGAAUUCACUUACUAACAAUGUUGAACUCCGACUGGAUAGUGACUCAACUAAACUAUUGAGUCAAGGGUCAAUUGGUCGGAUUGGUCGGACUGUUCUAAAAAAUCCGCUGACAUCGAAAUGAUGUCAUAAUUAUUUUAUAUUUUUAUAAGUUUUAGAAAUAUUGAAAUUAAGUUGUUAGUUAUAUUUGGCCAACCAUAAAAAAUGUAAAUUUUCUAUAUACACCUAAUAAUUAUAUAUAAAAAUGUAAAUUUAUGGUUAAAAUAUGUCCAUUCUCCAAAACUACUUGAAAAAUAAAUUAAAAUAAAUUAAUGCAAGUUAGAAUCACUUAUGCUAAAUUGAUAAGAUCAUAGGGAUAAAAAUAUCCUGAUUUAAAGAUCAUUCAAGAAAGCGAGUGAUUUUGAUAUUUACACUAAGUAAGUGGGUUUACUCAUUCCCAUCAAUAAAUGAAAGUGUUACAAUUUAGGUAACUUAAAUUAUGUUUGGGAAAAAGAAGAAAAAAAAGUUUGAGAACCGAGUUAACUAGUCGUAUCGGGUCACUGGUUUACGCGAUUUUUGACAUUUUUGACUAAUUUUUGACUAAAGAGGUUUUGUGCUACAAACCAAUUCAAGAAGAAGGCUAAUUCAUGGUCGGACCGAUCAAACCAGCUAGUCCAGACCAGGUCUAACAGCAUUGCAGUUACUAAUGAAUAGCUUAUUAAAGAGCACCCUAAUCUUGUAAGAGAAACUCUAAUACUACUUAUUAGGGAGCAAAAACUUGAAAGAGCCUACCAAUUAAAGAGCCAAUAUAUAAGUUGAGAAUCAAAUGCUGAUCUAAAAGUUUAAAUUGUUAAGUCUCGGGUCAUUAGUUGCAAAUUAAAAACUCUUUCUCCAUCUCUCAAACCAAUUUAGGAUAUAAUUCCAUACUCAUGAAGCUAAUGUCACGUACUAAUGAGACAAACUUGCUAAUCAAAUUGCUGGAAUUUGGACAAAACCAACAGCAAUCUUACCCCUAUUAAGUUAUAAACCUAAAAAAAGUUGUAAAAUUUCAAAAUUCUCAAAAAGAAAACCCCACGUGGCACGGGGGUGAGUUCUAAUAGUACUAAUAAAGUCUUAGUAAUGAACUCAAGCUACUUAGGUCGAUAGUAACUUCUCCCUAAAUUAUUUUUGUUGUCAAAUUUAUUUCCUUGUUAUCUUUACACAAUUCUAUGAGCUUUUUUAAGUGCUCUAGCUUCCAUAUUUAUUAGUUAACAAAUUGUUAUGGUACUUUCAUUGUUAUUUUUCCAAAAGAUCCUUGUUUAAUUCUUUAUUUGCAAUUAAGCCUUUUCUAUCAUAAUAAAUACCAAUGCAAUGAUACUUACUCAAAUGCGCAUUAUACUUCACUAUAUAUAACUAUAUAUAUAUACUCAAAAAUGAAACUUUGUCUGUAAACACGACAAAUAUAAAAUUAUAUACUUAAAAGUGGAAGCCACGUUACACUUUUUUGUUUUUUUGGCAAAGCCCAUUCUGUUAGAGGGGAUGCAGUGUCACACUUGAUGUCAUAAACAUUUUUCAAACAUUGAAAUUGGUCAAGAGCAAAAAAGAUUCAUGAAUAUAUCCUUGUUUGGAAAGUCAGUUUUCAAUAAAAAAAUUUUUAUACUUUCUAUAAAUACAUUUUCCAUCACCGUUUUAUAUCAUAUAUAUCAAAUCCUUACAAUAUAUUUUUUAUAAAGACUCUGGAAAAUUGCAGUCCAAACAACACCUUAAUUUUCACAAAGCCGUACCAAACUUAAUCAAAUUUACAGUACUAGAGCCCCACUAAAUGAAAGCAUAUCUCGUUGUAUCGUCUUAUUCACCAAUUAACAACAAUUUCUUUCUGCGAUUGUCCUGUUACCAUUGCUGCGAUGACAUAUCUUUCCACGCCAGUACGCCACAGCAUAGGUCGCGACGACGUGGUGCACCAUGGGACGGAGUUUUUGGCCAUAAAUUAUUGCAAAUUGGCUUUCAUCGUAGCUGAAUAAAGAUUCCACAUUCAACCAAAAAAAUUUUAAAAAAUUAGAUAUUCCAUGUGGAAUGUGAAAAACAUCUUCUAACAUGUAGUCAUCUACCAAAGAAAAGUGAAGUGACACCCGGAUACAUUUUUUGUUUUGUAGAUCCAAUGAAUGUCUCGGUUCCUUUUAAGAAGAAAACUGAACAUUUUUUACUCAUGGUCAGGAAGAGGAUAUUUUAUUGAAGUUCUGCUGUUGAAUGUUGAAAUGUGUACGCAGCAAACUCUUUUUGCACAACCAAGAUAAGAUAAGAUACUAGAAAAAGUGUCCUAGAAAAUAAUUUUAAUACUCCCUAAUAGGAGACGUUCUUCUUCCUAAUGAGGAACACAUCAAAAUUGGAGAUGUUCAUGCACAAAGCCAUCAUACGCGUGCAUAAUAGCAAUAUUUUAGACAUAUUUUGACGUGAGCCAAUGAUAUAUUCUUUUCUUAGCAAUGUUAGUUUCACUCAUAGUGACGUCGAAAUAUUCAUGAUUAACCUUUUCUGAUGUUGUUUAUUUUAUCUUUAGGGCGCUGUUGUCUUUUGAUUGGAUCUUGUUAAUGAAAUUGAUUCCUACUGAAGCGAUGUAACCUUUAAUUUUAAGAAUCAAGUCAUGUCUUAUGACCGCAUUUUCUUUUCGUGGUGGGGAACUUUUGUAGGUGCAACAAUCCCUCCAUUGUCUCAUACUGAGUUAAUUUAAGAAAGAAAAGACAGGAAAAGAAAAAAGACAAAAAAAAAAAAAGGUUUACAAAUAAGAAAUUUGUAGACCCUUCUCAAGCAUUUAUUGUAUUUUAACAUGACCAAAUUAUUGGUAACAUUAUUCUUUCACCUUUAUUCCUAUAUUUUAGGUACAUUCACCCCAUAUUUUAUGCACGACUAUACCUUUAAGAUCUUAGGCGUGAAAAAGUAACAAUUCGAAUUUUUACUGCAUCAAUAAUUCUUUCUCAAAGUGUCUAUGAUGCUACUAGUGAUCCCUGUGAUAAAUUCUUUUUAGAACUUUCUCUAUGGUAAAUAAUCAUUAUAUGAAUUUAAAACUAUAGGCAGUAACUUUAUUGAUGCACUUUCUUUCCUUUUUUAGUAGGGGAGGUGGGAUUUAAGAAGUAAGGAGAAAGCGAUAUUUGAUUCCUAUAAUAUUGGAAAGACAAUUGUCCUAAUUAAAUGACCCGAUUAUGUAUCAAGAGUAUGUAAAAGUCACUCACCCUCCUUACAUAGUAGUCCCUUGAUCACCUUCAUUGAUCGGAAAAGCUAGAAUUUUGUAACCCAGUCACAAUAACUUUCAAAGCUUUAGUCCAUGUUUUCUUUCGUCUGCUUAUAAGUUUUGGGAAUUAAUUCAAGCUAAUUGCUUUGAUAUAUUUCUUCCUAACCUGUUUUUGUUGUCUUCAAUUUUUCCUUCUUAUCAUCACUUAGUUCCUUGUCCUUUCUUAAUGCUUUAACUUGCAUAAUGAUCAGUUAAUCAAUUGUUAAAUAACUUUGCUACAAGAAAAGUGGGAUUUUGCGACGCACUACAACAAACUUUUAAUUGUUGCUUCAACUUUGUCAUAUUACUGUUUUCACGCUCAUAAUUCUCAUGAAUUUCAUCUAGAUUACAAUACUUGACCCAAAAAACAACAAAAAAUAAUAAAGAUAAUUCUAAAACCCGUUCAAGUCCUCAAAAUCACCGCUGUUUCAACUGGCAUUAGACAACACACGAAUCAAGUAAUGGCAGCAGGAAAUACUGAACUGCAGAAUUAAUUGAGAAGUCGAAAAGACUAACUUUGAGUUGUACACGACAGGCUAAAAGAAAAAAAAUUAUUUGCAACAAAGAACUACAGUAGAAUAGCUCUUUACCUUCAAAUGAUCAUUUUGAACUAGCAAAAGCAGAUUUCUUUCCUUCAUAGCAACACCGCGAGUCACUGGAAAUCCGGCUCUGCAGCUUCUCUCGAAAACUCAAGCUCAUUCUGGUCAAGACAUACUAUUCAUUGUCAAGUUAAUGAUAGGGUAUAAUUUUUAUAUGAAUAAUCGGUGCACAACGUGCAUGUUAAGCCCUUAAUAUGAAAGGGAAUUACCUAACUUGAUUGUGUUUUUGGUUUUAAGAGGAUUGGAUGCAAAUGAGCUUGGAAUUGCUCGUGAAACUUGAACAUGAUGGUGAAAGCUACCUAACUUGCCUAAACGUGUGGAAGAUUGAACUUGAAGAAGAAUGAACGCAAGUUGUGCGUGACAUGCAAGCUCAGGGUGGGAAAACGAAUUGUGAAGAAAUGUUGCUCAACUUGUCACCGGACAUCCUCUGAAAAUUGAAGAUUUGGAAUUCAUGGAAUGUUCGGUGCCGGACUUGGUCGAAAAUCGCGUAAACUCGCUUUUCUUCAGUUUUAACGAACCUAUUCCUUCUGGGAUUCAACUGGAACUUUAGGAAACUAUACAUAGGAGUACUCAUGACAUUUUCUGGGUAGGGAACACUUAUCUAAACAUUAGUUCUAAGAUUUUUCUUUAAGAUUCAAGAAUCAAACUAGGAAAUUAAGGCGCGGGAUUAAGAGUAUCAUUAAUUAGGAAGUUCUACAUGCUCUUUAUUCUAAGUCUUGUAUUUUUCAUGUUUGAAUUAAUAUUUACUCUUACUAUUAUGAUGAGCUAAUUUAUAUCUAGGGUUAGGGUUUCAUGAAAGAGUAUUGAUUAUUUAUCUUGGUUAAAUUCUUAACUUUUGCCUUGAUUUAUCUGUUUUGAUUUAAUUACAUAUUUGUAUUUGACCAUCAUAGACAUACUCUUGAUAAAUGUGGGAUGGGUAUCAAUCUUGAUAUGGUAGAAUUGAUCACCAAGCAAGAAGUGGAGACGUGGUUCCAUACCCAACGGACCUUUCAACCAGAAAAAAAAAAAAAAAAGAAAGAAAGAAAGAAAAAGAGAGAUGAAAAAGAUGCCCCAAAGAUCAAGCAUGUUGUUGAUGAACAUUUGGCAUUGAUUCUUUGAUGUCUUUGUUUCGUCAAAACAGCAAUCCACAACACAUCAUAUCAAGGGCCCAUUAAGGGAUUUUAUCACAAUGAUCCAACCUUGAAGAAAAUAAUGGGGAAACAAGGUGUCUGAGUCCGCUAAGGCUAAGGGAUAUGUUUGGUUGCAAUUAUUAAAUGUGAAAAUGAUUUUGAAAAUAAGGGAAAUUAAAAGCAAGGCCAGGCCAGGCCAGCAAUCUAUAAUGCCAAAAACACAAUAAUUUGUAUUCAACUGGUAUCCGUCCAGAAGUAGUUUUGAAGAAAAAGUCAUCAAGAUUAAAACCCAUUUGCCACCCCAAAAGCAGAAAGAUGUGGGAUGUCACACUUGAUAAACAUUUUUCAAACAUCAAACAAAAACAUAGAAAAUUCACCAAUCUGGGAACCUUAGUCUCCCUUUGUUUGGGCCUGCUUCUUUGUUGUUGAAACUCUAUCACUCAUGGAGGACGCUACUUCCCACAAAAAAAGGGUUAAAUGUCCCCCGAGUACAUUUUGUAGAAAUGUUUAAUAAAUGUCACCCAAAAUUUUCUUUUCAAAUAAUAUCCUCUCCUGACAGACUAGACAUUUUAGUAAAAUUUCAAACCCGAAUGUCGAUAUGUGUCCAUGGACAAAACUAUAGGGCACCAACCUCAAUGUGUCAAGAAAUUUGUUGUGUUUUUUCUAUUUUAUUAGGCUAGUGCCUACAUUUAUUAUAUUAGUAUUUAUAUCAGUUUUGUAACUGACUUUCUAUAUAUAUUGUACCAUAUUGUCACAACCAAUAACAGCACAAGCGCCUGGUCCGUUGUGGGAGUGGUUUAAUUUUACAUUUUCACUAGUGUGAAUACCCAUGCUACGUACGGUGCUGACAUUAUUGAAAAAAAUGAAAAUAAAAUGGUGAAUAAAAAAAAGUUAAAAAAUUGUACCAACACAACUAAAAUGUAAUAUCUGUCUAACAAUAGUUUGAAAUAUGAUAGAAUGUGUAUAUCAUUCAAGAACUGCCUUUUUUCGGAAAAUAGAUCCUGAAAAAAUAAUAGAAAUUUAUAUUAGAAAAUGAAUGAUAUAUGAAUAAAAAUCAAUGUAAUUGAAUGUUGUUAAAAUGAAAUACUUACAAAUAUUAUGCAUUCGAUUUGAUAAUCUUGCAUGAAGGUGCGAACACUCUUCACACCAAUCAACUUUUAGUAUAAAAGUCAAAAUUGAUAAUCUUGCAUGAAGGUGCGAACACUCUUCACACCAAUCAACUUUUAGUAUAAAAGUCAAAAUUGGUGAUUUAAUUAAUUCUAUUGAAUUUUGUGUAGUGCAUACUACAAAUGAAAAUGCACGAUUUUUGUAUGAAUUGAUUUGUUGGUUGAACAACCUAUCAUCAUUUUCCUGAGAAUUAAGUACGUACGAAAUUCAAAAUUAGUGUAUUUUUUUAUAUAAUUUAUAAAUAGCAUUAUAAAAAAUAAAUAUAUAUCAAGAAAUUUUACCUUCCGUUGUAAUUCCCUGAGAUAAGAAGCAUCACAACCAAAUACGAAUCAUGCAUGUCUAUCUUAUAGAUUAAGAUGCAUGUUACUACUGGAAUCUCUUAUUUAUAUGUUAACAUUGUAACUGUUUGACAAAUAAAAUGUUAUAUACAAUACAGAAAAUAUGUUGAAAUUAAAAGUACAUGAAAUUAAUUACCUAAUAACAGUGUUGACCACGUCAUUACAAUGCAGACCAAAGUGACAAAGAAUAAGAUAAUGACAAUCUUUUUGUGAUAAGAAACAUUAACUCUUUUGGCCUAAAGGUACGGAAACUGUUAUCAUGACAAUAUCAAAUACUAUACAUAGUUAUCGAACUCCGAGAAUCCAAACUAAGUCGCAAACAAUUUGAAAAUGUAAAUUUCUAUCGUAAGAAAUUUCUCAUAUCAAAUUCCAUCAUUUUUGUAUCUGGAGGGAACUUGGUUUCAUCAAAAGUCAAAUACCAAUACUUGUGCCAUAGGAAAAAGAUGACAUAAAAACAGUGAUGGACAUCUAUUGCUCUGACCAUAAAAUAAAUUUUUGUGCUUACUGUUGUGUAAUAAGUUAUUAUUGAAUCAUGAGAAAAUGAGUCUAAAAUAAUGACCUAUUACCUAACAUUUCACUUCUAUUUAAAGAUGAAAGGCAAUCACAGCAAUAAUCAAUCGAAAAUAUUACAUUAUUGGGAAUAAUAUUUAAAAAACAAUGGAAAUGCAAAUGUUUAAAGAAUAAACAGUACCGGAAUUUCUAAUUUGAUGCAAACGACGUUUUAAUCGGUGUAGUUGGGAUUUUGUUCUUCGAAUUUGAUGUGAGAUUUCUCUUUCGUCAACGCAAAGUUGCUGAAACUUUUCGAACUACUGUGUGGAAUCGUUGCGGUGUACGUUUCGUUUUCUAAACAAAUGUUUCCUCUUUUACAAUCUUGCGAGUCCGAAUUUUAGCUGUCGUUGAAAUGCUUGUAGGCGGGCAUGUUCCAUAGUGAAAUUAGGUUAAUGGUUAAGAUAGAUAUCAUAAAAAUAUUGAAGGAGAAAAUAAGUUCUUGGAAAAAAUGCAAGAAAGUUCUCUUAAUUGGAGUGAGCACGCAAGAAAGUUGAAUGAGCAUGCUAUGUUUUGGAGAACUUUUAAUUGGAGUGGAAUUCUUAAAUUGAAGGACUCUUAAUUGGAGUGAAAAAGUGGGGGAAAUGUAGGGAAAACAUGAGCAUAAUUAUAGGAUUUUUAGGAGCGAUUAUAGGAUUAAUUAACAGAUAAGCAUUUCUUAAAUUGGAGGACUCUUAAUUGGAGUGGAAAAACGUGGGGAAAAUGUGAGCAUGAUUAUAAGAUUUGUAAUAUAGUCAAUAACUUGAUAGUAUACUCAAAUCACCGUUGAAUAAAAAUCGAGUUUGAUUGAAAAAAAAAAAUACUCAAAUCACCGAUGAGGUAAAGUUUGCCUAAAUAAUCUUUACAGUGUCCUAUUUCCUUGCAAAAAAAAAAUAAAUAAAUAGUCCUAAUUGCCAUUGCAAGUUACGGCAACGUGCCAGUGGCAUCUAGUUCUAAUUUUUUUUGGGUCAAAAUCUAGUCCUAAUUGCUUCUACUGUUUCUUGAUCAUGUUGUAUGCUUCCAAAUUCUAGUUAGCGUGUAAUAAUUGAUAAUAGCUUAUUCUAUUCUUUCAUGGUAUUGGACAGGUGAAAAUCACACCAGAAGUGUGAUAAAUUUACUAUAAACUCCUAAUAUUAUCUCCCAUAAUUUUUGUACACUUUUUAAAAAAUUUAAACUUUUGUCAACAAUAGGCUGGUCACGCAUAUAAAAAAAAAAGGGACUCGUCACACAUCUUAUUGUUUGCCCUAAAGAACUCAAUUUAGCAAAUUUUUUAGAAUAAUGGUGAAAAAAAUCAUAACAAUGGAGGAACCUGGGUUUGUUUCUUUUUUUUUUUUUGGGAUCUGAAACAACCCUAUUCAUUUUUUAAAAGAUAAAUUAAUUGGCCAUCUUACAUUCAUUAAGAAAGGGAAAAUUUUUUGAUCACUGCACAUGGAUGUCCGACCAUCCUAAAGGAAAAAAAAAACAAUUGUUCAGUUCUUGCGAUUUUUUUGGGGUUAAAUAGCGUAAGCCCCUUAACUUUACAUUUAGUUGUACUUUACCCCCUCAACUUUACAUUUAGUUGCAUAUUUGUGAUUUUUUUGAAACGUGAUUGUAAUUUGCAAAGUUCAUUUGUAGGUGUGGUUAUAGGAUUAGUUUAGUGAUAAAUAUUUCUUAAUUAUAAAAAUGUAAAAUUGUAUUAAAAUAGAAUACAAAUAAGCAUUUGUAUUUAAUUAAGGAGUAAAAAGGAUUUAAAAUAUAAAUAACAAACUAUAAACAGUUUAUGAAGUAGAUAAUGGAAAAAUUUUAAAUUUUAAAUUUGACUGGUGAUAGGGUUGGUUAUAACCCACUACUUUUUAUGUAUUAAAAUAAAUACAAAAAUCUAGAAAAAAGAAUGAGAAAUUUAGAAGUCAUUGAGAGAUUCUCUCCUAAAAACCCACUCUGUAAUACAUAUAGAUAUAGAUUUGUAUAGAUGAUCUAUAAGAGUAACGACUUCAUAUAUUGUGAAGCCAAGCGAUUUGAUCACAGAUCUCAACUUUGCUUUAACUAGUGUUAUAAGAUAGCAUCCAAGAAUUGGAAAUUUUAAAUAUAAUUAUCACAUUUUGAAAGUGGGGCUCAUGAAACCAAGUAGAUGCAGAGGUGUGAUGUCUUGGAGCAGUGAUUCGCAAGCUUGUCUAUGCCUGGCGAGAAGUGGCAUAAUAAAAUUGAAAAGCUGGGAUGUCUGGAAAAAAUUUAAAAGCUUUUAGCAAUGUUUAUCAAUGGGAAAAAGUGAUUUGAUGGGCAUACUCCUUAGAUAAUCUUGACGUAAUGAAGUUGAAGAGGACACUGCUGCUAUGAAAAUUAAAUUGGGAAAACCAUUCAAAAAAUUUCUUGCAUUUUGCCAAAUGAAUUUUUUCAUCAUUCACUUUUAAAAUGUUAAUUUUACAUCCCUUACAAAUUCAAAUAAAAAAAAAACUUGAUUCUAAUCUAGGUUUCUGACUACUUUCAUCAUGAAUCCAUCAUGUAACUCAUAUCUGACUAUUUUUUAGGGGCAAAAAGAUUAGUUACUAUUUGUAGUUAAAUAAAUGACCCAAUUUAUACUUAUUUUUUUCUCUAAAAAUGUGGAGUCUGAUCUAAACUAUAUUCAUUUUUUCUCCUAAAAAAUUAAGAUCUGAUCCAAUUCAUAUUCAUUCUUGCCCCUAAACAAAUGGGCUAAUUUCUUAAAUUAUUAAAAAAAUUCGGCAAAAUCUAGUAAGUGGUGGAUUUGUUCUUUAUUUAAGGGUACCUAUAUAGUCAUACCUCAUGUACUACAUGUGGCACCCAAAUACUUUUUUCUAAUUUUAAAUGUUUUUAAAAUGUUACUUUAUUUUUUUAAUUUUCAAAAUAGAGGCCACACGUACUAUAUUGCAAAAAAAAAAAUUAAAAGCAUGGGGGCGUGGUUAUUUAAUUAGGUGCAGUUUGGUUUGCAUAUAUAUACAUAUAUAUACAUAUAUAUAUAUAUAUAUAUAUAUAUAUAUAUAUAUAUAUAUUGUUGGGUGCUUUAGUUUCUGCCUUGUCCCUUUUGAUGAUGCAUCAUACCAAACUUCAAUACACAUCCUUUUCUUUUCUUUCUUUUUUUUUCCUUUUUCCUAAAAAAAAAAAGUGAUCAAGUUUUAAACAAAUAAUCCUUUUUGUUUCAUUUUUCUGGAAACUAAUUAAUUGUAUGAUCAAUAUAAUCGUACUAGCUACUGUUAAAUUAAUGUUUUAGCUUUACUUGCUGUUUGAUUAACAAAUGGCAGGAAAUUAAGGCAUCAACUGGGUGCGGUACGAGGAGGGUCAGUGGAUUUGGUCAUUUGUUUUGCAAUAUAUAUUAAAAUAUAAAGGCGGCUGCCGCAUAAAUGUGGGAUGAAAAAAAAAUGUGGAAAACAAUGAAAUUAUUGUGAAUGGGUAAAUUAAAAGCAAAUCCUGCCCCCCCCCCCAAGAAAUAAUUCAAUGCCAAUGCAUGUGGCCCCUACAGAUUUACCGUAUCAAACUUGACCAUGUCUAUAAAACCCCCACUGGAGCUCAUUGUCUUACCCUAACUUGCUAUUCAGCCCUGAUGGAAAGCACUUGGCUACUCUUAGCCUUGGCAUGGGUUGUUGCAUUGGCUUUUCUCUCAAAAGUAUUCACUCGCAAACGCCUCAAGCUAAAUCAUCCACCAGGACCAAAACCAUGGCCUAUUAUUGGCAACCUGAACCUCAUCGGUUCAAUCCCACAUCAAUCCUUACACUUGUUGUCCCAGAAAUAUGGAGAAAUCAUGCAACUAAAACUUGGUUCCAGCCCUGUUGUAGUAGCUUCAUCCCCUGAAAUGGCAAAAGAAUUCUUGCAAACGCAUGACAGCAUUUUUGCCUCUCGACCUACAACUGCUGCUGCCAAAUACACUAGCUACAACUGCUCCGGCAUGUUAUGGGCACCACAUGGUCCACACUGGCGACAAGUUCGUAAAAUUGGUCUAACCCAAAUAUUUAGUACAAAACGGCUUGACUCCUACGAGAGCAUACGCAUUAAGGAAAGGCAUGCUUUCAUGUCUCGUUUGUAUGCUCUCUCAGGAAAGCCAGUAGUUUUGAGAGAUCAUCUAAUCCGUUUUACACUCUCCGCUGCAUGCCAAAUGGUUUUGAGUAACAAGUACUUUGCCCAAUCUGUAGGGGAUGGAUCUGUAGUUACCUUUGAAGAACUCCAAGAGAUGAUAGAGACCUGGUUUUUGCUGGGUGGUGUGUUCAAUAUUGGGGAUUGGAUUCCGUGGCUCGACAGAUUUGACCUCCAAGGUUACGUAAAGCAAAUGAA
rnacentral:lncRNA from 1 species